rnacentral:lncRNA from 1 species
UUUUUUUUUUUUUACUCCCAUAAUAAUAAUAAUCAUAAUUAUGGACAAGGCCUCAACAGCCAGGCUUGCAGUUUUUGUGUGAAUUAUUAAGCUUCUAAUGACAAUCAUUAAGCCCCAGAGCCAGCCGAAAACCACUAUCAGCCGAAGCGGCCAAGUGUGUGAGCCUACGACUACGAGACAAAAGCUUGCGUGAAAGGAAAGCAAGAUAUCCCAGUGAUCGCAUCAUUCGAAAAUCAGCAGCAAAUCACAGCCGUCCAUAUGUUAAGAGAAUUAACACCACAGCCGUCCAAGUGCUUGAACGCGUGUAGGAAUUUUUGCGUUAAGCUGCCGUCACCCAAUAGCCAAUGUCACCGGCAACACGUGGCGGAACCCCAUGAGUGGUACGAGCACUAGAUGGAAAAGCUCCCCUGACAGAUUAACUUAUGUAACUGAACGUGAAAGCUAUGGAUUAUAGCAUACGCGGAUCGUAAUUGGCUGUCAUUUAUUGGUCUGUCUUUUGUUUUUUUUUUUUACUUUUUUGUCCCUUUUUUAUAUUAUUUUUUACGAUCAUUUAAUCACAUUGUAACACUUUGAUUGCUUAGGUUGUAAAAGUUUGAAGUGAAUUGUGGAUAAGACUUGACGUUCAAGAAAAUGCAAGCAAGCAAUGGCUUAUACUUUUGAUUGUUAGUUAUGGAUUGAAAUCUAACAACGUAUUCAAUAAAGCUGGUGCUAAGUUACGUGCCCCUCCCAUUCAAUAAUUCCCCAAAAUAAUAAUAAUAAUAAUAAUAAUAAUAAUAAUAAUAAUAAUAAUAAUAAUAAUAAUAAUAAUAAUAAUAAUAGGGUUAAUUUCAUCCCGCCCCCAAAUGUUUCAACAUAUUCCACCGCGCACCCAAAUAUUUCAAUAAUGCUCAAUCCACACCUAAAUUCGUUAAUUUGAUCAUUAAUUCUAACGGUCAAAGGGUAAAUUUGGAAGUUCAUGCCUUAAAUAUUAUUUGAUAAUGAUAAAUUAAAUUUAUUUGAUAAAUUAAUUGAUGAAAUUAUUAUUAAUUACUUUUAAUUAAGAAUUUUUAAUGUAAAUAUUAAUUAUUGGAUUAACAUUUUAUCUCAUUUAAUUCUUUUCUAAUUUAAGAUAAGGGGUAUUUCAGACAUUUCAUUAACUUUCAAAUAGCUCCGUUAAAAAUAACGGUCAAAUUAAUGGAAUUGGGUGUGCGGUGGAAAAUGUCGAAAAGUUUGGGUGCGCAGUAAAAAAUGUUGAAAGAUUUGGGGGUUAGGUGGAAAUAACCCAUAAUAAUAAUAACAACUGUUGAUGUUGGAAUCUGAUCGUCUUAUGCCUGACCAGGCUGACUCACUAACGGUUAUGCUAAUUUUGACUGGAUCAUUGCACUCCUAACGCUUUCCCUAAUUAUACAAGCCAAAUGACUUAAAUCAACCUCCUUCUCCCUUCAUAACCUGCUCUCACAUAAACAAAUCAGGGGUGCCGGUAGUUUUUUCGGCGAAAAUCCUUCGAUAUUUAAGUCAGUACGUGGGGUUUUGGAAAAACGUUGUAUUUUUAGACUGGUGCAAAUUAAAAACUAUUGAAUAAAAUAAAAGUGUUUUAGAAGUUAAAUUUUAUAAUCAAAUUGGCAGAGUUUUCCCCAUCUUUUUUUUGUCUCCUUUUCUUUAUAUUUUUUCCGAGAUUUUAUAGGCAAUCAUCUCAUAUCUCUAGAACAUUUCCCACGUCCAUCAUACUCGGGUGAUCAAGGGUCCUUACGGAUCUCAACAAUCAAACGUGGGCAAAUGUGGGGUGUCGUGUUUUUCCCAGCAGUUUGCGGCGUGGUGAAAUUGUCGUAUUGACGUGAGAUCGUGUCCUCUUUCUAAAUGACAGGUUUCUGGUUGGUACUUGUCUCUGGUCGGUUAUCAAGUGAACCACAUAGAAUACUUUCACCAGGAAUCUGCUCAUACCCUUUAGCCGAGGAGGUUCGUCCUCGGCUAGAAAAUGGGGACUACCCAGCUGGUGCUCUUUUAAUACCCAAACAACAACAACAACAAAAUAUGAAGAAAAAAAAGAACUAAUUUUAAAACUAUAUAAUAUUAGUGUUAUACAAGAACGUUUUGAAAUUAUCAAAAACCAAUCAACUCGAUCCAAUUUAUGCUAAUAAAGGAUUUAAAAUUAAGAGUAAAUUCUCGUUUAAUUUAUUUAUUUUAUAUUCAUUAUUCAUUUAGUUUCUAUAUUAAAAAAAAAAGUACCUCAAUACGCCCCUACUAUUAUAUAUGACUAUAUGUUACACUUCUAACCUUGUUUUUUCUUUGAUUUUAUAAUAAUAACCUUGCAACAAUAUUAUUGGAUGUUAAUAAAAAAAUUAAUAAUUUUUCAAAUUAAUCUUAAAAGUAACAUAAAAAUUUACACAAAUCUUUAUAUUAUUAUUUUACUUUUAGGAUUAAUUUGAUCGUCGUAAAGAUAUUAAACAUUACUUUAAGUUGAAUCAUAUUAAUUUAUUUAUAAAUCAUUAUUAGUAAGGCUAUUGUAUAGAUACAAAAAAACUAGUUAUUCCACACCGAUCUUUAUUGGUUAAUUCAUUAACAAAUAAUUAUUGGUUGAUUUACUAAUUGAAUUAUUUUUAUAGAUAAAUUAAUUAAUGUCAAUAAUAUUGUUGGAAGGGUAUUAUUGUAAAAUGAAAGAAAAAUAAGAGUAAUAAUGUAAUAUAUUUAACUGCAUUGAUGUUUUGAGAUACUUUGUAAAAUAUAAGGCAGAUACUUAAACUAAAAUUUAAAGACUAAAUAAGUAUUUAUCCUUGAAUUGAUUAGAUGCAUUAUACAUCAUGAGUCGAAAUUGGUAUGAUUGGUAUAUAACAGUAUGGUAUUCGUUCGCUAUCAUUUACCAUAUUACUAUAAUUGUUUAUGAUAUAGUAUGUCAAAAUUGACCUAAUAACUUUACAAAUUCAUCGUCCAAGUUUGACACUAAGUGCAUUUUACAACAAAAUAGAGUAAUACACAAUACUCGUCCGAUAUUACCAGCUAUUUAUGGAUCUUUGAGUUUCCUCCUCCGUUGCAUGAUUGCAUCGUUAGGAUGGUAUUUGUUGUACAUAUAGGAUGUAGUGUACUUGUACUUAUUCACAACAUCAUAGAUAGAUGCAUUGAUAGAAGUUGAAAAACUUUGAGAUGCAUCAUGUUAUCUAUUUGUUGCUAAGCUAUUUAUGGAUUUCCCAGUAACAUUUAUUGGUUGAUUGAUUAUUCAUGCCUGUUGACCGAUCGCUGGUAUUUUUUGAAGAUUUAAUGACAAGAAAUUCUUCCAUGGCUGCUUGUUGACAAAAGACAAAAAGAUCCCAUCAGUUGAUUAUACUAAAUUACUAAUGACUAAACAAAACCAAAAAAUUUGAUGGCAAAGAGAACAGAAAGUCUUUAAAAUAUAUACUUAUAUAGUAAAUAAAUAAAUUAGUAUCGAAUUUCCCUUUUUAUUAUAUUCGUGUUUAAGAUUUAACAAAUCUAAUGAGGAGGAAAAAGAAGAGGCAAUUGUAUAUUGAUUGAUUGAUUGGUAUGAGCACGGGAGGAAAUGAUGGAACGUGGGUCCAAAGUGUCCAAUCAAAACGAAAAGCUUUGGCCAGCUCCAACCAUUGAUUGAGGUGUGCCAUGAUGAGAUGAUGGUGUGAUGAACGGUGAUGAUGGUGUUGCUCAGAAUGUUCAUGAACCCCGGUAGCAGUACCAGGCAGGUGUCUUAUCCAUGUCUUUGCCGCGUGCAACACGGCUCAGAUGGCGUGCUUCUUGUUGCCCAUCCGCGUGCAUACAGAAUAUAUGCCCUAGUCUUUAUCCGGAUUCACCGCUGCAGUUGAUUGAUUUUUUCACUGUGUGUUCGAGAUUUCACGUUCAUCUUGUGCAAAUGUUGUGUUAUCAGAAAGAGAGUUUUGCUCAGUACCAAAAAUGCAGAAGAACAAACAGUUCAAUGACUGAUUUUUUUUAUGUAUGGUUUGAUUUUGUGGGGUAGAUUUAAAAGACUUCAAAGUAUGCGAUUUGUAUAUAAAUAUCACAUAUAUUAUACAAUUUGUGUGAUUUGUACCAUCUACUUGGGAUAAAAUCUAUCAUUUCUCAUUUCUUGUGUCUGUACAAAAUGAAUAAUUUAUGAUUGCAUUGGUUAUUUGCUACAGAUAUAUGGACGCGUAAGAGCGAGCAGUAAUAUCUAACAAGUCGAGGCUAGUGUCGGUCAUAUAGAACACCAACACGUAGAAAAAGGGCUGAAGAAACCACUCCAUGAUUUAACAUCAGUAAAAUGCUACCUCCAAUUCCCUGUAUGUUCUUAAUUUUGAGUUCUAGUUAUCAAGUAGAACUUUCUUAAGUAUGAAAUAAAAACUCUAACUAUUAAGUAAUUAAAACUUGAUAAAAUAUUUGAUAAACAUGAGUUAGAAAUUUAGGUAGAUUUUAAUUUAAAGUUACGUUGAAAAAUUCUAAUAUUUAAUUUAUUAAAGUUUAUCAACAAUCAGUUCAAUCAACUUUAUUUCAUUAGUCUCGAAUUUAAAUUCUGAUGAAGAUAGGAGGUACAUGUAUUAAUUUAAGCUUUGUUCACCCUUCUACUUUUUAAAUAAAAAUAACAAUUAAAAUUUUAAAAAUAAAUGAGUGCAUAUAUGAGAUGAAACUGAAUCUUUACAUCCCUUGUAGGGUUGACAUGCAUGCAUGGAAGCAUUACAAAAUCAAGAUGUGAUUCGGCUUGAAAUGCUACAUGUUUUACAUAUACAAUGAACCAGUUUCACUUCCCAGGAGCCAAAAGAAAAUGAAGGGGAAUCUAAUUAGAUAAAGGUCCUAAUAUUCUUUCACUAGAGCUGGCUUCAUGUGCGACAUUGAUACAUAUUAAAUUAUAUUCCUCCAUUCUAUAUUCUCAUUUAAUUAUUUCAACCGUCAAAUUGAUUCGCUUACAGGUUCGAUUCUUUACGAAAAGGGGGAAAAAAUUGCUAAUAAGUCAAUCCAUUCACAUAUCAUCAACGGUUAUGUGUAUUUGUCAACAGUACAUGUUCAUUAAACUAAGUUUGUUUUAGGCAAAUUCGGGGACAAAAGAAUAGGUUAUUUUGGGAAACAUCGAUCACUACAAAUUAUUAAAAAAAAAAAAAGAGAGAGAGAAAAAAAACACUUGUCAAUGACCAAAGCACUUACGCCAAGUGCUUUUUGAGAGAUCAAAGAGACAAAAGAGUAGUAGUUUUAUUUGAGUUGUAACACUAGGUUAAGUAUAGGAAGUAGAGUUAAACAUGGUAACCUGUAAUUGUGAAGCCUCUUCCAAUAAUCUCACCACCACAGAACCAUGCAAAGCACUCAACUCCAAACAAAGCAGCAAGGCCAGCAUUAUCCAAGUUCAUCUCCAGCUCCCUGUUCUUCAUGAACUGCUUAAGACCAUCCAGUUCCUUCCAGAAUGCAUCGACGCGAUUCGGGAUACUAGUAAAUAGUUAAUUAGCAACAAAUUACAUGAUUAAUUAAUCAGCAACAAUCCGCAUUUUGUAAGAUGAUGAUAUUUUAUAAAUAAAAAUUAAAUACGUCCGAGAGACUAAUUAAUUAACCUUGCAAGACGAGUGUAAAACAAUUGUUUGGCUAGUAAUUGGCAAGUCUCUGUGUUGGGUGGAUCUUUGAUAUGUUGCUUGUUGUCCUCUAACAAUUGCUUGAUAUAAGCACUUCCAUUCUUGAUAAAAAAUUCUGAUGCUUGAGAUGCCUUUGAUUGCAACUGAGGCAACUUUGAUGCCAUGGUUUUGAUGAUAAAUUACACCAAGAAAUAAAUUUCAGUAUUUAAACUUCAGAAUACUAAAGAUUGAUCAUCAGCGGUGAGUGAAGAUUUUGAGUUGGUGGUAAAAUUAAGGAGAUAAUCAGAUUGUUCAAGAGUAAAUUUCAUACCUUGUUUAAAUACUCUUUCAAAAUUUAAUAUAGAUAAUGAUCAAGGGUGUAUCAGCCUUCUUUUAUGGCAGUUGCAGAGUGAAGAUGAGUCCACUUGCAACCAACUUUCCAAUAAUCUAGAAAGGACUUUUGACCUAGUUGUACUUUCCAAUUUUACAACAGGAUUGACCGGUGGUGCAUGGUUAAUUAAUUUCUGUAUGGUAUCAAAAUUACAAUAUCUAUACACAUAUAUAAAUAUAUAUACACGAAGCAAAGUCACAGUACAAAGAAAUACAUAUAUCAUAACUUUUCGGCGUGCAUAUCCUCAAUUUAACAAAAUGAAAAUGCUACUAUCAAAUUAAAAAAAUAUAAUUUUUAAUAAAUUUUAAUACACUAGCUAAUAAAAAAUUCAAUCUCAAAUAUAUUAAAAUUUAUUUUUGUUUAUAUAUUGGUGUAUAAUUCUUUAUACAUCAAGUAAUUUUCUAAUCCGAAAUCUUAAAGUAUAGAAAAAAUCCGAGAAAACUUUAAAACUAUGGGUUUAAGAGGUUUAAAACUUGAAACGCUAAAACCGCGUGAUUUAUAUAUUUUCUCAGACUUUUUCAAACUUUCCUGCACUUUAAAAUUCUGAAUUAAAGCAUUUCUCUCUCUCUCUCUCUCUCUCUAUAUAUAUAUAUAUAUAUAUAGAAUAAAAGAAUACUUUACUAGAAAAUUAUAUAUAUACAUAUAUAUAUAUAUAUAUAUAUAUAUAUAUAUAUAUAUAUAUAUAUAGAAAUUUAAAAUUUUAAAAUACGAAAAAAUUCAAAAAAAAAAAACUUCAAAAUCCUGCAGUUUUAAAGUGUUAAUUUUAUAAUAUUUUUUAAAAUUUUCCAGACUUUCUCGCACUUUAAAAUUCUAAACAAAAAAUAUUCACUUGGUCCACCAAUGAAGAAAAUCCCUGCGUCUGUUGAUUUUCUUCUGCAGCUGGAGGAUUCCAUAUAGAAAGGCCUCGGCUGUGGGAGGACAGCCGGGAACGUAGAUAUCGACGGGAACAAUUCUAUCGCAGCCUCGAACAACCGAGUAGGAGUAGUGAUAAUAGCCACCUCCAUUAGCACAGCUCCCCAUUGAUAUCACCCAGCGCGGUUCAGGCAUUUGAUCAUAAACCCUGCAAGAAAAAACAAAAAAUGCAUGCAUGCACGUAUAAUUACAUGUUGAAGUCGAACACUAGAUUUCAUUUAAUAAUUAAAUUAAUACUGUACGGACGGAUGACGUGCUAGGAUUAUAGACACCUACUUUCUAAGAGCAGGGGCCAUUUUGUUUGUGAGGGUGCCUGCAACAAUCAUUACAUCACUCUGCCGGGGGCUGGGCCUGAAAAUGAUUCCGAAACGGUCCAAGUCAUACCCAGCAGCACCCGUGUGCAUCAUCUCAACAGCACAGCACGCCAGACCGAAGGUCAUGGGCCACAGGGAACCGCGACGGACCCAGUUCAAGAGAUUAUCCACCUUCGAUAUCACGUAUUCCGAAGCCUUUGACAGGCCCACUGGGCCGAAUGUUGCCCGAGGUUGAGGUGAAGAUGAAGGUGAAGGCGAAGGUGAAUAUGAAGAGGAAGAGAAGCAGCGUGUUGAGUGGAGAAGAGUUGGUCUUGGGGUUGCGGGUGAGGUGAGAGCCAGACGUGACGCUGUUCUGGACACAACAGCCAUUAUGUUUUGUUUACCCUUUUGCCUCUCUCUCUCUCUCUCUCUCUCUCUCUCUGUGUUUUGUGUGUGUAAACUGUAAAAUAAUAUUAAUGCAAACAAGUAGUAAGGGGAGCCUUUAAGUGCAGUAGAAACAGAUAAGAGAAUAGAAAGGUGUAGAAUAGAAUAUAGUCGAAUUAUCGAGAAAGGGAAGGGAAGGGAAGGGAAGAGAAGAGUAAAGAAGUGCGUUCCAUAUUCUUUUUUAAUUUUUCAUUUUCUAUAAGCAAACAUAAAGUCUGCUGUAUUUUGAGUUUGGGCUUCGUCAAUUUUAAACGUGAAAAAGAAUUUUUACAAAAAUAUUUUAGUUAUACGUUGUUUUUAAAAAGUUAGUUUAUUUUUCAAUAUAACAAUGAAAAGUUUUGUAAUGAAUUUUCUUUUUCUUUUUGUUUUUCUUAAAGAAAAAGAAUUGUCUUUUGAGGUUCUGAAUCUAUGAUUGAAGCUCUCAUCCAGGAACCGAUGAACUUCCCGAACCCGAAUUCUUGAUUAGUACCAUCAACAGCAGACGCCCCCUCAUUGUUACUCGCAAAAUACUUACACAAUGGGCGGGAGGACCAUUUUUUUAAUUAUUUCUUGUUGGGCAGUCAAAGUUUACAAUUUUAAAAAUUAAGUUUAUUUAUCAAAAAAAAAAGAAAGAAAAAAAACAAUUAACGCCGUGAGGAUAAGGUUGAUAGAGAUCCAAGUGUCAAACAAAGACCAGUAAAGGACAGAUGUCGUUGUCACACUAAAAGAUACUGACCCGUUCACAAGUAGGAGGAUGAUAACUCGUCUGGUAAAAUUAUUUGGAUCAUAAUAUAGUUCACGUGUUAAGCUUAACUGCUUAAGCGAAUUUCUACUUCAGUGGGUUCAGUUUGUCGUAAGCUUUUAUUUCAUACUUGGAACUUCGUUUGCACAAACAGAGCCUUCUAGUCGGUCUAGAUAAAAAAAGUUAAAACGAGGCAUCGUCAAUUGCAGGUAAGGUUGAAUAUUCGCACACGUGGCAGGUUUCGCAUCAACUCAAAGCAAGCAUAAAAAGAAGAAACCUCCAGGCUGAAAACAGCCGUGGUUUCCAAGCAAGCAAAAUAAAGAUGUCAACAUCAUUUCAUUUCCUUACUAUAAGCAGAAGAAAGGCAAGCAUAAGCACGGGGCUGAAAAAGGUCAAAAAAAAAAAAAAGUAAGGUUAAUCUUGGAAAAACAAAGAUUAAAGAACAACAUUACAAGAGUACAAGCCAUUCUACAGACAAUUUUUUUUUUUUUGGGGCAACUGUUAACCGCCAAAAGAGAAAAAGGAAGAAACAAGAAAAGCAAACAGGGAACCAGUUAUCUUAAUCCUAACGGCAAACACCGGCCGUCCCACCAAAACUUGUAGCUAGGCAAUUUGGAGUCAGACAGAAGCAGUCACUUGGCGAACCUAGUGACAAAGAAUCAAUAAAAAGAGCUACAUUUAUCUUUAGAACUAGAGGGGUGAUGUUCCAAACAUCGACUAAAGAAUCAAUGAAAAAAUGAUGCAGUGCAAGUCUCAACAGCUCCUUCCCACUAAGAUUGGAGUAAAAGAGAGUGGGGGCAAAAAACAAAAACUACAUUUACCUUAAACCUAGCGGCAAAUAUUGAACAUCCUUUAGUUUUUUCUUGUUGUAGGAGAGCUACAAUCAUAUUUCCUUCUUGACUUUGACCCGACACAAUUUUAAAACACAACCGCAUCUUCUAUUUUUACCAGAAGAUACGCAAAACAGAAAAAUGAAAAAAAAAAAAAAAAGGAAUUUUUGGGGGCAUGGGAAGAGAAGGGGAAAAGGGGGAGAGAAAAAAAAAAAAAAAAAAGAGAGAAUCAAGCUGCCCACCCGGGAACAAAAUCAGGUAGCUUCCUCAUGGAUUCUACAGCCAUUUCGUGACCUCCAUACCAUAUAUCAUGUGCAAAGGAUUGAUAGGGCACUUGGUAGUGUGAAAUUGACGUAGCUCCAAUUCACAGGUUGGUGAGAAAGGGGAAGAAGCCUUUUCUGUCAGCAACCUACAGAAAGUAACAAAGCAAAUACAAUCUUCUUGCACCAUCUCUAUGCAUAAUACAUGUACAAGCUGUUUGCAGCAGCACAAGCAAUUGAGUUCUCGGUUGGGUGCCAUGCUAGGUGCAGCAACUUUGUCGUGAAAUCAAAAGAAUUUCCAUUUGUAUCAACUCCAGGCACAUCCGAUCCUGCUACAGAUUCUCCAAUGCAGAAAAUAGUUCUUUUUAGUGUAACAAAGAACAUGGUUAAGAGAGAGUUCGGUACACAAGAAACUAUCAAAAUUUAAAAGCAAGAAAGCAAGGAAAGCACCCACCUCGUCUGACAACACGUGUUAUGCUGCUAAGGGAUCUGGAAGGCCUUGAAGGGGUUUGAACUUGUCUCCUGGAAUGGCAUAUUGAAGUUUAUAUCCAGCAACAAGAUUACAUAACUCAUUUGCCAUUUUUGUUGAUUACUCAUAAUUACCUCAUUGGGUUUUUGCUGGCUUCCAAAGUUGUGGCCUCAGUGCUUCCUGGGGCACAGCCGAACACACGGAAUAGAUUGCUGGGACAACAUAUGAAAGAAAUAUUUAGUUGCAUUCCAGAAGUUUUCAGUGACAAUAUGACAAUGAACAAGUGAACAAAAACAGACCUGUAAGAACCUGUAGCCACCCGCAAUCCGUCACCACUUAAGCAACACUCAAAUUUAUCAAAGAUUGAAUCAUUUUCAUAUAAAUCACACAGCUGCAUAUAAGGAAAGAAAAGUUAUAGCAGGCAUAUGCACCAAGUAAAAGGAAAGCUGGCUUGGAUUUCUUCAAUGAUAGAAACCUCACCUUAGGUCUCAAGUAUUCAUGAACCUGGAAGGUUGCAACGGGGCCUGAAUCCAUGUUAAUAUCCCACAACUGACAACGAAGCAACAGACUCAUGUCAGACCCAGGAUAAAAGUUUUAUGUUCCCAACAAAACCUGACAAGGAUGUAUAUCCAAAGAGCCACUCCAAAAAUGAUGCUAAAACUAGUGUUGAUUCUACUUUUAUUUAUUCAUUUAUUUUUUAAGAAUAGGAUUCAAAGUUGUAAAACAAAAGUACAAAAGAAUAAAUAUGACUACUAUAUAAAUGCACACCACCCACAUAUAAAAUUUUCUCUUUUUAAUUAUCAUGCUUUGGGAACAGAAAAAAUUCAGAGACCUAUCUUCUCAUUUCUGUAAAGCCAAAAAUUCUAUUAUAUACUCUUUAUGCAAUGUAUUUGACAAUGCUCUCCCACAUAUUUCAUGUUGUCAGUUAGUGAAAAAAAAAAUUACAGGAAUAGAAAUAUAUAAUUCUUUCAGUGACCACUUGAAGCCAUACAACAUCAUUUGCAUGCUUAAUUAGAAGACCCAAACCCCAGGAAGUACUCUGUCGAAUCCAAGAGAAUACAUAUUUAGCAGAUAUGCAAUUGCAAAUUUAUUUGCCAUUAUGAAUGACAAGUAACCUUAAGAGUCAUGUAAUCACGACUAAGUAUAUGUCUUCCAUCCUUUGCAAACUUAAUAUCUGAAAUAGAUGCAAUUAUUUCUGUGAAGAAUGAUCUAGAACCAGGGGCCUCCUGUUCCUCAAACCUGUAUAAAGAGGAAAUUAUCAGUCAGUAAAUAGAGGGUAUUAAAAGUAACUUCCCCUCACAUCAAAUGACAUAACAAAAGCAACGCAUUUUCUCUUUUUUUUUCCGCAUGCAACUAUGUCUGAACCUAUAUGUAAAAUCCCUAUUUUUCCUCUGUUCCAAAGGACUUCAUUAGAACACAAGCAAACUGGAAUACUUACAAUAUAGCAUGAGAAUCACACAAAGCUGAUUGCCUCAAGUCAAUAAGGCGUAUUGAGCCCUUUGAGCUGCUAUAUGCUAACAUAUUACAGUGAGUAGGGUGAAAUUCUGCCGAAGUUAUCACCUCUGUAAGAAGAAUAAUGUAUGGUUAAAGGCUUAAGAAAGAAAAAGAUUGAACAUAAAACAAACAAACUAUAGAAGCAACCAACCAGAUAGGGAAGUUAGUAGAAAGCUGUUUUGAUAUUUUUAAAAAGCAGGCCCAAUUAUACAAAAACCAGGUUGGCUAGUACAAUGAAAAUCACAGUAACUAGGUUACGCAGAAAUCAGCGUGAUCAAUUGAGUCCCCAACACAACUCUCUUAUAAUCAUCAAACGAAGAAAUGGGUCAAAUAAGUUCACAGGAAGGAAGGUAGUAGAUAAACUAUCCAAAAACAUGCUUGGAGGAAUAAUAAACUUCAACAUGAAACCAAGCAUCAGAUAGCAUACUUCAUCUAACCCCAAAUUAUCUAGGACUGGAAAAAUGAACCAGAAACAGAGAAGUUCUAAUAUAACCAAAGGCCAAUAAAAUUUAGAGUGUACCAGUUAGAUCCUCCAUGUUUGCAGGCUUCACAUCAACAAUGUUAAAACUUUGAUUGCUAAUUUCCAAGUUCCAAAGAUUAAUUCGCAGAUCGUCAGCCGAUAUAAAUGUUUCACCGUCACUGCAGAGCACGAGAGAGGGGAUCAGUGAAAAAUAAAAAAAUCACACAAUGAGAAAGAUGCAGACAUCACAAAGCACAUAUUUAACUCUUUUCCUUCCCUCAAUUCAAACAUAGAAAAUCCACUAAUUAAUAUCCAACAAUGCUGAUGUAAAAUAGUUUUUUUUUGACUUCAAGAUAUGUAUUGGGAUUGAAAUUGGGGACUAGUAUGGACCAUACAAUCUUUGCUAAUCAGGAAACCUGAGGAACAUAAUUUGCCACAUAGAAGUCCCCAAAGGGAUUUAAACCUCUGACCUCUUGGUUGGAAUCCAAGAGCACAAUACGACCCCUCUCUUGAAUAAGAAAAACAAAGUAUAAAACAUUUAGACUCGAAAAUUGAUAAAAUAAAAAUUCUGUAUAAGGAAAUACAAUUACCUAUUGUUAGAAAUAGAAUUGAUAUGAUAAUCGUGUGCAUGAGCAUAUACCCUUCGACAUCUAGCCACUAGGCUAGUCUCGUUGGACGUUACCUGGAUGAAAGAUUAAGUAUUAGUGGAAGAUAACAUCAGACAAGCAAUCCACCAGAUCAAACAACACUAAUGAUAUCCAAAAACAAAUGCCUUUAUUUUUGCCCUCCUCCUCCAUCUAAAGAGAAUUAGAAGAGGUACCAACUACCAAGGACUCAAAUAUCCAAGUCCAAGUGGUUUAAGUUAACCCCUCACAGAAGCCCCCCCGCCAACCCCAGUCCUCCUUCCUCCCCCUCCAAACCAACCCCCCUUCCCCCUCCAACUGAAAGGAAAAAAAAAAAAACCAACAAAAAGAAAUAACAAAAAUAAUAUCCCUUAAAUGCCAUGCCAAUAACACAAACCAUAUCCCACACCAAGGUUGAAGAUUUCCUUGGUCUUUGAGAAGGAGAGGCUUCACAAAAAUGCCUGUGACUCCUUGAGCCUCCUCUUGAUGUUAAUUUUCUACCGUUGGCAUACAUAGGGUAUAAAAAGCAACAAAAUUAAUCUCCCAAAAAUUAUCUGGAAAAUUUACAACACCUAAUUAGAAAAUAAAACCACAGGAAGAAUAUGAAUAUAUUGGAUUGAGUACAACUACCGUAGGUAAACGAAGCGAUGGAAUGCCCCCUGGUGGGAAUGAGAACUCCUUGCUAGGUGAUCCACCAUUUGCAAGAUAUGGUUUAGGGCUAACAUUAUUACUUGAACUAGCAACAUUGCCAUUUCCUACUGCUUUUGAAGGGUCCACAUUCAUGUCAGCAAUUUUCUUCACCUUCUUUUCUUGCACCUGUUCUCAGUAGGAAAUACAGCGAAUUCAGCAGCUGUUAGGGCACGGCCAUCCAUAAAUCAGAGUCGACAAUUAUAGAAGCCAGACAUAACUUUCAGACAGUGAAGAUAGUAGAUAAAAUGCAACAGUGCAUUAAUAUAUAAAGUAAAAUAACAUUAACCAAGAAUAAUCUGAGAGAAAAUGAUAUACUAAUAAGUCCAACCACCCAUAACCCUGCAGUUUCAGUAUAAAGAUAUGAUAUAAAGCACUGAUGUACAUGAUGAGGAAAAUUUUCUUCUCGAUUUAAAAAAUUUUUCCCUUACCUUCCAAAACUUAAUUGUUUUAUCAUUAGUAGAGAGGAGAAAUAGUGCACCGUUGGCUGUUUGGCACCAUCUGAUUUUGUUUAUUUUCUCUUCUAUUUCCAAACUCUUGAGAUAGUCAAACUGAAAUAUGACAUUCAGAUAAAGUAUGAGUACAAGAAUUCCAUAUCCAACAAGCAGAACGAAAAUACAUAUAAAAAUUUGACAUCCAGCGGGAAUACCUCAGGUUCAUGGCUCUGAAACUCUGUCUUAUAACGAAACUCAGGAUGCCUACUUGUUGAAUAGUCCAUCCUCUCCAGAUCCCUUCUGGAUCCUCCAUGCUAAUAUUAUGAUAGAUAAAUUUUAUUGUUGUGAGAAACAACAAACAAUAUGGCAAUAUAACAAAAUUAACAUCCAAAAAAAAAAAAAAGAAGCAUGAAAGGAUAGAAAGAACGCACAUCCUUCGUAUCUGUCCGCUCAAAGAGAACUACCCGGCCCCCGCGGUCACCAGUAGCAAGAUGGUCUCCGGUUUUAUCAAAUUCAAUUGCUGAAAUAAUAUCAACUGUAGAAUGAAUGACAAAUAGUCAGAGAGAAGUCCCAUAGCCAUUCUUCCAUCAAACAAAUGUAUGGAUAAUUGUAACAUACAGUAUAUGUAUUCCAAAGUUCUAAUAUUAAUUCGUAUUGCUCAAAGAAAGAAGGCCUACUAUUAUCACUGCAAGUACAACCCCAUUCCCAACAAAACCCUCUUUUUUGUUCAUAUAGCAGCAGAAAACUUGUAUUAACUGCUGAAUGCAUGCUAGGGGAGUGUCCACCAUAUCUACAUAGUAAAAAAAUAAAAAAUUUAAAGAGUAUUGACAAUUCUAAAGAUUGUCUGAUGCAUGUUAGGAUUGCCCUCAGAUCUCCAGUAGUUUGAUGCAGACAGGAAGUGAAACCACUACGACAAAAAAACUUCAAUUGAAGCCACCAUUAUUGUCAUGGCUUUACUGAAGGUGAUGUCACCGGACAGAGAGAAGGAAAAAAUAAAUAAUCUGACAUCAAGACCAUCAGGUACAUUCUCGUUGGUCUAGCAUCUCACCCAUGUAAAUUUAACUCUUUCAACACCACGUCAAAAAUUAGCAGAUAUUCUCAGGAGAUAAUGCACAAUAUAAUUCUCAAAAAGACCAGUGGUUUAUAGCUAUACAAAAAGCUUACGUAGGUGACCAUACAGCAAAGUACACAUAUCAUGACCUCUAUGAUAUGAUAUCGAUCUAGCUUUUCAUAACAACACAACAGUUAAUUUAAAAAUUCCAUCCUCAUAUGACAAAGCAAAACACCUUCAAUAACAGUAAAAUCUCUGAGGGUCAUAGAGAGAUUCUUAACAAUCAGUCUCUUAAUAAAUCCGCACCUGAAGCUAUAGCAGGAAUGUGAAGGAACAUUUCCAACUGAGAUUGGCUCUCCCAAUACACUUAACUUGACAUCUAACCGCCAGAGUCCUUGAUAAUGCAGUUACUGAUAUUUUACCCAAGGCAGAAAAACAGCAAAGUCAUGAGCUCAUCAACUUCAACCAAGGAGAUAUCUAUUUUUCAUAAAACAGCUCUUCUAAAUUUCUAAAAAUGUUCAAAGGUACCACACAUGCUGACAAAAUUACUGUUCUCUCCACCAGCAACUCCCCUGUAAAAAGCACCUGUUUAAUAGCUACCAUAAUUUUUGAAGACUAAUCAAAAAACUUAGAAAAGCUUAAACACCAACUACUCACGGUGUGCAAAAUGAUUAUUUCCAGUAACUAAAUAAUUCUAGAGCUAGAUCUUUUAUUCCAUCUGGGAUCAUCUGCCUACAUUCAAUAUCUUGAUCUACAAUCGUCUUUGGCAUCACCUCAGUGUACAAGCUCCUUCUGCUCCUCUUGUAGGCACUGCUAACUGCCACAAUAUAACCACAUUUUUUUUUGGAUAACCCAGACUCCCGCCCAGACUCGGACCAUGAGGCAGACCCUAAACUGGGUGGUCAGUUGGGCAACCCGACCCCAUGACCUAUGAGACAACAAAAGAUAGAAUUUUUAAUCUCACCAGAAGGAUCGAACUUGAGACCUUGAUGCAGCCAAGCACCAGAUCCCAAGCCCUCAACCAACUAGGCUGCCCCCUUGGGGGCCACCGCAACAUAGUCACUUAGUCAAUGGUUUUAGUUCCACAUGGUCCUCUGUUGUCUUGUUAAUUUUUUUCUUAAAAUUUAAUCCAUGUUUUGAUUAGGAUGAUUUUGCUUAAUUCUUAUGACUUGUCUUUUCUUGCAGAACCGAACAUCGUGAAGCCUUAUUUUGCCAGUUGCAUCUGAUUAUGGGGCGUCACAUUACCCAUUAUUGCUGAGACUAAAAUGCAGCCUUUGUAACAUAUAUGCUAAAGUAAACUAUGACCUAUGAAUGUGGAAUCCAAAUUAACGCCAGAGAUUCCACCAAAAGUUAUCACUCCUUCAACUGUUCUAAAUCAAAAGCAGCAACACACAAUUUGCCACACCCAUUUAACUUUACAUACCAGUAUCACUGGCGUGUUGUCAUCACUCCACUAUUUCCACAUAAAGGUUACUGUAUGUCAAACUGAUAAGUACUCUAGCAUUAAGGCUUUACAAGUAUGAACUAAUAUGAAUUGCGUUCAAGAACUGAAUUAUCAAAAACAAAAAGUGAGAACCAUAAUGAAAGAAAAAACUAUUGCACAGCUGACAACUGGUAAUGACCUAGGAAACAAUGAAGUUACGAAUUCCGUAAGUUAUUUGUUGUAAUACAAGUAAUCGGAAAUACAUUCCUGCCAACACAAAAAAACAAGAGGGGAAGUCUACAAGACGGAAAAUUACUACCUCUAGAUUAGUUCUUAUGCCAAACACCUCCAAUAGACCCAAAAGGAGGGGAAAAGAAUGAUCCCCAUAUAUAUGAAGCUAGCUCAAAUUAUGAUAAAACCCAAAAAUACAAAUGUCAAUCAAAGCUUAAUUAAAAAAAGGGAAUCAUAAUUUGAUGCAUGCAGUACAAGCCCAAGACCAGAAAUUAAAAAACAAAAAGAUCUAAACUACUAUGUAUUUACGUCUUUAAAAUAAAAGAGCCCAUUUCUUAUACAAAUAACAAUAAUUUACAAAAGCAUAUGCACUUCACUGUGACACUUAACAUUGUUUCAACCGAAAAUAUCAAAACACGCCAUAAUCAAACAAAAACAAACAUCCCACGAAUCUAAAUGACAUCUACACAAUAACCCACCAUCCAUUUUAGAUCCAACCCCCAAAAAUCAAACCCUGAUUUGUCCAAAACCUAUUAGAUCCAAGAACCAAAACUUAAAAAUAAAUAAAUAAAUAAAUAUGAACAAAUGUUUACCUUCUUGAACUUCCUCACCGGCCGUUCGUUCGCCGAAGACCUGAGAGAAUUUCCACUCAAGCGGCUGCGGUGGGCUCGCCUGAGCCGCCGACUCCGCCCCCUCAUCACCGCCGUUCAUUUCCUCUUUAUUUAAGAACAAAAAAAAGUCUUUUUUUUUUUAUGACCCCCACCGAGUAAUCAAAAUCAACGGGUCACAAGUCACCACCAAAUCAAAGAUCGCAUCCUACCAUCAUCAUAACUACGCAACACCAAUGAGAUUACGAUUCCCAAUUCGACCAUUCAACAUACAACAAAACCAAACCAAAACAAAUGCCGAAACAAAUGUUGUGUUGUGUCUUCGGGCCUGGUUAAUGUUUCUCGAAACACAAAAAAUAAAAUAAAAUAAUUUCCUUUUCUUUUUUGGGUUUCUCUCUCCAGAAAGUUGUGUCUAUUUUUGUUUCAUUUUUUCAGAGGAGAAAAAUGGGAUUAAUGGUUUUUUUUUUUGGAUAUUAAAUUAAAUCUUCUUUUUCACCUUUGUUGUUGUGAUUGUGUUUCUGUGUUUGUUUCGUUAAGUUAUAAUUUCUCUCUCAAUAAUAGAACUUUUUUUUUAAUACUUUUUUUAUUUAAUUAUUAAGGGCCGAUAGAGUGACGCCACAAGUGUGACAGACGGGUUUGAUGGGCGGUGAGACGGGAGCUGUGGAAGUCAUAUGAUCUAACGGUUGUUGAUGAGGGGAUAUGUGAUGCCCAUUGAUCUUCCAUCCAUUUAUAAUUUUUUUUUUCAGUUAUUGCCUAACGUCAACUUAGGUGGCGUUUGUUUUUUUGUCUGAAAUUUGAAUAGACCUGAAUUAGUCUGAAUUCUGAAUAGAUCUGAAUGUCUGAAUCUGAAUAAUAUGUUUGUUUUUUCAUCUGAAUUUCAGAAAAUAAGUAUUAAGUUGUUUAUUUUUUUCAACUGAAAAAGCUGAAAAUAUAUACUUUUACAUUUGUAUCCUUAUUAAAUUUGAAUGUCAAAUAAAUAAUAUAUUAAAUACCACAAUAUUUUAACAUUUAUAAGUAAAAUUAUAUUCAAGUGAAUACAUAAUGAUUUUAGAAUUUUAAUAUAUAAAAUAUCAUAAAUUUUAAAUUUUAUCGUAUAUAAUAUAAGAAAGAAAAGACAUGAAUAUUUUUGUGUGGGGUAAAUGUCUAUGGGUGAGUUUUGGGAUAGACAUGAAAAAUAAAUUAUAAAACAUGGAUAUUUUUGACAUUAGUAAGUAAUUGACUUAAUUCAAAAUUCUCCAUUAAGUAAAAAGCCAAAAAAAUUGGCUUAUUUUAUUAAGUCAAAAUUGUCUAAAAAGUCCCAUUAAGUUAUAAAAACAAACACCUCUAAUUAACUUAAUUAAUUAAAUUAAGUCACUUUAAGUCAUUAAAUUAAAAAACAAACGCCACCUUAGUUCCCACCCCUGUAACCUUAGGAGGUUUAACAAAAGUUUUUACAUUUGAUUUGAUUAUGUAAAAAUCACAUGCGUGUAAAACUUACCAUCUAAUUUUGGUGUGGGCCAGAUUUGAUUCCGAAAAUGAUAGAGUAUAUAAUAAUAAUUUGUUAAUACAUUAUAUGCUAUAUCGGCAUAACAUGGUACGGUAUAUAAGAUAUCAAAUUUUUAAAAUUUUACUGUAUAAUUUUUUUUUAUAAAUAUUAUAAUUUUGUAAUAUAGUAAUGAAUUUUAUAACCAUGUCUAUAGAUUUCAUCCCCAAUAUUUGAGAAUAAAUUCACAAAAAGCAUCACAAAAUUCUUGCUUUUCCUUCUCAAAAGUAACAUUACUAUUAUUAUCUAUCUCAAGAAAAACAUAUAUUAUCAAAAAAAUGUGAAAGGAAUCAAUUGUCAAAUCUUAUAUUUUGGGCUUCUUAUUCUUCUACUUUUUCAAAAUUAGAGAAAUCAUAACUCUAUGGAAUCAUCUUAUAUUUUGUGAUAUGAUCCCUAUCCAUUUAUUAUUAAAGAAAAAAAAAGUUGACAAAAUAACACUAAAUUUUGUCACCUCUCAAAUCAAACUAUGUUUAGCAUGAAUGGCUAAUUACACUACAAAAAAUGCAUGUCAAUUAUUAAAGAAGAAGAAACGUAUCAUCCUAGUGGAAAAGUGAUAAAACAGGGGGGUAUAAGAGUUUUUUUUUUUUUUUAAUGCCUUUUUUAUACAUAUAUUUAGUAUUAUUUUGAGGUUUUUCUUUGAACAUAAAUAGCAACUCAAUCGCAAAAGUGCACACUCUACUUUACAGUUUACAGUCACUAAUAAUUUAUCCGUUUCUUGGGGGGGCCUCUGCUACUUCACCAAUUGCACUAUUCCGUGGGCCCUCCAUCACCAACUUUCACACGAAUGCAAAAAAUGAUGGCUAUAAUUAUAAGUUUCAUGUAUGCUCUUCAACAAUAUAUAUAGAAUGCUUUUCAGAAUAUAUAUAUAAAUAUAUAAUGUAUAUAUGUAUAAUGUAUAAUGUAUAAUGUAUAAUGUAUUUAUAAAAUAUCACACGUAUUAUUCGAUUAAUUUUUCGGUUAGUAAAUCUCCCAAAUUUUCUGCGCAUGUUCCUAAAUUGCACUACUGUAAACUUUUAAAUGCUAGCAAAGCAACAAAAGCUUUGUUGGUAUUAGGGGUGGGCAUUUUACCCGAUCCGACCCGACCCGACCCGACCCGAUAAAUUUUGGGUUCGAGUCGGAUCGAGUCGGGAUCGAAACCCAAUCGAUUUAAAAUUUACAAACCCGAUCGGGUUGUGAUCGGUUCGGGUCAAACCCGACCCGACCCGAAUACCCGAUCGGGUUCUUAAAAAAAAAAAAAAAAACGUACUGACCCGAAUUGACCUGAUUUCAACCGACCCGAACUGACCCGAAUUGACCCGAACUGACCCGAUUUCAACCGACCCGAAUUGACCCGAACUGACCCGAAUUGACCCGAACUAACCCAAAUUGACCCGAACUCAAUCCUACCCAUUUUAAAUCCAACCCGAUCCAACCCUAUGUUCGGGUCGGUUCGAGUCGGGUCAUUAAUUUGGGUUAUGUUCGGAUUGUUUCUUGUCUAACCAGAACAACUUGAAACCCAAUCGGCUUGACCCGAACCCGAUCCGAACCCGAUUUUGCCCACCCCUAGUUGGUAUGAUAGAAAAUAAGAGUAUAAGAAGUUUUGAUAGAAGAGAUCGGGGAAUUUUGCCGUACAGUGUUGCAUUGUAGAUUACUAGAUUUGUUUACUCCUAUCAAAUUCAAUUGAAAAGAAACAAACAGAAAAAACAAAACUUUCAUUUUACGUACAAUAAUAAUAAUAGAGCUCCAAGUGGGCUUUAAUAACCAUGAUUUUUGGUCCAAUGUGGCACAUGGGCCAACCCAAAAUUUAUACUAAAGAGAAGUGCAAGUCAUUGUCUGGCAAAGUCGGAUAUUGGAUCACCCACGAAAUGAACCCAGCUGAAAAUCAGUCCACAUGCCCAAAUCGCCAAAAAUACUGUGAUAAUAGUGAUCUUUUCUUAUUUGUUUUAUUAUUUUUUUAAAAAAUUGCAAUGUUAAAAGAAAACUCUUUUCUGGGGUUAAAGAAGUAUGUAGAAUAUUUUCUAGAAAAAAAAAUAAAAGAAAAAUUACACAAUGUGUACUUUUAGAAAACAUAUGUUUAGUGUGGCUUGAAUUUGAGAAAUCUGAUACAGGAUACACUUGUUGUACAUGCUAAAAGCAUUCUUGAUAUUUUCUUUAUGUAGAUGAAGGAUUCUGUUCUUUUCAGUCGAGUGAAUUCCAGAUAAUAAUAUACAGCUGGUCUGAAAAAAAAAAUUAUAUGAAAUAUGCUCACUAUUUCAGCAGGGUAGAGUAAUGAGUCCCAUUAUGAGUUCUAGUGAUUUUUUAAAUAAUAAAUUCAAUAAAUUUGUGGUGAGAACCAUCAAUAGUCCCAUUGUAGAAUCUACUGCUCUGCCAAAUAUUGAGUUGGUGAGCCAAUCCCAUACAAAAUUUUCUCAUGAUAUUGGUAUAAUAUUGGGUGUAAAUCGAAUAGUACCCACUAAUUAUAUUCACAUUUAAUAUAUCUCAUGUAUCUCCUUUCUAAAUUUUGGCCUAGAAUCAAGACCACCCACUUGUCUCUCAGCUAAGGAGGGUGUGUGUGCGUACAAAGACUUGGACUAGUGCGAUGAUUUCCUAAAUAUUGUUUAAUUAAUCAAAGUAGCAAGACUUAGUUCGAUUAGAUUUAUAGUCUUAACCAGCAGACUAUAAGCCCCCAGAAGAGUGAGCUGUGUUCGUUACUCAAUCCACCACCAUGUGAAGCAAAGUUUUUGAGUUUUAAAAGAGCAAAAUUGAGGCAAAGAUUAGCAUUGGAACACGCCAGCCAAAUAUAUCCUAUGCAAUCAUAACGGAAUAUACAACACAAAAGAGGAGCUUUAGUUUUGGACACUUCCACCAAAAUAAAGUGUUUGCCUUCACUUCUGGUUUCUUGUAGUUUGGCUUGUUAUCAUGGUAGAAGAAUUAGGAUUCUCUCACCAUCUCUUCAACUUUUAAAGAAUGUGUGUGGUGCAAUUGUGCCUCAUCUACAUUUAUGACAAUUAAUAUUUAAUUACUUUACCUAAUCUCUCCACAACUAUAUGUAUAAUCAUUCUCUUUGAUUAUGAAUCAAAAUUUCAUAGAUAAAGUAAAUCAAGAUUUCAGAAGAAACAUAGAAAAAAAGAAUAAACGAUAUUUCUAAAUUAUAUACUUCAAGCCAGCUAGGCUUUAGGGCAUAUAAAAAAAAUACUCAUGGGCUAAAUCUUUUAUCUUUUCAUAUACGUAUGUAAAUUUAAAAAUAAAGGUGGAUUCAUUUCAAACUAGAGCUUCAGAAAGUUUUUGGAGAGUGGGAUUGUACUAUUGUUUGUCCAAACGGUACAUGCACCAAAAGCCGUAAGUCUUAUUUGUCUGAAACCCCCCCAAAAAAGUAGUAGUAAUAAUAAUAAAUGAAUAAAAAUAAAUCAGACAUCAUAAACAAAAAGCCAAUAAAAACUGAAACUCUCGUGACAUUUGGAUGCUUUUUUCAACUUUUGGAGGAGUCACGUUCUGCAGCACACCGCGUGACACAUAACAUUGUUAGUGUCAGUCACCCCAUUCUGCUCUGCUCACCACGUUUCCAAGUAACAGAACUUGAACAAAAUAAGUGCCUUUUUCGGUUUUGGUUACUUGCUUUUUGCUCAAGGCCUUUUGGACACAAUUUGUAAUGAAAUUAAUAGAACCAAAAAUGUGUAAGAAUAUGCCAUAAACAUAAGUCCUCCUCUAUAAUUUACAACUUGGCAGCAUCAAUUUGGGGUGUAGGGUUUUUUUUUUGUUCCUUUUGAGAAAGAAGAUUGAUUAAUCUGAUGAUCUGAAAAUUGGAAUAGUAUUAUUCCAUUUACUUGAUCAAGAAUGGAGAAUGCGAAUCCAUUAUCCAUGCAUACAUAUUUGUCAACCAUCACAUGUUUGCAUGUUUUGUUUAAUACUAUUAAUUAAUGAUAUUGCAUAAUAAAAGUAAAAUGGGUAAGAUAUAGCUGAAGCUAAUUAAGAUGACAAGAUACUCAUUUCGAGAAUAAGGAGCGGCAGCCCAUGCUUGAUGGGAAAAUAAAUUAAGAAUCAAAUCCAGUGGGAAAGAAUAGAGAAUAACAACAGAAAAAUUGAAUCAGAAAGCAGGCCUAGCUAGUAGCUACUACACCUUUUAGAUUGUAUAUUGUAAGCUAGCUACCGGCGCUGUUUAUUUGCUUCCAUGGCAACACAUGUACUCCGUAAACUGAUAUAAAGAGUAAAUAGUAGACACAUACCUAACAAACUUCAAUAAAAAAAUUUGCAGUCUGCUUAAUCAUUGAGGAGCCUCGAUCUUUUGGAUUUGGAUUUUCCAGGUGACUCAACAAAAACUCUUUUCCGGAUGGCCAAACAAAUACUCGAUCUGUCGAGUGCAGAUGUUGCCGUAGCCUUUUAGUCUUAGUUUACGUAGUGGGCAGGGAGUUUGAUUGUGCCUUUCAUUCAUAUCGAUUGCUCUUUAUAGUUCAAGUUGCAAAUGCAUCACCUAUAGUAGCUUAUGCCAAUAAGAUAACUAGACAAAUGAGAUUUGCAAUUUCAAUCAAUUAGCUGGGGAUUCUUUGUUUUUGUCUGUUAUUUUUAUGGGUGAAGGAGUUUGAUUGUCAGCUGUAUACGCACACUUGACAUAGCUGGACUGGUGGUGGAUGUUUAAGGCACUCAAAUUCAAGUAAAAUAAAUAAUAGAGAGGGUUGCUGUUUAAAUAAAUAAGAUUUCUCAUCAAUAUCUAAACUUUAAAGGAAAAAAAAAAAGUGAAACAGUCUAAUUUGAUGAUUUUUUCCUAUUGUUAAUUUUAUAGAAUACUAAUGGCUAAUUAAGCAGUUCUUAAUCCUAUAGGCACCAUAGAUAAGAUAUAUCUCAUGAUGGGCCAUUUACUCGUUUUGGAUGAUUUUUUUUUUUUUCAAACACAUCCAAAACGACAUUGUUUUAAGUGUCCUUUUGUCAGGAUUUAGUUCCCCCUCAUUUCUGGUUCCCGAUUCAUAAAGAUAUCCAAAUUUAAAAACAUUAAUAAUAGAGGAUUAAAAUUCUUUACAUUAUAUAACCAAAAUAAGAUAGAGACAAGUUAGGCGAAUGCCAUCAACAGGUUUAGUAAUUUGCAAGGAAUCGGCUUCCUUCAUCAAUUGGCAGAAUUUUAAAUAUAUAUAAAUUAAUUGCAUGUUAAUAAAUAAAUAAAUAAAUAAAUAGAUAAGUUUAUUAUGAAUAAUUAAUAAGUAGUGGAGUUCUGUCAUUCUCCAACUUCAAAUGAGAACACGCGACGCGAGUGGGAUUUACAUUAAGAAAACGUAGCAGCCACAGGAGAAACGUACCAGGAAUCAAAACCCCUGGAUUAGAAAUUUCGAAUGAGCCUCCGGAUAUUCCAUUUUAAGUGGCAAGUGCUUUUCAAAAUCGGCCAACCGAGAAUUCAAUCCCUCGAGAAUAUUCCCUCCUUAUUCUUGGACCUUCCCCGGAUCAACAUUAUUAACUACAUUAACAGGGCCACCAAAAUCUUGGUGACUAAUCAAUUUCAAAAAAGAAAUUAAAAAUUAAAAAUUAAAAGUCACACCCAUUCGAUCUUUGAUCCCCUAUCACAUCAAAGCCAUUAAACCAAUGGCCAGGAUUUAUUUUAAACCACAGAAAUAAUACAACGGGAUACAUGUUUGCUUUAUUGGAAAAAAAAAAAAGCCUACAAUUCUAGUCUCUAGAGACAGUAGUUGGAAAAACACGACUUGUAUUGUUAGCGUUGGACUUACCACAGAAUCUUCCGCGUAAUAUUCCUUUGGCAUAAGGCUUAUUCCUCCCAGCCGCGUCACUUUUUCUCAAUAUAAAUAGGUCUCCGCCCCCUGUAACUCUUUGCACCAAAAAUUCAGGAGAAAGUAAUCAAGAAUUUCGAGCUUUUUAUUUUAGCAACAGAAAGAAAGAAAAAAUGUCUGGAAUUGUUGUGAUUUUCGACUUCGACAAGACCAUCAUCGACUGCGAUAGCGACAACUUUGUUGUUGAUGAACUGGGUGCUACGGAUUUGUUCAAUCAACUCCUUCCCACCAUGCCCUGGAAUUCUCUCAUGGUACGUUUGAUUUUUAGGGUUCCUUUGCCUUUUGUAUGUAUGUUUUUAACUCAUAGCAUAACUCUUUAUUAAUGUGCUUAAAAAAAGGGCAUGUUUCAGUUUUUGGAUUCCUUUGCCUUUUAAUGUAUGUUUUUAACUCAAAGCAUAACUCUUUAUUAAUGUGCUUAAAAAAAUUACAGGACAGGAUGAUGAAGGAGCUUCAUUCACAAGGCAAGACGAUUGAAGACAUUGUGGAGGUUCUGAAGAGGAUUCCGAUUCAUCCCAGGGUCGUUCCUGCCAUUAAAUCAGCCCAUGCUUUAGGGUAUGAACUUCAUUAACGUUGGAAUUAGCAAAAAAGAAUUGGAGACUAAUUAAAACAUAUUAAUGGGGUUUAUUUAUUCGUUUCAGGUGUGAAUUGAGAAUCGUCAGUGAUGCAAAUUUGUUUUUCAUUGAGACAAUUUUGGAGCAUCUUGGGAUUAGAGAUUGUUUCUCUGAAAUCAACACAAAUCCUGGCUUUGUUGAUGAAGAAGGCAGGCUGAGAAUUUUCCCUUUUCACGACUUCACCAAAUGCUCUCAUGGCUGCAAUCUCUGCCCGCCAAAUAUGUGCAAGGUUUGAAUUUUGUACUCUUUUUUUUUAUUAUUAUUACAAUUUCAUUUUUUUAUUAAUAAGAUUUAAAAAUUUGCUAUUCAUGUCACCUAACUUUAAAAGAAAAGUCUAAAUAUUAUUUGGUCAAGAUUAAUUAUCAUAUGAUAAAAAUUCUAGAGUUGUUUCCAAAGUUCUAGACAAUCUCAUAUGCCUCUCGAGAUUCUUUUAAAAUUUUUUCAUCUAAUUGUUGUCAGCUAAUUGUUCUUUGUGACCCCACUUCUCCAUUUUUAUAUUAGCUUACAGUCAAAAUUGAUCAAAAAAUUUAUCUCAAACUUUAACAUUGGGCUGUGCUUAAAUUUUGUGAACAGGGCGUGGUCAUUGAAAGGAUUCAAGCUUCUUUAUCUAAGGAAGGAAACAAGAAAAUAAUCUAUCUUGGUGAUGGAAGUGGAGAUUAUUGUCCAAGCUUGAAGCUUAGUGAAGGAGAUCACGUGAUGCCAAGGAAAAACUUCCCAUUAUGGGAUUUAAUUAUCAGGAAUCCAAUGCUCAUUAAGGCCGAGAUUCGUGAGUGGACUGACGGUGAAGAGCUUGAGCAAAUUUUGCUUCACCUGGUGAACACCAUUGGAAGCACUAACAACAACAACUCAGCUCAAUUGCUUUCUGCUGACUGCAAAUUGCAGACAAUCUCUGCUGCUGCCCAUGAGACCCUGCCUCAAGUCCUCUCUGUUACUCAAUAAUUUUUUUGCACAAAAAUGUGCAGCAACAUUGUUCAAAAGAUUUUGCCUUUAUGAGCAUGUUUCAAUAAUUGUAGAUUAAUGUAACCCAUAAUGUAACUUUAUUUCUAUGCUAACGUCCUGUUUGUUCUCACCUCUCUGCUUUCCCCUGUUUUUUAUCCUUCAGCCAAUUAGGUCCAUUUUGUGUAAAUAUUGUUACUUUUCAGUCCACAAAAGUCAAGAAUUUUUGGCUUUAGUGGUUCACACGGACCCAACAAUGUAUCAAAUAAAGAUCCUCUCAUGAUCCUCUCAUGAGUUUUUUGAUAUCUUAUGUCAUGUGUGUUUAAGUAAUAGCGAAUGAGUAUGAUUUAAUUUCUUCAUUUUCUUUAUUUAUUAAACCUACAUAUAAUUUUACUUAGAAAAAAUUAGAUCAUAAGAGAAUCUUAAUAGACAAUGUAUCUGGUCUUGAAACAUUUUGAUUGUAGUCGAAAUCAAAACAGGAAUUUGAAAGAUAAAAUUCCAAUGAGGGUAGAGGCGUACAAAUAUUCGCAUGCAGAACAUCAAGCAAGAAAUUCAUUUAUCUUAAUUUGAUAAAGGCUUGCCGAGUUUGUCUGCGGGACACCACCAUGUCCAUGAAUUGUCUUCUUCUUGCUGAAACGUGGCUUAAAUCAUCCCUCAGUUUUUCCUGUGGCUCUUUGUAAUUCAGAAAUGAGUACCAAAUUAAAUAAUAAUAAUAAUAAUAAUAAUAUUGAUAACGACCGAUUUGAAAAAAGAAUGUCGAAUUAUUAAACCAUGGCACGCGACGUUGGCAAUAAAUGUACGUACUAGCAUUUGCAGAUAACAUAUAUAAUAUAUUAUAAGAAAAUGAAAGAUUUUAUAUUUUAACUUGCUAUCAGCAAUCUCCAAUCGUAUAUAUAAUAUUUCAGCUUCCCUUAAUGAUAAAAUUAUUUAAUCUGAUGAGCCACGAUGAAGGAUCCUGAUGAUGGCGCGUGCCGCAUAUAAAAAUGCUACUAAAAAGAAAAAAAAGUAGCCAUCGAGGAAGACUCCCACUUUGCAUUGUGGCUGCUAAACGACGGGUCAAUUUUGGUCAGUCAUGGACUCGCGUUAAUGCUUUCCAACAGUGAAUUAAUAAUACAUUUAAAUUCUACUAAUGUUGAAAUAUUUCAAAUUUGGUACGUCUUUGAAGCUUCAAAGCCCCUUCAAUUUUUAUAAUUUUCACCUCUUCAUAUCCCACAAAUUUAUUUAAUCACCAAUUUCUUUAAUAAUAUAUUGGUGCCUGAAAUUACUAUUUAGAAGAUAUCUUUCAAUGAUUUCGAUGACUUAGAUCGAUUAAUUUCAAUUAUUAAAAUAACUUAAUCAUAAAAAUAAUACCAUUUUAUUAAUUUUAGACACAUUAUGUUUGCAUGAAAUAAUUCAUGAGAUGGUUGCAAAGAUUGGAAUAAGCUUGACUUGACUUAGAAAAAAAAAAAAAUCUCACAUCUUAUAAAGUUUUAGAAGCAUCACAAAAAUUCUAUCUCUUGUCUAGAAAAGAGAACAGGAAAAAAAAAAGAAAGAAAAAGCAGCCGAGAAUGUGAUACAUUCUCAAAUUACAAAUAUGGCCAGUGAUGUUUUUAACAAUCAAGCCAUAAGUUUCUGAUAAAAUAUUCCUCGGCGUAUAUCCAAAAUCACAGCUGUAAUUCUUCACCUGCACAGCUAUCAAGUCUAUAAAUACCCAGCAUAUCUCUAGAAAUAUUUGUUCAAUAUUAAUUUAACAGCACCAACAAUUUCGUUUGGCGAUCAUCACUUGCAAAACCAAGAGAAAAUUAAUUUCCUGCUAGUUUAAUUUGUUCAUAAAAAUGGCUGACAUCGUGGUGGUUUUCGACUUCGAUAAGACGAUUAUCGACUGCGACAGCGACAAUUGGGUGGUAGAUGAGUUGCAUGCUACUGAGUUGUUCAAUCAACUCCUCCCCACCAUGCCCUGGAACUCUCUCAUGGUUAGUACCCACUUUCAUUUUUUUUUUUAAUUACUUUUCCUUUCAAAUUUCUUCUUUUAGUUAAUUAAAAUAAAGCCAUUUACUGUUUUAAUUUUAUGUGCAAAAACAUGCAGGGUAGAAUGAUGGAGGAGCUUCAUGCACAAGGCAAAACUAUUGAGGACAUUGUUGAAGUUCUAAAAAGAGCUCCUAUUCAUCCUAGCAUAAUUUCAGCCGUUAAAGCAGCUCAUGAUCUAGGGUAUAUAUAAAUAAUUAAUCUCUCUCUCUGUCUCUCUGUUUCUGAGUUAUUGAUUAAAUUUCUUUUUUUUUUAAAAAAAAUUUAUGUAUGAAAAUUUGCAAUGUUGCUUCUAUAUACAGGUGUGAUUUGAAGAUAGUAAGCGACGCGAACCUGUUCUUUAUUGAGACAAUUCUGAAGCACCACGGAAUAUGGGAAUUAUUUUCAGAGAUCAAUACGAACUCGAGUUUUGUUGACGAAGAAGGGAGGCUAAAGAUUUUCCCUCACCAUGAUUUUACCAAAUCUUCGCAUGCUUGCAGUACUAAUAUUUGCCCACCAAACAUGUGCAAGGUAUAAUUCAUUACUUACCCCUAUAACGUAUGAGAGAGUUGUUUUCUAGGGUAAAUGUUGGCACAUUUUAAAAUAUAAAUUUGAGGUAGCGAUCUUAUUUAGCUACAAAAGACAGAAACAUCACAACGAAAAUUUGAAGAUUGUUGGGUCGUUAAGGUUAAUGAAAAACAAGAAUUUAUAAAUUAAUUAGGCCGAUCAGCUCUUUCUAUAGAUCGGAUCUAAACACAUGGGAGCUUUAUUUUUUGUUCAAUUGCUGUUCCUGUUACUUGAGUGUCGGUACCAUACUUUUUUUUUUUUUCUUCUCCUCUCUUUUGGUAUAUAUAUGUUGAGAUUAGUUCCGGCCUGCUUAGGUUAAUCAAAUGAGGAAUAUGACAAAAUUAUCACAUGCAGUAGUCAAGUAUCAUAAUUCUUGAUUAAUGAAUACCUAACAGGGAGUGGUGAUAGAAAAAAUUCAGGAAUCAAUGUCCAAAGAAAAGAAAAUCAUCUAUAUUGGAGAUGGGACCGGCGAUUUUUGCCCUAGUUUGAAGCUCAAACAGACUGACUAUAUCAUGCCAAGAAAGAAUUUCCCAGUCUGGGAUUUGAUAUGCCAAAAUCAUAAGCUCAUAAAGGCAGACAUACAUGAAUGGUAUGAUGGACAAGAGCUGCAACAUGUGCUGCUCCAAAUUAUUAACUCAAAUAUUAUUAUUUCUAAUGAACAAGACGACGGCGACGACAAUGGCGAUUCCACUCAGCUAGUUACAGUUGACUGCAAGCUUCAUAAAAUUCCAGUCUCUGCCCAUUGAGUGUAGCAGAUAUUAUCAAUAUAGCCGAUGUUGUAGAAUUGAUGUUAAUGUCACAUUUCAUCUGGCUGGUUUCGGCCUCAGCAAUUAAUGUUCAAGGUGUUUGUUGCUGAAUGAAAUUGAAUGAAAAUUUACAAAUAUGAGAUGGCUUCAAUUUUUUAUUUUAUUUUAUUUUAUUAUUAUUUUAGUUUGCUUGUUGGCUUGUUAAAGUUCUGGCCACUUAAGACAGUUAUACAAAUGAGAUUGAAAAAAGGGGAUCCCAAAUCAUGUAAUCAUGAAAUUAAUGGAAUGAAAAUGACUAGCAUUAUAAUUCAAGAAAGGUAUAUAUAGAAUUGCUAUCUAAUUGGCUCUUGCUACACCGAUUGUUCCUCGCAUAUUAGCCAUAAUUUUGAAAUAUUUAGGAUAAAUUUUAGAUUAUUCCACUCAUGAAUUAACUAUCUUCAAAUUAUUUCUUUAUUUUUUAAAACUUAAAGUUACUUCCUAAAUCUUAUUAUUUCUCCAUUAAUUUUAAUAGUUAAAAGGAUAAAAUAGUAUUUAUAAAAUUUGAAACAUUCAAUUAAUUGAAAGAAAUCAAACUUUUCUAUUUUUUUCACUCUUUUAUAUUUAUUAUUAGACAAAAUGACUAAUACUCCUUACUUAUAUUUUGGAGAACAAAGAUACUUCAACAUAAAUUAAAUUAAUUUUCAUUUAAUUUCAAAAAAUCAAAAUUCAUUUGUUACUGUUCAUUCACCUUCAUCUAACAAAACUCACUCUCUUCUAUAUAUAAACACAGCACAACCGCAACAUUCUCUCUCCCAAAAUUUUUGUUGAUAAAUAAUUUUAAAUCAACAAUCCGUAAAUAAAAACUAAAGUAAAACUAAAAUCUAAUUAAAAUCUAAACAAGUUUUGCAAUAACUCGAUUAGUUUUGAAGUCAAAAUUCCAUAUUUGAAAAUACUCUGUCUAGUUAUCGAUUAUAGUUGCAUGUCAUGGUCAAGAAAAUUCUGAGAACUCAAAGGCAAUCAAACCCGUGGCCAUGGAUACCAAGCCCAUGGCUGCUUAAAAAUAGAUAAUUAACAAAAAAUUGUUAAAAAAGAGACAUUUUUGUUCUUUAGCAAGUCAACUACGGUCAAGGCUAGAGUUCAACACUCCAUGCCAAGCUAGUGUCCAAAUCUGCAAGCCAAUCUAUCUUCUCCCAAAUGUCCUCACCGUUAAAAAUGUACCUUUUGACGUUGUUUACACCAUUAGAUGUAUACUCAACCACAACUUGCUCUAUGCACUGCCGCCAGCAUGAGAUGGGACGGGAUUUGCAGCAUUGAGCAAUCCCUCCUUCAUAUACUGCCUGCUUCUUAUAAGAAAACUCAAACUGAAACAAAAGGACAAGGCAGUUAUAAGCAAAGCAGCGUUUGUUACAAGCACGCAAAACAAAGGCAUAAACGUAAAAUGGACCAACUUAAGUACCAGCAUUACAUGUGUAUCAUAAUCACAUAAUUCUCACAGUAUAAACCAAGACCUAAUUCAGACCAAUGCAAAAUAUUCAGUACCUUAAAAGAGAACCAGUUCCAGUAAAAUGAUUUGAUUGUAACAGUCCUUAAAUGAGGUGAAAUCCAGAGCAAACCAUCGAUAGUGUUUUUAAUUGCGACUCGCACACGGGUUCCAGUUAUUGCAAAGUCCAGGUUGUUGUAACCAUAGAAUGGGGAAGAUCGGAUUUGCCUCAAGUCUUCUGGAAUAUCCGCAUUCUGCACAAAAGAAUUUGAAUAAUAUAUAAGAAAUAAAAAAGUAUGUAAAAUAGUAAACAGCUCGAUAUUUAAAUGUAUACAUAUAGCAUGCAAGAAGUGACAUACCUCACCCUUGUAACUUUUCAAAUUCACCGCUUUGGAAACAUUAUGGAACAUUGCAAGGAGUCCAAUAUACUCAGAAUACCAGUCAAUGUCGCUGUUAUUCUUGUUGAAACUGAGAUGAGUUUCCAACAAAGUCAUAGCACCUAUAGAGAAGGAUACCACAUCACCUUGAUAUCUGAAAAUACUUAAAUUAGGAGCCUCAAUCUUGACUUCAAUCAACCCUGCACAUUCAAAGAUCUUCAGCAUCUUAAGACUGAGACUUGAAAUCUUAAUACUCUUCAACUUGUCACAACCAACCAAAUUCAAAUUCUCGAGGAAUGGAAAGUUAGGAAUUUGGCUACAAAGCCACUCAUCCUUCAGAGAAAGCAGGCGCAGAGUUAAAUUUUUAAUAUUCUUACAGGAGGCUACAUUGAUCUCGCAUGGUAAGCUUAAUUGAAUGCUAACUGUCUUCACAUUCAGAGUUUGGAUAGAAAGCCAUAGAACUUCCAGACAGUUACGGACCUUGAAUUCAUUGAGUUUGGUAAGACCAGAUAGAUCUAGAGUAUUAAAGCCAAGGCAGUUAACCAGACUUAGAUGUUCAAUCAAAGGACAGCCAUCAACUAGGCUCUCAAGGACUAGAUCGGCAGCAUAAACGCUUGUGAGACAUAAUUUUUUCAAAGAAGAUAACUUCACACUUCUCAGAGACUGCAGCUUACAACAACUUAAGGCUAACACUUGUAUUGAUUUUGAGCAUAAAACCUCUUGAGGCAAAUUGUAGCAGCGCUUGUUAUGAGCGUCAACUGAAGGCAUUCCUGGUCUAGUAUCAACAACACGUGCACUAGUAUGAAAUGGAAGUGCGAGUUUCAGCUCUUUGACAUCACUUUCUAAUGCAGAGAAGAUACACCGGUCUACAAAUGGUCCGAGUUCUUUUACCCGUAAUUCAUACAAGUCAAGUGUGAACUUGUCUAACCUUAUCAUCUCCCUGCGGCGGGUGCGCAGAGUUCCCUCUACAUAAUUUAAUGCCCUGCUUAACUUCUCAUCUCCAAGUUGAGCUUCAAUUUUGUUGUUGCAAGAAACCGAAGGAACUUGAUUAAAGAAAGUUUUAUCAAAUUCCAAAAUUGGGAAUGUACGCCAGGCUCGUUCCCAUGCUUGCGACAAAACAGUUGUUUGAACUACUUGUUUAAAUGAGAGGAAUGACAAAAUACAAUGCAGUAUUGGUUCCGGCAAAUUAGAUAUCCUGUCCAUGCUGCUAAGCACCUCCUCCAUAAUAACAAUAUCACCACCAGAUUCCCUGAAUCAGUAGCAACAUCUUCCUUCUAAGUAUGCUAAUUAAAUUGAGACAACUGAGUACUAAUAAUAAUAAGAAUAUUGGCUGGAUUCUAUCAAUUUAAUUCAAUGUAAUAAAGAAAAUAAAUAAUCCUAACAAAAACUCUUUUGAAUUGAACAUGUUUAAUUUCUUUUUUGUACGAGAAGAGACACUGAAACUUUCACUUUCACCGGAAAAAGAAAAAUCAGCCUAAAACAGAACUGAAUUAUUUAUAAAAGAAAAGAAAGGAAAAGAAAAGAAAAAGAGACACGUUAACACAGAACCAAUAUGGAUGAGGAUGAUAAAAUACCUAUUCAUCCGAUCGAUCAAUCGUGACAGUCCAACAGCGACAGCGACGGCAACCGAAACAGCAGAACUGUCAAGAAAGGAUUGAUCUGCUUUAACUAUGUUUUGUAUAGGCUUAAUUUUGAGGAUUCCGAAUCCAAAACAGACAAAGUCACAACAGCAAAAUUAUGUAGGCUCAGUCUGCUCCGUGUAUAUAUAUUUUGAAAAUUCCAAAUCCAAAUCGGACACGUCCUUCUGCUUCUCCUAACGCGAAUCGGACAUGCGGCUAGUCGCUACGCAACAGUAAUUAAGCUUUUUGGAGAUAAGAGUGGUUUCGUUUCCAUCCAUUUUAUGUACUUCCAUCUGUUAGUUGAAGAACUAGUUUGUUACAAAGUACGCAAAUCUAACCCUGACAACUUCGGAUGACGCAAUCUUUUGUCAUCAAAUAGGCUUUUGAGUCUUGACUCUUGACACCCCCUUCAAAAUUCCGAACUGCUUAAAUAAUCGAAGUAAUUUAUGAAUAAUGAUAAAUAUUUUAAAAAUUUUAUCCCAAAGAAAUUCAAGUAAAUAUUUAAAUAUUAUUAUUCCUUGAAAAAAAAUUUAACACUAUCUUAUUUCAUAAUUUGUAUUAUUCUUUAAAUUUUAAUUAAAGAUAUGUUCUUUAUUGAUGCGAGAUUCUGGUUACCCUCUCGACCACGAUUAGGAUCUCUGCUCAAUCAACUCGACCACGAUCAGGAUCUCUCCUCGUAUGACUUCUUUUUAAAAAAUUCAUGCGUACACAGAAAUAAGUCAGAGCACGCCGGUUGUUUUCAAAUUGCACAUGACAUAUGAAAAGAUAAUCAAUUCACAGGGGUGGAGUAAUCUGAGACUUACCCAAUUAUGUAUAUUGAAUAGACGUACGGUGGAAAUUUAUAUAACUUUUUGCAUUUUAUUUCUUAUGUUUUACAUAUACAUGAGGAACUUAAUUAUAACCCAGAUUGCUUACAUGAUUAACACAUAAUUAUUUGUAAUCUACGCAUAUUAUGCCCAAAAAAUUUCAAUUUUAAUUUUGAUGAGUAAGUAAUACACAGAAACUUGUCUGCAAAAGGUAUAUAUCAAAUAGAAAUAGACCACUCCAUUGAAAUUAGCUUUUGAAUUAUCUUGAAAAUUGAAAGGCCAUUCAUAGAUUUAGUGCUCUUUUACUUUUGCUGUAUUCAGAAUUUGUCAGCUUCUCUCAUAAAUUAUCCACAAGAUUAAUUAACACUCCUGAAAGUGUUUUCCUGAAAAUGAUCUUAACUGAAUGAAUAUGGCAAUAUGAAAAGAUGCAAUUGAAUUUCCAGUUAACAAAAAGCAUAGUAGGAUUCACUUAAUAGCCUACAAUGGUAAGAAUUAAUGGCCACAGUGAUUGAUUUCUUCGAAAGCAUAUGACAGACAUACUUCCAAAUCUUGACUGCAAAUCACAAUAGCCUAACAAGUCUAUUGCAAAUCAUGAACAAAUCCACUUUAACAAAAGGGUGUUUGAAACCUGAUCUUCCAAACAGAGAAAUAAUAAUGUCGAGCAAAGGUGCCCACCUACAAUUGUCUUAUUGUAGAAUGCACAAUGAUCCAUUUUGCUGAUUCUGGAUUUGUUUCUUUCAAUCUCUUAUUAUUCAACAUUUAAUGAUAUUCAGCUCACUAUUUUACGUAAACUUUUUUACCACAUUGUUCCACUUUUUGUUACUUUUGUGGUUUGUCGUGUCGUGUAAUUACUAUUAACUAGUCAAAGGGCCUGCCAUAGCUAGAUGCAUGCGUUGAAAUUCUGGCUGCGCAUAUGUGCUGUGAAAGCUACACGAGAUUUGUUGGGUUGCGCGCCACUGCCAUGUGAACUAAAUCACAAUGGAAAACUAGUGUGAAAAACGAUUGCCUCUGCUCUCUGUUUAAACGAAUUUACUAUAGUUAAUCAUAUGUUGUUGUCUUGUUGAUUCUAAUGUGGGUCUUUAUUUAUUAUUUAAGUUUUUGAAUCAGUCCUCUUGGCGCAGCUCAUUUGGCAGUAAAUAUGCUUUUUGUCCAUGAUAACAUUGAGUUUAAGUAAUAAUAGAGAGGUUAGUAGUUGGUGUUUAGUGGGUGCUAUUUAUUUUUUCAUCUGGUCGGUUAAACUAUUAUAUAAGUCUUUUUUUUUUAAUUUCAUGAAAAUUUUUAGUUACUAAUCAUUAAGUUAUUAAGUCAAUUUCUUUUAUCUUUUUGUUUAAUUUAAAAAUCUAAAUGAUUAAAUAUUUGAGAAUGCAGCUGCGUUAUAUAUUUGUUAGUAGAAUAAGUAUAUCAAUAAGUUAAGUUAUUAAGUCAUUUUUUUAACUGUUCUAGCUUAACCAAGGUUUUCAGAUCGAGACUUGGGAAUACAACUGCUUUAAAUACUUAUUGGGAGAGCUUUGUCGCCUUAGUAGUCAUACUCAGCUCAAAUCUGGAUUAGUCGGGGCCUAAUACAGUCUUCAUAUACUAGAUAGUUUAAUAUACCAAAAAAAAAUCUAAAUGAUAUCAUUAAAACAUAUUCUCUAAAAUAUUUCUAUAUAAUUAAUUAAUUUUCAUACUUACCUAAAUAAAAUCUAUUAAUUAGUAUUAUUACCCAUCUUCUUGUGAUAAUAUAAAGGUAGGAUAUUAUUAUUUUUAUCUUUUAUUUUCUUCAAAUUAGCACUAUUUAUCUUUAUAAUUUUUUCUGAAUAUUUUUCCAAGAAAAUAUCAUAAAUUACAAUAAAAUUGAUUAGCAUAUACUAAUGCAUAAUGUUGAGUGUUAGAAAAUACAUAUUUAUAAAGGAGAAAACCGUCAUUUUACAUUUCAAGUCUUACUAACAACCCUUACUUUUAUGUACUUAACCUUCUUGUGAUGUAAUUACGUGUGUGUUAUUUUAAUUAAGUAUUUUAUGUAUUUUAGGGGCAUUAUAGUCAUUUCACAAUAAAGGAGAGAUCAGACGGCAAAACGGACAUCACUUUUGAACUCAGGAUGGUCGAAAACCUUAGGAGGAGCAUAAAAGGAAAAAUGGCACUAUUCACAUGUACGGUACUAUUCACGUAUACGGUACUGUCUACGUUACUGUUCACGACACUGUUCACAUAGACGGAUCGAUGACGUGGCAUUGACCGAUGAUGUGGCAUUGACUGAUGAGGUGUCACGAUCCUGUUGGGCUAAAAUUCUUAUGUACUGUUGAUGGUGACGUGGCAGCAUAUCAGUGGACGAAAAAUCUCACGUACGGUGCAUGCAUCACACAGGAUUAUUUUCAACCAAACCGCGUUACUGUUCAUCCGGGUCAAACCGUGUUACUGUUCAUCCGCGUGGUCAAACCGUGGACUGUUGACUGAUGACGUGGCGCAAUCCUGAGCGUCCAAACUGUUUUUAAUCCGAUGGCCAUGAUUUACUCCAUGUAUCUAUAAAAAGGGGGCCUCCCCCCCCUAAUUUGAUAUCUCUGAAUCCAUUUUUGGGAUCCAUUUUCUGUAAUUCCUACUCCAUCUUGUAUUUUCUUUGUAUUUUAAUAAAUUCCCAUUUUGCCCCUAGUUCAAUUAUGAGUGGCUAAUUUUCUUUCAAGCUUGGGUUGAAGGUGAAGUCUCAACAUGUGUCAUGGGCUUUAUUUGGUAAAUUUAUUUUCUUUUCCCCUCUAGUUUUUGUGGAUGAUUUGACUUAUCGUCGACAAAUAAUACUGAUCUUGUCUAGAUACCGCCUUGGUUACACCGGCUCUCUAGUAUAAGGUUAUUAUUAUUUGGCACGAUAAGCCCUUAGCACCAUAUUGAUUAGAGCGUGGUUCAUGAGGUGUGGAUUCCCCCCUCAUGAUUUAAUUGGCAUUAAUACGGAUUAUUUAGCCCAUGAUGCAUGUUGAUACGGAUCCAGAUACCCAAGUACGUCAAUUUAAUAGAUUUUCUCUUCAAUUUAUUCUCUCCAUUGCAAUUCCAAUUUUAGAAUUUAUUCUCGCCAUUUUAAUUUAAGUAUUAGCAUAUUCCAAAUCAUUUCCACCAUAAAUCCAACUACCCAUUUACAAAAUUAAUUCUAUAUAUAAUUAAAAUCCACCUCCUCGUGGGAUCGACACUCGUCACCAUUAGUCUAUACUACAAUAGAUUCGUGCGCUUGCGAGUACAUUAAAAUUUGCACAACAAGUUUUUGGCGCCGUUGCCGGGGAGGUAAGUAAUUUUAAUUCAUAGAAUUAAUUUUUGUGGAUAAUUUCUUUUAUUUGUUUUCUUGUAUUUUUUUUUAUUAAAAAAAAGAAAGAAAAAAAAGUAAAUCUACAUUUAGAGGUUAGUAUUUCUUUUCUUUUUCUCUUCUUUAAAAUUCUGUAAUUUAAUUUUCAAUUUAUUUUUUCUUUGUAAUUUUUGUUUAUUUUAUUAAUUUAAUUUUUAGUUAAUUUAUUUCACGUAUUUGUUUUUGUGUAUUUUUAUAGAAAGGUUGUAAUAGCGCAAUAAGGUUAGUAUCGUAAUUUCUCCCUCUUCUUUAUUUUUAUUUGUUUUGUUCCCAUCUUUAUUUUUUGUUUUGUUUGCAUCUUUAUUUUUAUUUUUAUUUUAUUUUGCAUGCAUGGUCGUAGGUCAUUAUUACCUAAUCUUGAACCUAUAGACCUUGAAUUAGAAAAAACACUUCGCACACACAAACACGUUAAAAAUAAAAUGGAUUUGCAACCACAGGAGAGGCCAUUUAAGGACUAUUUUAGUCCCUUAGCUAAUUUGAGCACGUCAUGCAUAAGAUACCCAAAUGUAGCUGCUAGGAGUUUUGAAUUAAAACCUAGUGUGUUAAAUUGUCUCCCCACAUUUUAUGGCCUAGAAAAUGAGGAUCCAUAUAAUCAUUUGAAUGAUUUUCAUGCCAUUUGUCAAACAUUCAAAUAUGAGAAUUUUUCAGACGAUGAUGUUAAACUCAGACUAUUCCCAUUUUCUUUAAAGGAUAGAGCUCGUUCAUGGUUAAAUACGUUGCCUGCUAACAGCAUUUCAUCAUGGGAACAAAUGGUAACUAAAUUUUUGAAUAAAUAUUUCCCAGUGCAUAAAACCAAUUCUAUUCGCAGGGAAAUUUCAGAGUUUACACAAAGAGAGGACGAGCAGUUUUUCGAAACUUGGGAGCGAUUCAAUGGGCUACUCUUGAAGUGUCCACAUCAUGGGUACGAGAAAUGGCACCAAUGCCAAUACUUUUUGGAGGGAUUAUUGCCGAAUGUGCAAGAAUGGCUAAUGGCAACAAGUGGAGGAGAGCUAAUGUCAAAAAGUGCAUCAGAGAUUUGGGAAUUCUUCCAGCGACAAGCGGAUAAUUCCCAACAACGGAGUCGAUCACUCAGGAAUACUAGAAGAAUUAAGGGAGUAAAUGAGGUUCAAAUUGGCGAGUCAACUUCGGGAAUCAAAGAAGUCAAGGAGAUGGUUGAAGGUCUCGCUCGACAAAUAGCAUCGUUAUCGACUGUUAAAUCAACAGAACCACAUGACCAUGACUCAUACUCUGAUCAAGCCAAUGCCAUAGGUGUAAUGAGAAAACCAUCGAAUUACAACCCAUACUCCAACACAUAUAACCCUGGAUGGAGAGACCACCCCAAUUUUUCAUGGUCUCAAGGAUUCCAACAGAAUGGACCAGCAGCUCCAGCUCCAGCUCCACAAAUUCCUCAAGUUCCUCAAGCCUCUCAGCCCCCAUUUAGACCAUUCAAUCAGAACCAGAACUACUCUCAACCCAGAUCAUGGGAGGAUUCAUUCCAGAAUUUCAAGAAUGCUACUCACUCUACGAUUGAGCAACAGAACCGCACCAUUGAUGGACUACGAAAUGAGUUGAGAGCGGGCUUCAAUUCACAAGCCCAAUCAGUUUCAAGCCUCGAGAAGAUGGUGGGACAACUUGCUUCUUCAGUUCAGACCUUGGCAAUGACUGUUGAGAAAGGCAAGUUUCCAAGUCAACCAGUGCCUAAUCCUAAAGGAGUGCAUGAAGCAAGUACCAGUUCACCACAGCAGCAUGGAGAGGUCAAAGCAGUCAUGACCUUGCGAAAAGGAAAGGAAGUCGACAAUAAAGUGGAGAUGCCGGUGACAAAAGAAAAUCAAAUUGUACCUGUAAAUGCUGAGGACUCACCACCGGAGGAAAAAGAAGAAACCAACCCACGAGAAUACGUUCCCAAAGCUCCAUUUCCUCAGAGGUUAGUGAAAGGAAAGAAGGGAAAAUCCACAGGUGAGAUUCUCGAAAUCUUCAAACAGGUAAGUGUCAAUAUCCCUUUGCUUGAUGCUAUAAAACAAGUUCCAUCUUAUGCCAAGUUUCUUAAAGACCUUUGUACUAAAAAGAGAAAUAUGCAUGUUCAAAAGAAGGCAUUUUUAACAGAAAACGUUAGUUCUAUACUCCAACAUAAAAUUCCUUUAAAAUGCAAAGACCCAGGCUCCCCCACUAUCUCAUGUAGUAUAGGGAACCACACAAUUGAGAAUGCUUUGUUGGAUUUAGGAGCUAGUGUAAAUUUGUUGCCUUACUCUGUAUUCGUGAAACUUGGACUGGGAGAAUUACACCCAACUCCAGUGGUGUUACAGCUUGCAGAUCGGUCCACGAAAAUACCUCGUGGUAUUGUGGAGGACGUGCUUAUCCAGGUAGACAAGUUUUAUUUUCCUGUUGAUUUCAUUGUAAUUGACACUCAACCAAUACAGGAUUCAAAGAAGCACAUCCCCAUUAUUCUAGGCCGACCUUUCUUGGCGACUGCGGAUGCUCACAUUCAAUGCAGGACUGGAAAUAUGCAGUUGUCCUUCGGCAACAUGACUAUGGAGCUAAAUAUUUUCAACAUUGCCAAACAACCUCACAGUGCAGAUGAUGGAAUUGUUGAUGUGGAUUUAAUAGAAACAAUAGUUGAUAAUACUUUUAUUUCAAACCUUAGUGAUGAUCCUUUACAAACAUGUUUAACUCACUUUGGUUUGGAUUUUGAUAUUGACAGAUCGGUCGAAGAGGUCAACGCCCUACUUGACUCAGCACCAUCCAUGGACACUAAUAAAUGGAAGUCAAGAGUUGAACAACUAGCACCAUCAGAGAAGAAACUCAUUCCAUCAUCAGAAUCACCACCGAAACUCGAGCUCAAACCAUUACCCAACACUCUAGAAUAUGCAUUUUUGGGAGAAGAAAGUACUCUGCCGGUAAUCAUCUCAUCAUCCCUAAAUGACGAACAAAAAGGUAAGUUGUUGGAUGUUUUAAAAGAGCACAAAGGGGCAUUAGGAUGGACCAUAGCAGACAUAAAAGGUAUAAACCCAGUAGACUGCAUGCAUUACAUUCACCUUGAUGAAAAUGCUAAAUCUACUAGGGAAAUGCAACGUCGGUUAAAUCCUAAUAUGAAAGAAGUUGUUAGAACAGAAGUCCUUAAGCUAUUAGACGCAGGUAUCAUUUACCCAAUUUCUGAUAGUUCAUGGGUCAGUCCUGUACAAGUUGUCCCCAAAAAGUCAGGAGUCACAGUAGUUACCAAUGCUGAUAAUGAAUUGAUACCAACUAGAGUAACUACAGGAUGGCGUGUAUGCAUUGAUUAUAGAAAGUUGAAUUCUGUCACACGUAAAGACCAUUUUCCUUUACCAUUUAUCGAUCAAAUGCUUGAUAGAUUAGCAGGCCACGAAUUUUAUUGCUUUCUAGAUGGCUACUCAGGAUAUAAUCAGAUUCCCAUAGCACCAAAAGAUCAAGAGAAAACUACUUUCACUUGCCCUUUUGGCACAUUUGCAUAUAGGAGAAUGCCAUUUGGAUUAUGUAAUGCACCUGCUACAUUUCAACGAUGCAUGUUAAGCAUUUUUUCUGAUAUGGUUGAACGAUUCCUUGAAGUCUUUAUGGAUGACUUUUCUGUCUUUGGUGACUCGUUUGAUCAAUGUUUACAUCAUCUAACGCUAGUUCUGCAGAGAUGUACCGAGAAGAACUUAGUCUUGAAUUGGGAGAAGUGCAAUUUUAUGGUAAAACAAGGUAUUGUUCUCGGUCACAUCAUUUCGAGCAAAGGUAUUGAGGUUGACAAAGCCAAGGUGGAUCUCAUUUCUAAUCUUCCUCCACCUAAAACAGUCAGAGAAGUAAGAUCUUUCCUUGGGCAUGCUGGUUUCUAUAGACGUUUCAUUAAAGAUUUUAGCAAAGUUUCUAGACCCUUAUGCAAUUUACUUGCUAAGGAUGUACCUUUUAUCUUUAAUGAUUCAUGUCUUAUGGCUUUUGAAAAAUUAAAGCAGUUGUUGACAUCAUCACCCAUCAUUCAGGCCCCAAACUGGAGCUUACCAUUUGAACUCAUGUGUGAUGCAUCUGAUUAUGCAGUAGGAGCAGUAUUAGGACAAAGAGUUGAUCGAAUUCCCCACGUUAUUUACUAUGCUAGUAUGACAUUGAAUGAUGCACAGUUGAAUUAUUCAACUACUGAAAAAGAAAUGCUAGCAGUAGUGUUUGCAUUAGAGAAAUUUCGAUCUUAUCUCAUUGGUUGUAAAAUAAUUAUAUUCACAGACCAUGCUGCUCUUAAAUAUCUUCUCACAAAGAAAGAUGCAAAAGCUAGACUAAUUCGUUGGGUGUUACUUUUGCAGGAAUUUGACUUGGAAUUCAAAGAUAAGAAAGGCACAGAGAAUGUUGUAGCUGACCAUCUCUCUCGCCUCCAUUUUGAUACAAUUAUGGAACCAUUACCAUUGAAUGAGUCAUUUCCAGAUGAACAAUUAAUGAAUGUGGAAGUAUUACCUUGGUAUGCUGAUAUAGUUAAUUAUCUUGUUACAGGUAAACUUCCAGAGCAUUGGACCAAGCAAGACAAGGCUAAAUUCUUUGCGGAAAUAAAGAAUUUCUUUUGGGAUGACCCGUAUUUGUUCAAGUAUUGUGCAGACCAAAUUGUUAGACGAUGUGUCCCUGAAAAUGAAAUUCAGAAUAUUCUUUCAUUCUGCCAUGCACAAGCGUGUGGAGGCCAUUUUAGUGCUAAGAAAACAGCUACAAAAGUUUUACAAUGUGGUUUCUAUUGGCCAACUAUAUUUCGAGAUGCUUACACUUUCUGUUCUUCAUGUGAUAGGUGUCAACGAAUGGGGAGCAUUACACGAAGAAACAUGAUGCCACUAAAUCCAAUUUUAGUGGUUGAGAUUUUUGACGUAUGGGGUAUCGACUUCAUGGGACCCUUUCCCCCUUCUUUUGGCCAUCAAUACAUAUUGGUUGCUGUUGACUACGUCUCGAAAUGGGUAGAAGCAAUUCCAUGUAGGACCAAUGAUCACAAAGUGGUGAUAGGAUUUUUGAAAAGCAACAUUGUUUCACGCUUUGGAUUCCCUCGAGCGAUAAUCAGUGAUGGUGGUGCCCACUUUUGUAACAAAGCAUUCAAAGCUCUUUUGACAAAGUAUUCAAUCACACACAAAGUGGCGACCCCGUAUCAUCCGCAAACCAGUGGCCAAGUUGAGAUCUCCAAUCGAGAAAUCAAGCACAUAUUAGAAAAAACGGUGAGGCCAGACAGGAAAGAUUGGUCAUUACGACUUGAUGAUGCAUUAUGGGCAUAUAGAACGGCUUUCAAGACCCCGAUUGGGAUGUCACCCUACAGGCUAGUGUAUGGAAAAGCUUGCCACCUACCUGUGGAACUCGAGCAUCGUGCAUAUUGGGCCAUCAAGAAAUUCAACUUUGACAUGCAGCAAGCCAGCUCAGAGAGAAGAUUACAACUGGCAGAACUUGAAGAAAUUCGCAAUGAUGCAUACGAAAAUGCCAAAAUUUACAAGCAGCGGAUGAAAGUCUUCCACGACAAGCACGUUAUGAGAAAAUCUUUCACUCCAGGUCAGAAAGUACUUUUAUUCAAUUCUCGCUUGCACCUAUUCCCAGGUAAGUUACGCUCUCGAUGGUCUGGUCCCUUUAUUGUUCAUACUGUUUUUCCACAUGGGGCAAUUGAAAUUAAAGACCCAAAGAACGGUGUCACGUUUAAAGUUAAUGGUCAAAGAUUAAAGCCAUAUCUAGAGUACCAACCACAUGAAGAAGACACCGAAAUAAAUUUGAGUGACCCACCAGAUUUGAAUUAAUUUUUUUUUCUCUUUUUAUUGAUUUGAUUUUUCUUUCUUUCUUUUUAUUAUUCUUUUGCUAAUUGAAAUUAUUUUUGCAUAAGUAUGUUUGUUUAACAAUUAAGUUUUCUCUUAUCAUUUUUAAUCAUGAGUCUCAUACUUAGACCGUUCCUCCUGAACAUUCUUAAAUCACUUCAACGUGUCAAAACUCAUCUCAAAAGGCAGAUUCUAUUUUGUAAAACACAACGCAUUUGGGCUCUACAACCACCAGAGUUAGUAGCCUAUGUUGAGGGUUUAGAACGCCAACUCAGAGACAUUGAGAGAAGUGUUUACGACAUCCAGUUGGAGCUUGAGGUAAAUUCAAUAAGAGGACGAUUUUAAUUUUCUUUGUGUGUUUUAAUUUGUUUUUCUGUUUGUGUGCUUUAGUUUGUUACCCCGGUGAAGUGGCGGAUAACGGUACUCCGUGACAAUCAAGUCGGUUAACUUCAGUUUCCCAUAAUAACUGAUAUUCUGAGGCGAAGGUAUGGAUAGAAACGAGAUUUUAGCAAAGCUUCACAAGCGAUUCCCUUCACUUCCUCAGAAUGCCCUCCUUACAAUCUAUAAAGCCCGGUCUGAACGCAUGCGAUUGCUCAUGAGGAAUAACAUACCUGCAGACAUCCGUUGGUUAAUCGAGGCUAAAGUACGAUUGGCAGGUGAGUUACCUCCUAAAUUUAUUGCAUACAUGCCUGGUUGUGGUAAAGGAAAUUACGCAAGAAAACGACGAGCUCGAAGAAUUUCUGUUGCUUGUCACAAGUGUGCCAGAAUGAGUUGCGAUAGAAACCCAUGUUCUUUAGGAAUGGUGUCUGAUAACAGGGAAGAUAAGAUUCAAUUCAUUAGGGAUGGCUUGAAUAAGGAGUCAUUGGAUGAUAUCCUUCUGUCUCUUGAAACGCAUCCCAGUGGAUAUGUGCAAGGAGCGAUUCUCCGGUUAUGGCCAUUAUUCCAGAAAGAGCAUGCACGAUAUAGUCUCGGGAAUCUGACUAUAAACGACCCUGUUUGUCAGUUUAUAAGAAAACUGGAUGGGAAGCCGAUCCUCGACCCAUAGAGGGCGUUCAAGCCGUUUCUGGACGUAAAACCAGAGGAAGAUGUGAGCCACAGUCGCAACUACCUGUAAAUAUCCUUUUACUUUAUUGUUAUUUUAUUUCACUAUUGUCUUAUUUUUGCAUUAUUGUCUUUAAUAAUUUUAUUACUGUUUGCUUUUUCCUUUUUUACUGUUUUCUUUUUGACUUGCGAGCCACGUGCUUUACGCGUUAUUUGACACUGACACAUUACCUCAUACACAACCAUGACCCACUAUCACCAAGACUCUUAAAUGUGAUAUCUUUUGUCAAGCACUCACAAAUUAUUUUUUUUGAGAAGUAUCACAAUGACAGCUACUCCAAAUAGACAAUUCAAGAACAUUUGUGUGCUUUCUGGAUUUACCUAUGGCAAACAUAAAGAGUUCGUGGAGGCAGCCAUAGAUCUUGGUCGAAGCAUAGCAGCGAGAAAAUUACACUUGGUGUAUGGAGGAGGUAACCGAGGGUUAUCAAAAAUGGUCUCAGAAGCAGCUUUUAUCAGAGGAAGUCAAGUGUUAGGCAUCAUCCCAAGAGUCCUAAAACCAUUGGGCAGUUCGUCUGACUCAUCAACUGGAGAAGAGUUAGUCGUCUCAGGUAUGCAAGAAAGAAUAACUGAAAUGCUUAAUCAUGCUGAUGCUUUUAUUUUCCUUCCAGGAGAUCUUGCAACACUAGAGGCACUUAUGACACUAGCAUCUUGGGCCCAUCUGCACAUCCACCAGAAACCCAUCGGUUUGUUAAAUGUCAAUAACUUUUAUGAUGGCUUUAUCGCAUUUCUUAACCAUGCAAUAAAAAACUAUUUCAUUCCUUCUAAUGUGAAAAAACUCUUUCUUUGUGCUCACACUGCUAAUGAGCUACUUGAUAUGUUACAAGCUUAUAAACCGGAGCCAGACCCCUGGACCUUUGUGUUGGAGCGACCAAAUAAUGAUGGUAACAGUAGCCGCAGUAAGAAGUACAAAUUAGAUUUAACUCUCCGCCUGUAAAUAUUUUCUUCUGUGUUGCACCACCCAGGUGAUGUCUUCUAAACUCUACUUCUUUCCUUUAAAACAUUGAGGACAAUGUUUCGUUCUGGUUGGGGGGAGGGAAUAGUCGACAAUUGUGGAAUCUUGGUUAAGUUUUUACUGAUUUUUUGUUGUAGAAACUAACUGUUGCUAACAUUUUAUGUUGAAGAUGGCUGAAUAUGGAGUGUAGUUACUCUAGAAACGCAUCUUCAUCGUUUAAAAAAAAAAAAAAAAAAAACAUGUUUUCUUCCUCUUUCUCCUUUAUAAAUAUGUAGUUUCAAAUUUUUGAGUCGAAGAUGGCUGAAUAUGGAGUGUAGUGCCUCUAGAAACGCAUCUUCUUAGUUUAAAAAAAAAAAAAAAAAAAAAAUUCUUUUUCUAAUUAAUUUUUCUACAUCAUUUUCACAUUUCUGCAUACAUAUUUUCCUUUCAUGUUUAGAAUAGGUUGGGGGGUAGAAUGUUGUUUAAAAUAUAUAUAUAUAUAUAUUUGUGUGAUUUGUUUUAACAUUGGAUGACAUGAUUAAUUUCAAAUUUUAGUAUUUGUAUUAUCUUUGGUCUUAAGUGAUGUUACGCUAUGUUUGCUACUUUACAUGUUGAUGUCGGAGACAAAUAUGAGUUGCUUGAAGGAAUGAACAUGUCAUAAAUAAGUGCCAAGUGAGUUGUUGAGCCUAUCAUUUUCUUGGAGAGUAACCCUUUUGCCCAUUCUCUAUACAGCUUAGCAGUUUAUUAUUUUAUACACGAUCUCUAGAUUUCUUUUAAGUUAACCCUUUAAAAAAAAAAAAUAUGGUAAAAUUAAAAAAAAAGAAAAAAAAAUGUGUGUUGCUACAUUGGGAGGCCCAUCUAACUAGUAGAUAUGGAUAAUUAUUUAGAGCCCUAAAAGACGAUGGAAAGGCCAUCUUUGAUCCGUUUGAGCCUUUCUAGCCAUCCCUUUUAUUAAAUAUCCAUAGUUACCCCUUUUGAGCCUUUAAAAAAAAAAAAAAAAAAAACAAAAACAUUUUCUUUGUCAACUUAUCAUCUUGACCCACUCCGAUUUGGAGUAUUACCCAAUGUCUUUUAAGUUCCAUCACCUAUUUAUGUUUGAGAAAAUGUAAAUAAUUAUGUUGUUCAGUGAAGUUAUGCCAAAUAAAAGCAAAAAAAAAAAAAAACAAAAACAAAAGUUGUUGUUUCAAAAGAAUAAAAAUAACAAUAAUAGGUGAAAUCCACCUUGCAAGUUCCAAAAAAAAAAAAAAAAAAAAUUCUUCAUUUUUCUCAAACAUACACUUUGUUUUCCUUAUUUCCUUUCUUUGUUAGCCAUAUCCCUAGCCUACGUUACGUCCUAAUAAAAGUCCUUCUUGAUUUUCGGGAACUAUAGUUUGAAGUAGAAGCUAGUUAUAUGGGCUAAAAAGAUGUAGUGAUGCAUAAUAAUAAAAAAAAAAAAAAAAAAAAGAUAAAUAAAGUGGGUUGACUAACAUUUUAUUUGACUUGAGAUCGUAUUAUUUCUAAGCUGAGGGCAUAUUUAUUUCAUCUUGGUGAGAGCAUGUGAUAUCAUUUCUUUAUUAUUUUCUCUCUCAAUUACCAUUCAUUGGAGUGACUAUGUUUAUUGGGUUUUAAUUUCUUUGUGAGAGUGUCACUACUUCCAGUGAGAUUUUGGGGUUUGACAUGUCAUUCUUGAAAGUAGCUAUAACAAAGUCUACUGGGCUAAUUCAUGUGGAUGGUUGAUGUGGGUGUGAUGUUGCUUUAGACUGGAGAUAAUGCUUAUACUUUUAUUUGAUUGCUAUCAUUAAUCUGAUUGAAUAAACACGAGUGUUUCUAAAAAAAAAAAAAAAAAAAAAAAAUCAUUUUGAAUUUGAAUUUUGUUUUCGCUUUAUUUGCUAGGGACUAGCAAUAAGCUGGUUGGGGGGUGUGUUGAGUGUUAGAAAAUACAUAUUUAUAAAGGAGAAAACCGUCAUUUUACAUUUCAAGUCUUACUAACAACCCUUACUUUUAUGUACUUAACCUUCUUGUGAUGUAAUUACGUGUGUGUUAUUUUAAUUAAGUAUUUUAUGUAUUUUAGGGGCAUUAUAGUCAUUUCACAAUAAAGGAGAGAUCAGACGGCAAAACGGACAUCACUUUUGAACUCAGGAUGGUCGAAAACCUUAGGAGGAGCAUAAAAGGAAAAAUGGCACUAUUCACAUGUACGGUACUAUUCACGUAUACGGUACUGUCUACGUUACUGUUCACGACACUGUUCACAUAGACGGAUCGAUGACGUGGCAUUGACCGAUGAUGUGGCAUUGACUGAUGAGGUGUCACGAUCCUGUUGGGCUAAAAUUCUUAUGUACUGUUGAUGGUGACGUGGCAGCAUAUCAGUGGACGAAAAAUCUCACGUACGGUGCAUGCAUCACACAGGAUUAUUUUCAACCAAACCGCGUUACUGUUCAUCCGGGUCAAACCGUGUUACUGUUCAUCCGCGUGGUCAAACCGUGGACUGUUGACUGAUGACGUGGCGCAAUCCUGAGCGUCCAAACUGUUUUUAAUCCGAUGGCCAUGAUUUACUCCAUGUAUCUAUAAAAAGGGGGCCUCCCCCCCCUAAUUUGAUAUCUCUGAAUCCAUUUUUGGGAUCCAUUUUCUGUAAUUCCUACUCCAUCUUGUAUUUUCUUUGUAUUUUAAUAAAUUCCCAUUUUGCCCCUAGUUCAAUUAUGAGUGGCUAAUUUUCUUUCAAGCUUGGGUUGAAGGUGAAGUCUCAACAUGUGUCAUGGGCUUUAUUUGGUAAAUUUAUUUUCUUUUCCCCUCUAGUUUUUGUGGAUGAUUUGACUUAUCGUCGACAAAUAAUACUGAUCUUGUCUAGAUACCGCCUUGGUUACACCGGCUCUCUAGUAUAAGGUUAUUAUUAUUUGGCACGAUAAGCCCUUAGCACCAUAUUGAUUAGAGCGUGGUUCAUGAGGUGUGGAUUCCCCCCUCAUGAUUUAAUUGGCAUUAAUACGGAUUAUUUAGCCCAUGAUGCAUGUUGAUACGGAUCCAGAUACCCAAGUACGUCAAUUUAAUAGAUUUUCUCUUCAAUUUAUUCUCUCCAUUGCAAUUCCAAUUUUAGAAUUUAUUCUCGCCAUUUUAAUUUAAGUAUUAGCAUAUUCCAAAUCAUUUCCACCAUAAAUCCAACUACCCAUUUACAAAAUUAAUUCUAUAUAUAAUUAAAAUCCACCUCCUCGUGGGAUCGACACUCGUCACCAUUAGUCUAUACUACAAUAGAUUCGUGCGCUUGCGAGUACAUUAAAAUUUGCACAACACAUAAUAUUAAAGGAUGAUAUUCAAUUGAACAUGAUUUAUGUUAUGAUAAUAAAUUAUCCUAUUUAUAUUCUUUGAGAUACUUAUUGUUGGUUUAACAUUUAUAAUUUGUAAGAGUACAAAUGUUUUUAUCUUUUCGUUUAAUUUAAAAAAUCUGAAUGAUAUCAUUAAACAAUAUUCUCGAAAAUAUUUUUAUCUAAUUAAUUAAUUUUCAUCUUUACCUAUGUAAAAUUUACUAAUUAGUAUUAUUACUUGUUGUCAAGAGAAAACAAGAAAGCAUGCACGUGAGUUGCGUGACAUAAGCAAGAUGCUAUGAAGAUAUGAGAAUAAGAAGCAUGAUAUAAGUAAAAUGUCACGAAGAUAUGUGAGCAAGAAAGCAUGCAUGUGAGAAGCAUAAUAUAAGCAAGAUGUCAUAACAAUAUGAGAGCAAGAAGUAUGACAUAAGUAAGAUGUUAUGAUGUAGGAAGUUAUUUUUCAUAUUUAAAGAUUCUAGAAUUUUAUUAUUUUAGGAUUUUCUAUUUUUAUUAGGGUCAAUUAAGGUAUGAGAUUUAAUUAACUUAGGAAACUAUCUUUUGUUUCCAUUAUAAUUGUGAUUUAUUUCCUCUUUUUAAGUUAACUUAGGAAAGUGAGUUUACUCUAUUAUAAAUAGAAAGGUCUUAUUAUUAUUUUCAAAACUUCAAAUUCAAUUAUUCAGUAAAACUCUCCUUUUAUAAUUUCUUCUGGAAUUAUCUAUCAAAAUCUCUCUUGUAGAAUCAUUUGGAUUAGAGCGUCAUCUAAUAUCGGGUUGCGCGUUAUUAAAAAUCUCAUUGAGUCAUUUAGAUUAGAACGAGAUCUAAUCACCCUUUGAUUAGAACGUAACCUAAUUGUGUUGGCUUGGUCCAAUACUACAAUGAUAUCUAGUAUUUUUAUCCAAUCAAUCCCGCUUUCGCUACACUCGCUCCAUCAUGUUAUGAAGAUGUGAGAGCGAGAAGCAUGCAUGUGAGCCGCCUCCUGCUCCUGAGCCUUCUGCUGUUCCCGUACAGCCAUCUGCCUCUAUGCCACCUCCAACUUCAGUUCAGCCUCCUACUUUAGAUGCCAUGCAGCAGCUGAUCACUGAUGUUCAGCGGAUCUCGGAGCGCCAGCAGCUGAUUCUUGAUCGGUUGGACACUCUUUCCCGUGACCACUAGCAACUGCGUUCUGACUUUCAGAUAUUCCAGCGGCAGAGCCUUGAUCAGCAGAUGGAGCUUAUCGCUGGACAGCGCACUAUUCUCGGCUAUUUCGGCUAUGAUCCGGGGAGCACAUCUUCUCCGCCUCCGUAGUUUCUGAGCUUUGUCUUCGCACAUACAUUUUACAUUUUGGUUGCUAGCAUUUUUAUUAUUAUUUUGAUUUUGAUGCAUAUGUGUGUGAUGUUCUUGAUGAUUAGAUUAUUGAUGCUUUGUGAUUGCCUAAUUGGUUGGAUAUUGUAAAUGUGGUUUAUUUGUGGAUAUUGGAGUGUUGGUAUGUUUGUGGUUCUUGAAGUGUUCUUUUGAUGUGUUUAUGGAGUUGUUGGCUUGUUGAAAGAAGAAGUUGAUGUUCAUAUAUCUUUGGAAGUGUUCUAUCUCAAUUUGUAUAAUUGGUUUUGAUCUUUUUUAAGGGGAAACUCUGCCAAAAUUUUCGCUCGCCAAAGCCGGGCAACUUCUUUCAUGGAUUUGCGUAUUUCUUAUUUCCUCUUUUCUUUUUGAUGAUGAAGGGAGAGAUAAUUAUGGUUUUUAAUAUAGUUUUUAAAUGGGGAGAUAUUUUUUUUAAGAUGGAUUUAAAAUGGGGCGAUUUAAAGCAAAAAUCCUUUUAUUCACAUUUCUCAAUUUGGCCAUACAUUUAGGGGGAGCACAUAUUAAGGGGGAGCUAAACUUUGAUUAGAAUUUGUCAUCAUCAAAAAGGGGGAGAUUGUUAACAUAAAUAUGUUAAUAAUAUUGAUUUUGAUGAUAACAAAUUUUAAAUGAUUUUUGAUAAAAGUAUUGGAGCUAUUUCUUAAUAAACGAGAGCCUUAGUAAUCAUUACAUUCAUGCUUAAUAAAAGAUGGACUUUAAAAUUAGAAAAAGAUUCUCUGCAAAAACUGGUUUAAAAUGCAAUUCUGGUUAUAAACGGUGAACCGUUUAUUUAAACGGUUAACCGAUAACAGCCAGAGAGCUACAUAUUUCCUAAACCUCUAACCGUUUAUGAAAAACGGAAAACACAAAAGACGGGAAGGUUACUGAAACUUAACGGUGAACCGUUUAUUUUAAACGGUUAACCGAUAACAGCCAGAGAGCAACAUAUUUCCUAAACCUCUAACCGUUUAUGAAAAAAGGAAAACACAAAAGAUGGGAAGGUUACUGGAACUUAACGGUGAACCGUUUAUUUUAAACGGUUAACCGAUUAACACCAGAGAGCGACAUAAUGUCUAAAGCUCUAACCGUUUAUGAAAAACGGAAAUCACCAAGAAUGGAAAGGCUACUGGAACUUAACGGUGAACCGUUUACUUUAAACGGUUAACCGAUAAUGUCCAGAAUUGAAGGUUGUCCUCCUCUGGCACUGAUUAACGAAAACUGAUAAGGCUAAAUUGUUUUGCAGGUUACUGGAGACAAACGGCGAACCGUUUAUAUCAAACGGUUAACCGAUAAUGUCCAGAGAAGCCACUUCACGCAAGUCCUUAACCGUUUAGCAUAAACGGAUAACAAAUACUCAUCUUGCAGGUCUCUGGAAGUUAACGGCGAAAGGGCAAACCUAAACGGAAAACCGUUUAUUUGAAAUCUGGCCCAACGGUAACUUUGACCAGCCUAAACGGUUAACCGUUUAUGGUUAACGGCGAACCGUUUUCUGUCCGACAGUUUGUAACGGCUAGAUUUUCGGCUCCAAAUAUAAAUAAGCUCAUUCAAAUUCAAAGAAGAUUGAUCACAACACGACCAUUUGAGCUAAUAUUCGAGAAUACAAUCUUCAUAGAGCUUAGAACACAUUCUUGCUUCAUCUAUUCACAUAUUAAGCAUCAUUGUGUAAUCUUAUAUAUUGUGAGAGGCAAAACAAUUUGUAAUCUUUUAUUUUGAGUGAUUGUAAGUGUUGGGAUACACUUGGGUUAAGAGAUUGGGGAUAAUCUCUUGUUGUAAAGGUUCAUUGACACCUUGGAAGUCAAGUGUAAGCAUUUGAAGCCUUGGAGGCUUGCUUAGUGGAAUCCUCAAGCCCGGAAAGCUUGGAGGCGUGAACGUAGGCAAGGUUGGCCGAACCACGUAAAAAUCUCGGUGUUUGAAUCCCUCUUCCCUUAUCUUUUUAUAUUGUGAUUCUCUUAAUUGUUAUUGCUUUGAAUUUGAUUUAUAAUUGCAUUAAGAUUUUCUUUAAUAAAUUGAAUAAUUUUUUAGAAUCCCAAUUCACCCCCCCUCUUGGGUUGCAUACUUGUAUUUCAGUUCAUGUAACCAUAUAGUCACCAAAAUAAUCUGCACUACCUAAUUUUUGAAACUUGUAUCAUCAAAACACUUUUUCCAAAAAAUCGAGAGAACCUCCCAUCGGCUAAAUGAAAAACUUAAUUUGAGUUUCAUUCUGCUGUGAAGAACAAAAAGUCCAAAGAAAAACUUUAUUUGACCUUUUUGUUAUUCAAUAAAUAAAAAUGACAAACAAUGUCUUUAACUAACAAACAUAAAAGAAGCUGUCCUGGCACCGUAUUACCCGACUCCUUAUUAAUCAAUCCAAAAUAAAAAUACAAGAGCCAUAGGGGCUAGCCAGACGCAAGGCUAGAGUUCAACACUCCAUGCCAAGCUAGUGUCCAAAUCUGCAAGCCAAUCUAUCUUCUCCCAAAUGUCCUCACCGUUAAAAAUGGACCUUUUGACGUUGUUUACACCAUUAGAUGUAUACUCAACCACAACUUGCUCUAUGCACUGCCGCCAGCAUGAGAUGGGACGGGAUUUGCAGCAUUGAGCAACCCCUCCUUCAUAUACUGCCUGCUUCUUAUAAGAAAACUCAAACUGAAACAAAAGGACAAGGCUGUUAUAAGCAAAGCAGCGUUUGUUACAAGCACGCAAAACAAAGGCAUAAACGUAAAAUGGACCAACAUAAGUACCAGCAUUACAUGUGUAUCAUAAUCACAUAAUUCUCACAGUAUAAACCAAGAACUAAUUCAGACCAAUGCAAAAUCUUCAGUACCUUAAAAGAGAACCAGUUCGAGUAAAAUGAUUUGAUUGUAACAGUCCUUAAAUGAGGUGAAAUCCAGAGCAAACCAUCGAUAGUGUUUUUAAUUGCGACUCGCACACGGGUUCCAUUUAUUACAAAGUCCAGGUUGUUGUAACCAUAGAAUGGGGAAGAUCGGAUUUGCCUCAAGUCUUCUGGAAUAUCCGCAUUCUGCACAAAAGAAUUUGAAUAAUAUAUAAGAAAUAAAAAAGUAUGUAAAAUAGUAAACAGCUCGAUAUUUAAAUGUAUACAUAUAGCAUGCAAGAAGUGACAUACCUCACCCUUGUAACUUUCCAAAUUCACUGCUUUGGAAACAUUAUGGAACAUUGCAAGGAGUCCAAUAUACUCAGAAUACCAGUCAAUGUCGCUGUUAUUCUUGUUGAAACUGAGAUGAGUUUCCAACAAAGUCAUAGCACCUAUAGAGAAGGAUACCACAUCACCUUGAUAUCUGAAAAUACUUAAAUUAGGAGCCUCAAUCUUGACUUCAAUCAACCCUGCACAUUCAAAGAUCUUCAGCAUCUUAAGACUGAGACUUGAAAUCUUAAUACUCUUCAACUUGUCACAACCAACCAAAUUCAAAUUCUCGAGGAAUGAAAAGUUAGGAAUUUGGCUACAAAGCCACUCAUCCUUCAGAGAAAGCAGGCGCAGAGUUAAAAAUUUAAUAUUCUUACAGGAGGCUACAUUGAUCUCGCAUGGUAAGCUUAAUUGAAUGCUAACUGUCUUCACAUUCAGAGUUUGGAUAGAAAGCCAUAGAACUUCCAGACAGUUACGGACCUUGAAUUCAUUGAGUUUGGUAAGACCAGAUAGAUCUAGAGUAUUAAAGCCAAGGCAGUUAACCAGACUUAGAUGUUCAAUCAAAGGACAGCCAUCAACUAGGCUCUCAAGGACUAGAUCGGCAGCAUAAACGCUUGUGAGACAUAAUUUUUUCAAAGAAGAUAACUUCACACUUCUCAGAGACUGCAGCUUACAACAACUUAAGGCUAACACUUGUAUUGAUUUUGAGCAUAAAACCUCUUGAGGCAAAUUGUAGCAGCGCUUGUUAUGAGCGUCAACUGAGGGCAUUCCUGGUCUAGUAUCAACAACACGUGCACUAGUAUGAAAUGGAAGUGCGAGUUUCAGCUCUUUGACAUCACUUUCUAAUGCAGAGAAGAUACACCGGUCUACAAAUGGUCCGGGUUCUUUUACCCGUAAUUCAUACAAGUCAAGUGUGAACUUGUCUAACCUUAUCAUCUCCCUGCGGCGGGUGCGCAGAGUUCCCUCUACAUAAUUUAAUGCCCUGCUUAACUUCUCAUCUCCAAGUUGAGCUUCAAUUUUGUUGUUGCAAGAAACCGAAGGAACUUGAUUAAAGAAAGUUUUAUCAAAUUCCAAAAUUGGGAAUGUACGCCAGGCUCGUUCCCAUGCUUGCGACAAAACAGUUGUUUGAACUACUUGUUUAAAUGAGAGGAAUGACAAAAUACAAUGCAGUAUUGGUUCCGGCAAAUUAGAUAUCCUGUCCAUGCUGCUAAGCACCUCCUCCAUAAUAACAAUAUCAUCACCAGAUUCCCUGAAUCAGUAGCAACAUCUUCCUUCUAAGUAUGCUAAUUAAAUUGAGACAACUGAGUACUAAUAAUAAUAAGAAUAUUGGCUGGAUUCUAUCAAUUUAAUUCAAUGUAAUAAAGAAAAUAAAUAAUCCUAACAAAAACUCUUUUGAAUUGAACAUGCUUAAUUUCUUUUUUGUACGAGAAGAGACACUGAAACUUUCACUUUCACCGGAAAAAGAAAAAUCAGCCUAAAACAGAACUGAAUUAUUUAUAAAAGAAAAGAAAGGAAAAGAAAAGAAAAAGAGACACGUUAACACAGAACCAAUAUGGAUGAGGAUGAUAAAAUACCUAUUCAUCCGAUCGAUCAAUCGUGACAGUCCAACAGCGACAGCGACGGCAACCGAAACAGCAGAACUGUCAAGAAAGGAUUGAUCUGCUUUAACUAUGUUUUGUAUAGGCUUAAUUUUGAGGAUUCCGAAUCCAAAACAGACAAAGUCACAACAGCAAAAUUAUGUAGGCUCAGUCUGCUCCGUGUAUAUAUAUUUUGAAAAUUCCAAAUCCAAAUCGGACACGUCCUUCUGCUUCUCCUAACGCGAAUCGGACAUGCGGCUAGUCGCUACGCAACAGUAAUUAAGCUUUUUGGAGAUAAGAGUGGUUUCGUUUCCAUCCAUUUUAUGUACUUCCAUCUGUUAGUUGAAGAACUAGUUUGUUACAAAGUACGCAAAUCUAACCCUGACAACUUCGGAUGACGCAAUCUUUUGUCAUCAAAUAGGCUUUUGAGUCUCGACUCUUGACACCCCCUUUAAAUUUCCGAACUGCUUAAAUAAUCGAGGUAAUUUAUGAAUAAUGAUAAAUAUUUUAAAAAUUUUAUCCCAAAGAAAUUCAAGUAAAUAUUUAAAUAUUAUUAUUCCUUGAAAAAAAAUUUAACACUAUCUUAUUUCAUAAUUUGUAUUAUUCUUUAAAUUUUAAUUAAAGAUAUGUUCUUUAUUGAUGCGAGAUUCUGGUUACCCUCUCGACCACGAUUAGGAUCUCUGCUCAAUCAACUCGACCACGAUCAGGAUCUCUCCUCGUAUGACUUCUUCUCCAAAAAUUCAUGCGUACAAAGAAAUAAGUCAGAGCACGCCGAUUGUUUUCUCGGCCUAAACCCUCUGACGCCCAAGUCAAAAAUGAAGGUUUUGUCUUCCUGGGAACGUUAGCUACUAAUUUUAUGGCUUAUUUUUGGUAUCGAUUACUCAAUGCUCUCUUUAUCUCAGUUUCAAUGUCAAAAAUUAUAACAAUUUUACCUUCGUUGACUACCUUUUUAUAGGCUUCUCCUGAAUUCAGACCUUCCCUCCAUUCACGCCCGUUAUCCUCCCACCUCUCGAAAGUGAAUGCUCCGUUUCUGUAAUCGUGGAUGGUUGCAUGACCUUCGUGCCUUGAUUCUCGGAUUGGAGAGCACGUCUCGCCAACUCUCGUUGACCGGGUCUCCUCGCCUCAACCCUUAGCAGGAAUGGCUUUAUACUUCUAACAGAAGACCGCCCUCGCGGAUGGCGUAUUCGUGGACGAGCGGAAUAUUCCUGCUCCUGUUCCCCUGCUACUAGACUCUUACAAGAUAUACCUGUUCGUGGAACCCUACUACCAGAUGUCUGCUAAACCCAGCUGGUCUCGUUGAAGUACAUCCCCAAAUAUUCUUGAGAAAAGUACAAAAAUUUAAAGUAAUGAAGAUAAAAAUUAUAUAUUAAGAAAAAAUAAUUUAAGAUUUUAAUAUUUUAAUAUAUUUUAUAAAUACAGCACAACCGCAACAUUCUCUCUCCCAAAAUUUUUGUUGAUAAAUAAUUUUAAAUCAACAAUCCGUAAAUAAAAACUAAAGUAAAACUAAAAUGUAAUUAAAAUCUAAACAAGUUUUGCAAUAACUCGAUUAGUUUUGAAGUCAAAAUUCCAUAUUUGAAAAUACUCUGAAUAGUUAUCGAUUAUAGUUGAUUGUCAUGGUCAAGAAAAUUCUAAGAACUCAAAGGCAAUCAAAGCCGUGGCUAGCUAUGGAUACCAAACCCAUGGCUGCUUAAAAAUCGAUAAUUAACAAAAAAUUGUUAAAAAAGAGACAUUUUUAUUCUUUAGUAAGUCAACUACGGUCAAUUGUUAAAGUUAGUUAUUUUUAAAGUAAUUUGAAUUUUCAAAUAUAAAGAUAAUCAAUUCACAGGGGUGGGGUAAUCUGAGACUUACCCAAUUAUGUAUAUUGAAUAGAUCGUAUGGUCGAAAUUUAUAUAACUUUUUACAUUUUAUUUCUUAUGUUUUACAUAUACAUGAGGAACUUAAUUAUAACCCAGAUUGCUUACAUGAUUAACACAUAAUUAUUUGUAAUCUACGCAUAUUAUGCCCAAAAAAUUUCAAUUUUAAUUUUGAUGAGUAAGUAAUACACAGAAACUUGUCUGCAAAAGGUAUAUAUCAAAUAGAAAUAGACCACUCCAUUGAAAUUAGCUUUUGAAUUAUCUUGAAAAUUGAAAGGCCAUUCAUAGAUUUAGUGCUCUUUUACUUUUGCUGUAUUCAGAAUUUGUCAGCUUCUCUCAUAAAUUAUCCACAAGAUUAAUUAACACUCCUGAAAGUGUUUUCCUGAAAAUGAUCUUAACUGAAUGAAUAUGGCAAUAUGAAAAGAUGCAAUUGAAUUUCCAGUUAACAAAAAGCAUAGUAGGAUUCACUUAAUAGCCUACAAUGGUAAGAAUUAAUGGCCACAGUGAUUGAUUUCUUCGAAAGCAUAUGACAGACAUACUUCCAAAUCUUGACUGCAAAUCACAAUAGCCUAACAAGUCUAUUGCAAAUCAUGAACAAAUCCACUUUAACAAAAGGGUGUUUGAAACCUGAUCUUCCAAACAGAGAAAUAAUAAUGUCGAGCAAAGGUGCCCACCUACAAUUGUCUUAUUGUAGAAUGCACAAUGAUCCAUUUUGCUGAUUCUGGAUUUGUUUCUUUCAAUCUCUUAUUAUUCAACAUUUAAUGAUAUUCAGCUCACUAUUUUACGUAAACUUUUUUACCACAUUGUUCCACUUUUUGUUACUUUUGUGGUUUGUCGUGUCGUGUAAUUACUAUUAACUAGUCAAAGGGCCUGCCAUAGCUAGAUGCAUGCGUUGAAAUUCUGGCUGCGCAUAUGUGCUGUGAAAGCUACACGAGAUUUGUUGGGUUGCGCGCCACUGCCAUGUGAACUAAAUCACAAUGGAAAACUUGUGUGAAAAACGAUUGCCUCUGCUCUCUGUUUAAACGAAUUUACUAUAGUUAAUCAUAUGUUGUUGUCUUGUUGAUUCUAAUGUGGGUCUUUAUUUAUUAUUUAAGUUUUUGAAUCAGUCCUCUUGGCGCAGCUCAUUUGGCAGUAAAUAUGCUUUUUGUCCAUGAUAACAUUGAGUUUAAGUAAUAAUAGAGAGGUUAGUAGUUGGUGUUUAGUGGGUGCUAUUUAUUUUUUCAUCUGGUCGGUUAAACUAUUAUAUAAGUCUUUUUUUUUUAAUUUCAUGAAAAUUUUUAGUUACUAAUCAUUAAGUUAUUAAGUCAAUUUCUUUUAUCUUUUUGUUUAAUUUAAAAAUCUAAAUGAUUAAAUAUUUGAGAAUGCAGCUGCGUUAUAUAUUUGUUAGUAGAAUAAGUAUAUCAAUAAGUUAAGUUAUUAAGUCAUUUUUUUAACUGUUCUAGCUUAACCAAGGUUUUCAGAUCGAGACUUGGGAAUACAACUGCUUUAAAUACUUAUUGGGAGAGCUUUGUCGCCUUAGUAGUCAUACUCAGCUCAAAUCUGGAUUAGUCGGGGCCUAAUACAGUCUUCAUAUACUAGAUAGUUUAAUAUACCAAAAAAAAAUCUAAAUGAUAUCAUUAAAACAUAUUCUCUAAAAUAUUUCUAUAUAAUUAAUUAAUUUUCAUACUUACCUAAAUAAAAUCUAUUAAUUAGUAUUAUUACCCAUCUUCUUGUGAUAAUAUAAAGGUAGGAUAUUAUUAUUUUUAUCUUUUAUUUUCUUCAAAUUAGCACUAUUUAUCUUUAUAAUUUUUUCUGAAUAUUUUUCCAAGAAAAUAUCAUAAAUUACAAUAAAAUUGAUUAGCAUAUACUAAUGCAUAAUAUUAAAGGAUGAUAUUCAAUUGAACAUGAUUUAUGUUAUGAUAAUAAAUUAUCCUAUUUAUAUUCUUUGAGAUACUUAUUGUUGGUUUAACAUUUAUAAUUUGUAAGAGUACAAAUGUUUUUAUCUUUUCGUUUAAUUUAAAAAAUCUGAAUGAUAUCAUUAAACAAUAUUCUCGAAAAUAUUUUUAUCUAAUUAAUUAAUUUUCAUCUUUACCUAUGUAAAAUUUACUAAUUAGUAUUAUUACUUGUUGUCAAGAGAAAACAAGAAAGCAUGCACGUGAGUUGCGUGACAUAAGCAAGAUGCUAUGAAGAUAUGAGAAUAAGAAGCAUGAUAUAAGUAAAAUGUCACGAAGAUAUGUGAGCAAGAAAGCAUGCAUGUGAGAAGCAUAAUAUAAGCAAGAUGUCAUAACAAUAUGAGAGCAAGAAGUAUGACAUAAGUAAGAUGUUAUGAUGUAGGAAGUUAUUUUUCAUAUUUAAAGAUUCUAGAAUUUUAUUAUUUUAGGAUUUUCUAUUUUUAUUAGGGUCAAUUAAGGUAUGAGAUUUAAUUAACUUAGGAAACUAUCUUUUGUUUCCAUUAUAAUUGUGAUUUAUUUCCUCUUUUUAAGUUAACUUAGGAAAGUGAGUUUACUCUAUUAUAAAUAGAAAGGUCUUAUUAUUAUUUUCAAAACUUCAAAUUCAAUUAUUCAGUAAAACUCUCCUUUUAUAAUUUCUUCUGGAAUUAUCUAUCAAAAUCUCUCUUGUAGAAUCAUUUGGAUUAGAGUGUCAUUUAAUAUCGGGUUGCGCGUUAUUAAAAAUCUCAUUGAGUCAUUUAGAUUAGAACGAGAUCUAAUCACCCUUCGAUUAGAACGUAACCUAAUUGUGUUGGCUUGGUCCAUUACUACAAUUAUAUCUAGUAUUUUAAUCCAAUCAAUCCCGCUUUCGCUACACUCGCUCCAUCAUGUUAUGAAGAUGUGAGAGCGAGAAGCAUGCAUGUGAGCUGCGUGACAUGAAUAGGAUAUCAUGAAGAUAUGUGAUUGAAAGAAUGAGGACAUUACGUAAGCAUGCGGUCAUGAAGUCAAAGUCAUUGCAAUUGCAAAGGAAGAAUCCAGAACCCGCUAUUUAAACCCAAAAGAAAAAUUUAGAAGUUUUAGAAACCCAAUUUAAGAAGAAGAUAAAUAUAGAUUUAAGAUAAAACUCUAAUUAACUUGUAAAAGCUGAUUAGAACAAGAAGUUAUCAACGACUUAGGGCACCUAAAAUUAUAUUAUAAAUAGAGGGUUCUUCAUGCAUAGAAGACAAAAGCAAGAGUUAAGUCGGAAAAAAAAAGGAAGAAUUUUUUUUAAUUCUCAUAAGGGUUAGUUUGUGAGUGCUGUACCUUUUAAAAUAAUUGAUGUUAGCUGUGUUGUAUAAAUAAUCAGCUGUGAAGCGAAUCAGUUAAGUGUUUGGUAAAUUUUGUUUUUAGAAGUACUGUGAGUUUUGAAAGCAGUUAUGAACGUUGGGUAACUUUUACUGUUAAAUUGUUGAGAAAAAAAUAAAUGGCUAAAAUGUACAUAAUGCAUGAUAAAAUUUACUUAUGCAUAUAAAAAUAUGUACAUAUAAUAUUUUUAUAUGUGUAUUAUAAUAAUUUUUAUUAAAAAUAGAAUUUAUAAUAUAUUGAUUUUAUUUUUUAUUAUCUUAAAACAAUCGAUAAUUAAAUUUAUAAUAUAGUAAAACAAAUUUAAUAAUAAUUCAACCAACAAAUUGAAAUUAAUAAAUUUAUAUUGAUAAAUUAUAAUAAAAAUUUAUUAAAAUAUUGAUUUUAUUUCCAAUUUGAAUAAAGAUAAAAAUAAUUUUGGGUUUAAGUAAUAAUUUUAAGGAUAUUUAUGGAAUUAGAUUAAAGGAUAAAAUUCAUUCUCAAAAUUAGAAUCUAAAAGCUACUUUUUCCUUGCUUUUUAAAAUUAGUUGUAGGAGGGACUGAUUUUGAUGAAAGUAAUUUUGAUUUUUUUUUUACCAAAUACUAAAAUUAACUUUUAGAUUUUCAAAAUCCCUUUUAAGCUUCCUAAAAGUAAUUCCAAACGGGCCGUAAAUGGUGAAAGUUGCUCUUUUUAUUCCCAUGAACGUAGGUUAAGCAUUGAACUACGUAAAUUCUCUAUGUUUUAUUUUUUUUUAUAUCGUCUUGUUUGUGUAAUUUUUCAAUUGACCAAAAAUCGGCAUUGGCAUUAUCUAUCCCUAUAACCUGUGAUAAUAUAGUGGUAAGACUAGUAGUAAGUUAAUUUCAAUCAACUAAAGCUAUUAAGUCCUCCUUUUUUCAACUUAAUGAAAAUUUACAGUUAUUAAUGAUUAAGUUAUUAAGCAAACUUUCUUAAGUUUUUGUUUAAUCUAAAAAGUCUAAAUGAUGUUAUUAAAAUAUAUUUUCUAAAAUAUCCCCGUAUAACUAAUUAAUUUUUAUCCUUACCUAGUUUUAUUACCCAUCUCAAUAACUUGUGAUAAUAUAGUGGUGAGACUACUAUUAUUUUCUUCAAAUUUACAUUAUUUAUCUUUAUAACUUUAUAUGAAUAUUUUUUGUCUAAAAACAUCAUAAACUAGAACAAAAUUGAUUAAACAUAUAUUGUAUUCAAUUGAACAUGAAUAAUGUUAUGAUAAUAUAUUAUUUUAUUUAUAAUCUUUGAGAUAUUUAUUAUUUGUUUAACAUUUAUAAUUUACAAGGGCACACAUGUAAAAAUACUAAUUUUCAUAUUUUUUAAGUUAAAAAAAUUUAAUACUUAUUUCUAACGAUUCAUAUAAAAGAAACAUUUAGAUUUAUACAUUCAAUUUUUUUAUUGCUAUCCCCAUCCAAAUAUUAUAUAUAUAGAGAGAGAGAGAGAGUCUGUCACCUCUCAACAAAACCAAUCUUGUUCACACGGCGCAUGAUGGAGUUGUAGCUCUCUUCUCAUCAUACGUUUAAACACUGUCAAUUUUAAUUCAUUCGUACUCCUCUUUUGUUUUCAAAUGAAUGUAUAUCUUGCAAAGAGCUGUAUAUAGCAUCUCUAAUUAUGAAUAACCCCAUGCAAGCUAGCUCACAACAGAAAAUUAGAAACUUAUUAUACAAAUUACUCAUAUAAUUAACAAAAAGAAAAAUGUACUUAUUUACAGGACACUACAACAAAAUCAGUUUUUAUUCCGGAUGUCGUAAUUAAGUCCUAAUUAAAAUUUGAAACAAAAUCUUCGUUCAUAAGUAUAUAUAUAUAUAUAUAUAUAUAUAUGGUUGGCUUUUAGCAGUUAUUUAUGUCAAGAUCGCUUUAGAUCAAAAUUUUAACAAAAUAUAAGCGUUUGAAUGAGACAACUUUUACACCAUAAGAAAUAAGUCUAAAUAACAUAUGCCAGCAACACAAACUAAUUUACACCAUCCUUGUUGUCCCAAAUACGUUCCUUUCUACUUUAAAAGAUGCUAGUGCUAAAUCUGCAACUUUGCAAGAUUCAUUUUCAUAACAGCAUGAACCAAGAAGUUUAAUAAGACUCCAAAACUGUACAACAAACUUGGUGAUCACAAGCUUCCUUAAUUCUUAUUAACAAACUCAUUAACGAAUGUGACUGAACAAUAAUUUUUUAGCCCUGUGAUCACGCCAACAACUUUAAACCUUAGAAUAUGCAUCUCAUCAUAGUAUCUGCACUACCUAACUUUUGAAACUUGCAUCAGAUAGCCAUCAUUAUAUUAAGCCACCAAAAAAUUUCACAUCACCUAGUUUCUACCACCACCUAUCUUUUAUAAGAAGUUCAUGUAACCAUAUAGUCACCAAAAUAAUCUGCACUACCUAAUUUUUGAAACUUGUAUCAUCAAAACACUUUUUCCAAAAAAUCGGGAGAACCUCCCAUCGGCUAAAUGAAAAACUUAAUUUGAGUUUCAUUCUGCUCUGAAGAACAAAAAGUCCAAAGAAAAACUUUAUUUGACCUUUUUGUUAUUCAAUAAAUAAAAAUGACAAACAAUGUCUUCAACUAACAAACAUAAAAGAAGCUGUCCUGGCACCGUAUUACCCGACUCCUUAUUAAUCAAUCCAAAAUAAAAAUACAAGAGCCAUAGGGGCUAGCCAGACGCAAGGCUAGAGUUCAACACUCCAUGCCAAGCUAGUGUCCAAAUCUGCAAGCCAAUCUAUCUUCUCCCAAAUGUCCUCACCGUUAAAAAUGUACCUUUUGACGUUGUUUACACAAUUAGAUGUAUACUCAACCACAACUUCCUCUAUGCACUGCCGCCAGCAUGAGAUGGGACGGGAUUUGCAGCAUUGAGCAAUCCCUCCUUCAUAUACUGCCUGCUUCUUAUAAGAAAACUCAAACUGAAACAAAAGGACAAGGCACUUAUAAGCAAAGCAGCGUUUGUUACAAGCACGCAAAACAAAGGCAUAAACGUAAAAUGGACCAACUUAAGUACCAGCAUUACAUGUGUAUCAUAAUCACAUAAUUCUCACAGUAUAAACCAAGAACUAAUUCAGACCAAUGCAAAAUCUUCAGUACCUUAAAAGAGAACCAGUUCAAGUAAAAUGAUUUGAUUGUAACAGUCCUUAAAUGAGGUGAAAUCCAGAGCAAACCAUCGAUAGUGUUUUUAAUUGCGACUCGCACACGGGUUCCAGUUAUUACAAAGUCCAGGUUGUUGUAACCAUAGAAUGGGGAAGAUUGGAUUUGCCUCAAGUCUUCUGGAAUAUCCGCAUUCUGCACAAAAGAAUUUGAAUAAUAUAUAAGAAAUAAAAAAGUAUGUAAAAUAGUAAACAGCUCGAUAUUUAAAUGUAUACAUAUAGAAUGCAAGAAGUGACAUACCUCACCCUUGUAACUUUCCAAAUUCACCCCUUUGGAAACAUUAUGGAACAUUGCAAGGAGUCCAAUAUACUCAGAAUACCAGUCAAUGUCGCUGUUAUUCUUGUCGAAAUUGAGAUGAGUUUCCAACAAAGUCAUAGCACCUAUAGAGAAGGAUACCACAUCACCUUCAUAUCUGAAAAUACUUAAAUUAGGAGCCUCAAUCUUGACUUCAAUCAACCCUGCACAUUCAAAGAUCUUCAGCGUCUUAAGACUGAGACUUGAAAUCUUAAUACUCUUCAACUUGUCACAACCAACCAAAUUCAAAUUCUCGAGGAAUGGAAAGUUAGGAAUUUGGCUACAAAGCCACUCAUCCUUCAGAGAAAGCAGGCGCAGAGUUAAAAAUUUAAUAUUCUUACAGGAGGCUACAUUGAUCUCGCAUGGUAAGCUUAAUUGAAUGCUAACUGUCUUCACAUUCAGAGCUUGGAUAGAAAGCCAUAGAACUUCCAGACAGUUACGAACCUUGAAUUCAUUGAGUUUGGUAAGACCAGAUAGAUCUAGAGUAUUAAAGCCAAGGCAGUUAACCAGACUUAGAUGUUCAAUCAAAGGACAGCCAUCAACUAGGCUCUCAAGGACUAGAUCGGCAGCAUAAACGCUUGUGAGACAUAAUUUUUUCAAAGAAGAUAACUUCACACUUCUCAGAGACUGCAGCUUACAACAACUUAAGGCUAACACUUGUAUUGAUUUUGAGCAUAAAACCUCUUGAGGCAAAUUGUAGCAGCGCUUGUUACGAGCGUCAACUGAAGGCAUUCCUGGUCUAGUAUCAACAACACGUGCACUAGUAUGAAAUGGAAGUGCGAGUUUCAGCUCUUUGACAUCACUUUCUAAUGCAGAGAAGAUACACCGGUCUACAAAUGGUCCGAGUUCUUUUACCCGUAAUUCAUACAAGUCAAGUGUGAACUUGUCUAACCUUAUCAUCUCCCUGCGGCGGGUGCGCAGAGUUCCCUCUACAUAAUUUAAUGCCCUGCUUAACUUCUCAUCUCCAAGUUGAGCUUCAAUUUUGUUGUUGCAAGAAACCGAAGGAACUUGAUUAAAGAAAGUUUUACCAAAUUCCAAAAUUGGGAAUGUACGCCAGGCUCGUUCCCAUGCUUGCGACAAAACAGUUGUUUGAACUACUUGUUUAAAUGAGAGGAAUGACAAAAUACAAUGCAGUAUUGGUUCCGGCAAAUUAGAUAUCCUGUCCAUGCUGCUAAGCACCUCCUCCAUAAUAACAAUAUCAUCACCAGAUUCCCUGAAUCAGUAGCAACAUCUUCCUUCUAAGUAUGCUAAUUAAAUUGAGACAACUGAGUACUAAUAAUAAUAAGAAUAUUGGCUGGAUUCUAUCAAUUUAAUUCAAUGUAAUAAAGAAAAUAAAUAAUCCUAACAAAAACUCUUUUGAAUUGAACAUGUUUAAUUUCUUUUUUGUACGAGAAGAGACACUGAAACUUUCACUUUCACCGGAAAAAGAAAAAUCAGCCUAAAACAGAACUGAAUUAUUUAUAAAAGAAAAGAAAGGAAAAGAAAAGAAAAAGAGACACGUUAACACAGAACCAAUAUGGAUGAGGAUGAUAAAAUACCUAUUCAUCCGAUCGAUCAAUCGUGACAGUCCAACAGCGACAGCGACGGCAACCGAAACAGCAGAACUGUCAAGAAAGGAUUGAUCUGCUUUAACUAUGUUUUGUAUAGGCUUAAUUUUGAGGAUUCCGAAUCCAAAACAGACAAAGUCACAACAGCAAAAUUAUGUAGGCUCAGUCUGCCCCGUGUAUAUAUAUUUUGAAAAUUCCAAAUCCAAAUCGGACACGUCCUUCUGCUUCUCCUAACGCGAAUCGGACAUGCGGCUAGUCGCUACGCAACAGUAAUUAAGCUUUUUGGAGAUAAGAGUGGUUUCGUUUCCAUCCAUUUUAUGUACUUCCAUCUGUUAGUUGAAGAACUAGUUUGUUACAAAGUACGCAAAUCUAACCCUGACAACUUCGGAUGACGCAAUCUUUUGUCAUCAAAUAGGCUUUUGAGUCUUGACUCUUGACACCCCCUUCAAAAUUCCGAACUGCUUAAAUAAUCGAAGUAAUUUAUGAAUAAUGAUAAAUAUUUUAAAAAUUUUAUCCCAAAGAAAUUCAAGUAAAUAUUUAAAUAUUAUUAUUCCUUGAAAAAAAAUUUAACACUAUCUUAUUUCAUAAUUUGUAUUAUUCUUUAAAUUUUAAUUAAAGAUAUGUUCUUGAGAAGAGUACAAAAAUUUAAAGUAAUGGAGAUAAAAAUUAUAUAUUAAGAAAAAAUAAUUUAAGAUUUUUAUAUUUUAUAAAUAAAAAUUUUAGCAUAUAAUUUUGUAUUACAUAAGUUAAUUUUAAUAUAUACAUUUGUAUUUUAUAAAUGAAAUAAAUAAAAUUUAGGAGAGAUGUUAUAAAAAUUUUAAGGGUGAGGCUAUCAUAAGUGUUGACAUUUAAUUUCGGACAGUUUGACUCAAUAAAAUAUUCAAUUACCCCAAUUUCUCGUGACUCCCAUCAAACAAAGAUUUAAAUUUAUAGUUUUCCCUUUAGGCCACGACUACAAUGGUUCAGGUGCAUUAAUAGAUCAGGUGAAUAAAAAAUUAUAAAAAAAUUUUACACCGUUCGAUGCAAAUUCAAAGUAAAUCAAUGGUUAGAUAAUUGAAAAAGAAGAAGCGGACAACGGGAGAGAAGUUAAGCGUGGGCCCUAUCUAACAAGGGUCGUCAGAUUGUUUUACCAAUUACCACCUUUAUCUCUGUUUGUGACGGCACCAUUGUAGCAAACCGUGGCAGAACAGUAACACUAGUGAUGUUAAUUUAUUAUUGUUUUAUAAAAUAUAAAUUUAAUUAGCUUUUAAUAUUAAUGAGUUUAGGAAAUACAAAUAAUUAAAAUUUUAUAGUGUAAAACAAAUUAAUAAUCACGUUACUAACUUAUUAAUAUCUUGUAUGAUUUGCGAAUUUGAAAAAAAAAAAUCCACAAAUAUCGAUAGUUAUCCAUAUCCAUAUUAAGCAGCUAAAAUUGGAUAUGGAUGAAUGUGGAUAUUAUGGAUAAUUCUAAAUAUUUACCAUCUUUAACUCAAAAUAGAAUUAUAAUUACAAUUCCAAUCACAAAUUCAUCCCAAUUACAAUUAUUAUUAUGAUUUCAAUUUCAAUUACAAUUGCAAUUCCAAUUACAAUUAUAAGUUUAAUUUCAAUUCCAACUACAAUUACAAUUCCCAUUACCAUUACAAUUUCAAUUCAAUCAUAAUUAUAACCAUUGACUAAUUAGAUUGAUGUACAUAAACUAUGUUAAUAUUAUUUUAAUUUUAAUAUUAUUAUUGCGUUUGAAAUAAUAUUUGUUAUGUAUUUAUAUUAUUUCUUUAAUAAUAUUCAUAUAAAAACACUAAAAUUAACAUUUAGGUAGGUAAUCUACCAUCUUAACUCUUAGGAAAAGUUUCAUUUAUCAUCCUUUUGGAGCCAAAACUACCCACCUAGUUUUUUUACGCAAAAAUUUCAUUUCUAAUGAUGAUAGAUUGUUGUUACCAUCAUCAUCAUCAUCCGGACUCUUGUGUCGCGGCUACCAACUUAUUCAUAAUUUUCAUCUCAAUAUUAAUUAUGAAAGAUUUGGGACAUUGCAUUUUGGAACUUGCGAUAUACAAUUUUUAGGCUUUUUUUUAAAAUUUAUUUAAAAUCUGAAUAGAUCUGGCCAAAUUUCCAUUUGAGGCCAUUAAUUUUCCUUUUAAGCAUACCUCACGAUCCUUCUAAAAGAGACAUUAAAAUAAAUGUAACCAUAUUUGAAAUAAAACAUGAUGGCUAUAAUAUAGUAAUUAUGGAGAGCUUGGUUUGAAUCUAAACAACUACAUUUAUUCUUUUUAGAAUAUAUUUUAUCAAUUUUUGUAAGAUUAUCUUAUAUUACUAUAUUGAACCAAGUUUCCACUAAUCUAAAGUCAUGGGUCCUCCAUUUUAUUGUUCAUUACCUUCCCCUAAUGACUUUGAGUCUAUAAAGAGGUCUUAUAAGGGUUAUUUCCACCUAACCCCCAAAUCUUUCAACAUUUUCCACCUUGCACCCAAUCUUUUCAACAUUUUCCUCCGUUAAUUUGACCGUUAUUUUUAACGGAGCUAUUUGAAAGUUAAUGAAAUGUCUGAAAUACCCCUUAUCUUGAAUUAGAAAAGAAUUAAAUGAGAUAAAAUAUUAAUCCAAUAAUUAAUAUUUACAUUAAAAAUUCUUAAUCAAAAGUAUUUAAUAAUAAUCCCAUCAAUUAAUUUAUCAAAUAAAUUUAAUUUAUCAUUAUCAAAUAAUAUUUAGGGCAUGAACUUCCAAAGUUGCCCUUUGACCGUUAGAAUAAAUGGUCAAAUUAACGGAUUUGGGUGUGGAUUGAGCAUUGUUGAAACAUUUGGGUGCGCGGUGGAAUAUGUUGAAAUAUUUGGGGGCAUGACGGAAUUAACCCGUCUUAUAAUUCAAAACAUAUUAAUAAAUUAUUGGGUCUCUACUCUUUAGAUAGUGCUCGAUUUCUUCACCACAAAAAGAUCUCAUUUAGUUUUAGAGUAGUUGGGACCUUUGUUCGACUCCUAACACCCACAUUUAUUUAUUUAUUAAAUGCAUUUGAUCAUUUGUGCAAGAUUAUCAUGUAUUACUAAAUCGAAACAAUCCUCCCCUAAUUUAAAUCCAUAGGUUCACCAUUUAGUGAUAGAAAUAAUAAUUAAAUUAACUAAAAAUAUUUUUUUAUUUUUUAGGUUUAGAAUCCAUCCAGUAUAUACAUACACAACCAAAUGUACAUGUGUAUGUAUAUGUAUGUGUGUGUGUGUGUAACAAUACUAAGGUUCAAUAUUUCAAUGGCCAUUUAAAUUAGGAAAUGAUAUUCAUGCCAACACUAACUUAGAGAAUAAAGUUUUUAUACUACCUCUAAGGCUUCUUCAUUAACACUACUUUGAUUUAAUUUCUUCAAUAGGUUUCAUGAUAUAAUUUCGAAGCCUCUUGCAUCCAAUUCUCGCUCUACAAUCUUAUGCUCUACAUGAUUCAAUUGUUUAUCUCCGUUGAUUUCAAUUCAGUUGCCAUCCAUUGAAAAAAAGGUAUCACUUGGAAAAAAAAAAUUAAUUGGAAUUAGGAUUAUAUUAGUGUAAAGAGUCAUUUUCUUUUAUUUAAUGACUUAAUUGACUAAUUUCAAUCAGUUAAGUUGUUAAUUCAUUUGUUUUUUCAACUUGAUGAAAAUUUUCAUUCAUUAUUAAGUUAUUAAGCUAAUUUUUUUAGCUAAUAUCAUUAAAAGAUAUUUUCCAAAAUAUCCAUAUCUAAUUAAUUAAUUUUUAUCUCUACAUAAAUAAAAUUUAAUAAUUAACAUUAUUACCUAUUUCUAUAACUUGUGAUAAUAUAUUAUUAUUUUUAUCUUUUUAUUUUUUUAAUUAAAAUUAUUUAUCUUCGUAAUUUUUAUGAAUUUUUUUAUAAAAACAUCAUAAAUUAUAAUAAAAUUAAUUAACAUAUACUAAUUUAUAAUAUUAAAGGGUUGUAUUCUACUGAAUAUAAUUUAGAUUAUAAUAAUAUAUAAUCUUAUUUAUGUUUUAACAUUUAUAAUUUAUAAAGACACAAAUAUAAAAAUACGAGUUUCAAAUUUUUUAAUUUAAAAAAUAAAUAAUUUAGUAAUUUUUGAUAAUUUUUUGCAGUUUGGUGGAGGGAAAUAUUCGAAUCUGUCCAAAACUAACCGUUUUGCUUUUUAUUUAUUUAUUUAUUGUUGCAUAACUUAUUCAUUACUUCCAAUUAAUUAAAACAAUUACAAUUCAUUUUCUUAAACACAUAAAAUAACAUAAAUUUUGGUCAAAAUCAUUCAAAAUUAAAAUUUAAUUUCUUUCACAAAAUAAUUUUAUCCUAAUUGAAUUAAUUAAAUAUUUUAUUUUAUUGGGAACAUUUCUUACAAAAUUUGUACCUCAGUGUUCACCGCUUGAGACAAUAAAAGCACAAUUACAGUACUUGUGACAUGCACAACAUAUUAUCUGUGACAUUAUUGAGCAACAGUUGUGAUAAUAAGAGAGUAACUAGAGAACUAGUGACAUGGUGUACGGAACUUGGAACACAAACACAAAAACAAGGGCAGUUGUAAAUUCAACCGGAAUAACCGGUUACUUUGCAAUGCUUAUUGCACACAUGUCAGAAUUUAAUUGACUUUAUGUCAUGCCAUAAUGAACCAUGCAUACACAGGGUGCAGAGUAGGAAGACCCCUUUUCCUUUAAACUCCCAUUUUAAUUGCUAAAAAUAUCCUCUUUAUAUCUAUUUUCUUCAUCAAUCUCAAUGAACACAAGAGUUUUGCAUGAUUAUAUCCUUCGCAAAAUAAUUGCUUACCCGUAAACUUAAUAAAUGAUCCUUAAAAGAUUAUUACUUUGGUAAUUAAUAUAAAUUUAUUCAUUAGAAAGUCUUGUACUGUAGAAAGUUCCCCAAUUUUGACUUGGUAUUAUGCAAAUAGACUUUUUGAGUUUCGUGCAAAAAUUAAUUCAAUACCACCCUUUUGCAAUCAAAAUUUGUUAAUUUGGUACAAGUUUUUUAGUAGAUUCUUGCACUCCUCCAAAAUUAUCUUAAAAUCUCUCUUUUAAUUAUACUUACCUUCAUUUUAAUAAUAUUCUUUUUUUUUCAAUAAAUAAACACUCUUUUCAUUUUAAAUUGUUUAAAUUCUUUACAAACUCAAAACACUAGCUUUUCCAAAAUAUAAUUAAUCAAUAUGAAUAAAUAAGAAAAAAAAAGAAGAAAAGAUUGGAUUUUUUUUUUUUCAGCAUGACAUAAAUUCCAAUAACAAACUCAUGUUGGCGAUUUUGAUUGGCAAAGGCGAACGACGUGCCACAGUCAAGUCAAUGUUUGCUAUUGCAAGAUCAUAUGGCUAAAUUGUUUUGGGUAAGCUACCCUUUUAUGCCCCAUCUUUCUUCUUCAGUAUCAAAUGGAUUAAAAAAAAAAAAGGAGCUGCUUAGGGAAGUAAAAAUUGAAUUUGUGCAUGGUAUAAUUAGUACUCUUUACUUUUAAGGUCGUUGGCUACUGGCCAACCUUAAAACUCUACGGUAACAAUUCACCAUCAAGUUUAUUAGCUACAAACAAUUAAACAAAAAAUGUCAUUUGAGUAGAAAAGAAUCCAGAGUGGCUAGAUAAAGUAACUAAAAGAAGAUACGAUAGGGGUUUUAAAAAAUAAAAUAUGGGUUUUAUACAAAUUGAGAUAAUCCUAUUAAUAUUUGGAAGAAACCUGUGGUGCAACUGUGGUACCGUGCCACAAUUACAUCCAGCCGUUGGAUGCCAAUGGACCCCACCAAUCCAAGUGCAUCCAACGGCUGGAUGCAACUAUGGCACGGUACCACAGUUGCACCGUAGCCUGAUCCUAGUAUUUGUUCUUAAAUAUCAUUCUAAUACAGCAGUGGGCUAAUGAGAUUAAUAGGGGGACGCAGUGCUCCUAACACUGAUCUAUUAAGGAUUUUAAAUUAGCGGCAACGUGGGCCGAAUUUAAUUUGAUCAAUUAAAAUAAGCGGGUGUUCAAAUUCGGCCCACGUUGCCACUCCUUUAAUAUCUAGAGUUGCAGAGAAGGAUUUAAAUUAGUGGCGACGUGGGCCGAAUUUAAUUUGAUCAAUUAAAAGGGGGUGGGCAAAUUCGGCCCACGUUGCCACUCCUCCAAUAUCUAGAGUUGCGGAGAAACAAUUUAACUUCAGUAUAUUCAUUAACAAGAUAAAAACAAAUAACGACCAUAUAAGUAACAACGAGAGAUUUAUUGAUGACAGAUGUUUUACAAUGGCUUUAACAGAUAAACAAAAUAAUAUGACUUGAAACAUUUUCCCAGUGGUAUUUUUUUUUUUUAAACAUUCAUGUGAAAUAAUAUUUACUGGCAGAUUUUUUAUGUAAGCAUGAAGACAAUGACAGCGCAAGUCUACUUUUGUUUUGUGAAAUGAUUAAGUACAGUCACUCAUUUAUUCAAGAAAAGAUUAUUGAAAUCUAUUUUUGAUAAUUAUGUAUGGAUGAAAUAUAUUUGGGUUACUAUAAUUAAAGGCAUUACAGUCUAAAAACAAUCCUCUAAUCUCCAUGAUUAUUUUUAGAAUAAGAUGGUCACUUUAAUCAAAGGUCAUAAUUAAUCUACCAACAAUAAAAACAGUACAAUAUCAAUGCCAACGGCCCAAAUUCGGUGACCGACCGACCACGUUUUGGACACCAAUUACAUGAACAAAAAGGUAAAAAUUUGAGAUUUAUGUUGGACGCCAAUUAUGGUUCUUGUGGAGGACGCUGUAAAUGGUUUUGCAUGUUAUGGAUUGUAUGAAGAGUUUAAUCAUUAGCUUCAUCCUGCUUAGGUUCAGUAUGUUUCUAUUGAUUCCUUUGUCUGUUUCCUUUGAGAUGGAGAAGGUGAUAAUGGAUUUGUAAUUAGAUGAGUUAUUGCAUUGUUGUUGUAUUAUUAUUUCCAUCCUUGGACUUCUGUUUAGUCUAUGCGUACCAAAAUAUGUUAUUAGAAAGGAAAUGUUGACUGUGCAUCUGCAGAUUGAAGUUUUGUUAUAUUAGUUUAUGUCGUGGCUUGGUCAUUAUUAGCAGCCAAUGUCUUUCUUUUGGAUGAAGAGGUACGUCUCUACAAAAAGAGUAGUGCAUAGAUUGCUGAUCCAUUGGACAGAUCUGACCUGUAAGCAUAUUUGCUGCAUGCUUGGGUACAAACGUCAUCUUUGUGUACGUAGAUUGUAUUGCGGCGGUAUUGUAAUGCAUGAUGCGGUCCUUCAUUUUCGUUGUACUUAUGGUUGCUUUCUUAAUGCCUUAAUGAAUAAUGUUGUUUUUUUAUCCUAUUUUAUCAUGUUUGUUUGUUAUCUAUUUCCCUAAGUCGCAUGUAUAUAUGCUAUUGGCCAAAAGAUAAUCAAAAUAUAGGCUUUGAGAAAACUAUUUAGUCAUUUACAUUUCAUUAUUUUAAUUGGAAGAGCAAAAUAAUUCUUCGAAAGAGUUUGGUUGCUGAGGUAUGCAUUAGGUUGUAUGUGGAACAAUGUGUUUUAUGGAAAGAAUAUAGAAAAUGCCUUUAUAGUAUGUUGCAUUGUCAUACUUAAUCCGUUUAAUUGCUUUUCCUUGUCCAUUGAGAUAUCUGUGAACCUCUAUCACCAUAAAAUCAAAUUGAAUGGUGGAAUGACAUUGCUUUUUGUUGGUAGGCACUAUUUUAGAUUUAUAACUGUGGAUUUUCAUAGGCUGUCAAUGUGAAAGGUCUAUCUGUAGACAAAUUCCUUGCACAGCAGAAGGGCAACUGGGGCUCCAUUGUUUAAGGAGAUCAAAGUAGGAGCCAGGUUAUUGUCAUGCUUCGUAAUGAAUUUAAUCAUCCCCAGUUGACGAAUAAUGUUGCUGAUAGCGUCCUGUUGUGUAGGAAUUACCUGGUAUUUCGUGGCGGUUGAAUGAAGUUAGAACUGUGGCAUAUGGGAAUUUUUUAUAAGAAGCUGAUCAUAAUCUAUCAUAUGGGCAACAAAUAGGAAAACAGUUAAUUUUGUGUAAAUUAGCAUUGUACUAUUGUAAUGCAUUUGUGUUACUCCAUAAAAUUUCAACUAGUUUGCUUGUAAUGAACAUUUCAGUGUAUAAUGACGUUGUAAGGGGUAGGCGCGAAGAUUUGUGAAAAUUUGAACGGAGUUGAUUAUGAGCAAGUACAUGUGCUGGAGAUUUUUUGUUGAAAUUUAUUAUGGCUCCCAUGUAUCCGGUGGCCUUAGUAAUUUGCAUAGGUAAUUGACAGACAAUGAUUUAUUGGGUUGCAUUAUCGGUUUCUAUGUAAGGGAUAAGUCGGUGAUUGACAUCGAUUUGAGUUCUUGAGAAGUUGGAAUUCACUGAGUUCACAUGGAAAUUAUAUGAGAGACCUCUUGCAACAUAAGCAACCUGUAAGUUACAAAAAGCUAAUAGAAUCCAUAGUUUCUUUCCCUUCCACUACUUCCUUCUGCAACGCUAGUAUCUACAACAGUUUCCUUAGUAAUCUCUAUAUAGCAUGCUUUCAGAUAUAACAUGCUUUCCGCUUUUCACUCUGACCUACCUUCAUUCUUGGACAAAGUUACACAUUAUCUUUUUAGUCUGAACCUCACUUUCGAUUUUCUGCUCCGUCUAAUCUCAAAGCACACGAACUACAUUCAUUACAAAAAACAAUUUUCAUAUUUGACGAUUUUUUUCAAAUAACUCAUAGCCACUCCUAUACUUAUAGCUACAGUUAUAUUGCCACUUCAUACAAACUUACCUGAAAUUUCCAACAGGUUCUGUUGUUCAACUCACCAACGCGGAUAAUUCAUAACCAAAAUGGCCAACUCUACAGUUAUUUUCAAUUUUUUCGCUGCCUCAAAUUGCACGAACAUUUGUUAAAACCCUAAAGUACCAUGUAACCUGUCUUAACCGGUUGCCAAUUUAAAACAUAAUUAAAGAUAUCAAACUGGAGCCAUUAGAUCAUGUGCCCAUAUAUCCUACGGCUAUUGCAAAUGAUGACAAAAUAAGGGGUAUCUUCCCCCAACUGGAAGGCAGCCGAGUCCAUCCAAAUUAUAUUCUAUGCUAAGUUUUCUAAUUUGAUUUUUUAUUUUAAGACUCUUUCAUUGAACAUAACAUAGAUCAGAAAAAAGAAAAAGAAAAAAAAGUCUUUUAUUUAUGCUGAUAUGCCAUUCUAAUUUCAAGUGUCACUGUUUACCAACUGAGUUUCAUCAGCUUCCACUCCAGAUUCUUGAUAUGCCAUUCUAAUUUCAGGUGUCAUUAUUUACCAAUUGAGUUUCACCAGCUUCCACUCCAGAUUAUUCACCGACACACCAACUUCAUCUAAAGAAAAACCCCCAGUUGAGAGACUGGUAUUAGGGUAUUCAAUCCCAUUGGCCUGUUGGGGGGGGGGGGGGGGAAGCACUAGUUAAACAAUUCAAUUUACAUGGUAUGGUAAAUGAAGUAUUAGCAAAUGAAAACAGAGUACAGCAACAGAAACUUACACCUACGAUCUUCCAGCCCAUGUCAAACUGAUAGGCUAUUGGCUCGAAGCCACAGCACUCCACAACAGCUAGUGUUGACUCACCUCCAACAUAAGGCACGCCAAAGCAUCCAGAGGCCAGGCCUAGAGUCCCUCUCCGAGAGCAGUCAUUACACUAUUGUACAUAAAAUUGAAUCAUAUCAUAAGCAAACAACAAAAUAUGUUAUGACUAAGAAGGAUUGCACAUACAUUAAUAAGACACAAGCAGCCAUCAACAAUAACCAGAACCAAAAGCAUAGGCAGGAAUUGCUAUUAGAUACUUGAAAUUGGUACCUUAAUUGCAGCCUAAAUUGGUGACAAAUUAGCUAGGUCAAUUUCACAUUUGAAUUGAAGGAUGCAUAAUUGACUCCCAAGACCUGGGUUAAUUUGUACCAACCAAUAUGUUCGGAAAAUGCUUGCUUGUGUGAUAUGCAUGAAUGUGUCAAUUUCUUUAAGAAUGGAAUUCUUGUCAAUGACAAUUCAAUGCUCUAAUAAUAAUGCUCGUAGAAGAUCUCAAUUACUUGUUUUAAAGCAUCAGCUAUUGGUGCUGCUGCCAAUUGUGUUUCCAUAAACCAGUCAUUAGAGAACUAUUAAUGCAUCUAAAUCAAUCAAACAGUGGCUGAUGUGCAUGCCGCGAACAAACAUGAUUAGGUAUAGAUUGCUACAACUAAUAGUUUUUGUUCUCGGGGCUUAGUUUUUCGUAGUAGCAUUUAAGAAAGAUUAAGUAUUACGUGAAUGGAAUUCGAAUUGACUAGCAGUGGUACUGCCCAGAUCUGAAGUGCAUUUCAACAACGAGUUUCUAUGAUAACAGACACCAGAUCUGAAGUGUGUACACAAAACUCGUAAAAAUAACAUCCGAAAGAAAUAUAUCUAUUAUACCUGAAGUGAAACCUUGGAUCCAACGAAAAGAGGGAUCCAUUUGCUGUGCUCCAAACGGCAGCCCUCUGCGGUGCACUUGAACUGAAAAAAAAAUUUAAAAAAAAUUAAAAAAAAAAAAAGAAAUCCCUAAGGAAGAUAGUAAACUUAUUACCUUCAGCCAGUACGGGAAUUCCGUAUCCUCAAAACCUGGUUCCAUUCUCGCAACUUUUUCAAGUUGAGCGGAAAUUUUCAGAGAAAAGCGCUCGACUCCCAUGGCUUUCGCGGUGACUGGAUGGAGAAUUGGAGAAGAAAAUGUCAUUUGAAUCUUUGAGUUUUAUAGGGCUGGGCCUUACUCGGUUCGAGUCGGUUCUGGAAACCAAUCGGUUCUUUAAAACUGAAACCAAACACGAACCGAAUCAAAUUAAUUCGGUUCGGUUCAGAUCGGUUCAAUUUUUCCCCUUUCUAAUUACUCAAAAUUUUCAGCCUAAAUUUAAUUCUUUUUACAUCCUAAUUUAAAUAUAACCACACAAAACUUUAUAUAAAAUUUUCAUGUAAUUACAAUUAAUCAAUAUUUUUUAAAACGAAUUUUAAAAUUUAGAUGAAUCAUCUUCAAUUUCAUGAUAGACAGGAGACUCAUUCUCAUCUUGAAUUUUGUCUUAUUUUAAAAUUUGAACUCUUGCUUGAAGACUUAGAUAUCUGAUAAAAUGGAGAAAAUUAUGAAAUAAGUUGCUUUUACAAAAUUUACUAAACACUAUUUUUAUUGAAAAUUAUGAAAUAAGCAGCUUAUUAAAUUUCAACCGUAAUACCAAACGGAUCCUAAUUUAAAUUUAGAAAAAUAAUUGCUAAUCCCCAAACAAAAAUUCGAGUCAGUAACCUCUCAACAAUUGACUGCAAGCUUCAUAAAAUUCCAGUCUCUGCCCAUUGAGUGUAGCAGAUAUUGUUAGUAUAGCCGAUGUUGUAGAAUUGAUGUUAAUGUCACAUUUCGUCUGGCUUGUUUCAGCCUUAGCAAUUAAUGUUGAAGGUGUUUGCUGUUGAAUGAAAUUGAAUGAAAAUUUACAAAUAUGAGAUAGCUUCAAUUUUUUUUUUUCAAUUCAGUUAGCUUGUUGCCUUGUUAAAGCUCUGGCCACUGAGAAAGUUAUACAAAUGAGAUUGAAAAAAGGGGAUCUCAAAUCAUAUAAUCAUCAAAUUAAAGGAAUGAAAAUGACUAACAAUAUAAUUCAAAAAGGUAUAUAUAGAUUUGCCAUCCAAUUGACGCUUGCUAUAUCAUCGUUCCUCGCAUAUUAGCCAUAAUUUUGAAAUAUUUAGGAUAAAUAUCAAAUUAUUCCACUCAUGAAUUAACUAUCUUCAAAUUAUCCCCUUAUUUUUUAAAACCUAAAUUUACUCCUCAAAUCUUAUUAUUUCUCCAUUAAUUUUAAUUGUUAAAAGGGUAAAUUAGUAUCUGUAAAAUUUGAAACAUUCAGUAAUCGAAAGAAAUCAAGCCUUUCUAUUUCUUCACUCUUUUAUAUUUAUUAUUAGAUAAAAUGACUAAUACCCCUGGCUUGUAUUUUGGAGAACAAAGAUACUUUAACAUAAAUUAAAUUAAUUUUAAUUUAAUUUCAAAAAAUUAAAAUUCUCAAAAUUCAUUUGUUAAUGUUCAUUCAUCUUCAUCUAGUAAAACUCACUUGCUUACUAUUCAUUCGUUCAUUCAUUCUCAUCUAAUAAAACUCACUCUCUUCUGUAAAUAAAUGCAGUACAAUUGCAACAUUCUCUCUCCCAAAAUUUUUGUUGAUAGAUAAUUUUAAAUAAACUAUUCGUAAAUAAAAACUAAAGUAAAACUAAAAUCCAAUUAAAAUCUGAGCAAGUUUUGCAAUAACUCAAUUAGUUUUGAAGUCAAAAUUCCAUAUUUGAAAAUAGUCAGAAUAGUUAUCGAUUAUAGUUGCAUAUCAUGGUCAAGAAAAUUCUAAGAACUCAAAGGCCAUGCAUCCAUGGCAGCGCGGCCAUGGAUACCAAACCCAUGGCUGCUUGAUAUCGUUAAUUAACAAAAAAAAAAUUGUUAAAAAAGAGAUAUUUUUGUACUUUAACAGGUCAACGACAGUGAAUCGUUAUAGUUAACUAUUUUUAGGAUAAUUUGAAAUUUUCAAAAGUAGAGAGAUAAUACAAAGAUAAUCAAUUCACAGGUGGAGUAAUCUGAAACUCACCUAAUCAUGUAUAUUGAAUAGAUGUAUGGUUGAAUUUUAUAUAACUUUUUGCAUUUUAUUUCUUCUGUUUUAAAUAUAUAUAUAUAUAUGAGAAAUUUAAUUAUAACCUAGAUUACUUACAUGAUUAGCGCAUAACUAUUUGCAAACUACCUACGUUAUGCCCAAAAUUUUGCAAUAUUAAUUUUGAUGAGUGAUUAAGACAGAAAAUUGUCUGCAAUAGGUAUAUAUCAAAUAGAAAUAGACUACUCCAUUGAAAAUAGCUUUUGAAUUAUCUUGAAAUUGAAAGGCCAUUCAUAGAUUUAGUGCUCUUUUACUUUUGUUGUAUUCAGCAUUUGCCUGUUUCUCUCAUGAAUGAUCCACAAGAUUAAGAAACACUCCUGAAAAUGCUUUCCUUAAAGUGAUCUUAACUCAAUGAAUAUGGCAAUAUGAAAAGAUGCAAUUGAAUUUGCAGUUAACAAAAAGCAUAGUAGGAUUCACUUAAUAGCCUAAAAUGGUAAGAAUUAACAGCCACAGUGAUUUAUUUCUUCCAAAGCUUAUGACAGAUAUCCUUCCAAAUCUUGAUUGCAAAUCACAAUGGCCUAAUUAGUCUAUUGCAAAUCAUGAACAGGUCCACUUUAAGAAAAGGGUGUUUGAUAUUCUGAACCUAAUCUUCCAAACAAACAAAUAAUAAUGUCGAGCAAAGGUACCUAGCUGCAAUUGUGUUCUUGUACAAUGCACAAUUAUCCAUUUUGCUGAUUCUGGAUUUGUUUGUUUCAAUCUCAUAUUAUUCAACAUUUUGUGAUGGUUCACUAUUUUAAGUAAACUUGACUAUCACAUUGUUUCACUUUCUGUUACUUUUGUAGUUUGUCAUGUCGUGUGAAUACUAUUAGCUAGUUAAAGGCCCUGCCAUAGCGAGAUGCACGAAUUGAAAUUAUGGCUCUGCAUAUGUGCUGUGAAAGCUACACGAGAUUACCAACAAAUGCGUACAUCAGCUAGCAGGGGCUGUUAUAUCCUAACUAAGAUUUAAGAUUUGGGAAUGCAGCUGCAUUAAAUAUUUGUUGAGAGAGUUUUGUCGCCUUAGUAGUCCUACCCAGCUCGAAUAUAGAUUAGGCGGGCACAAUAUAAUCUUCGGAUACCAGAUGGUUUAAUACACCAAAAAAAAAAAAAAACUACACAAGAUUUGUUGGGUUGAGUGCCACAGCCUUGUGAACUAAAUUACGGAAACUAGUGUAAAAAAUUAUUGCUUCUGCUCUUUGUUUAAACAAAUUUACCACUGGUAAUUGAUAUGUUGUUGGUAUUAAUGCGAGUCUUUUCUAUUAUUUAAGUUUUUGGAUAAGUCCUCUUGACGCAGCUCAAUUGGCAGUAAAUAUGCUUUGUUUAAUGUAUCCACGAUAACCUUGAAUUCAAGUAAUAAUAUAAAGCUCAGUGGCUGGUGUUUAGUGGGCGCUUUUUUUUAAAAAAAUUUAAUGACUUAAUUCCAAUCAACUAAGUUAUUAAGUUUUUUUUUUCAAUUUAAUGAAAAUUUUUAAUCAUUAAUCAUUAAGUUAUUAAGCUAUUUUUUUUUAUCUUUUCGUUUAAUCUAAAAAAUCUAAAUGAUAUCAUUAAAAAAUAUUCUCCAAAAUAUUCUUAUCUAAUUAAUUAAUUUUCAUCCUUACCUAAAUAAAAUUUACUAAUUAGUAUUAUUAUUUGUUAUCAGGAGAAAACAAGAAAGCACGUACGUGAGUUGCAUGACAUAAGCAAGAUGCUAUGAAGAUAUGAGAAUAAGAAGCAUGAUGUAAGUAAAAUAUCACGAAGAUAUGUGAGCAAGAAAGCAUGCAUGUGAGAAGCAUAAUAUAAGCAAGCUGUCAUAACAAUAUGAGAGCAAGAAGUGUGACAUAAGUAAGAUGUUAUGAUGUAGGAAGUUAUUUUAGGUAUUUUAAAAUUCUAGAAUUUUAAUAUUUUAUGACUUUCUAUUUUUAUCAGGAUCAACUAAGGUAUGAUAUUUAAUUAACUUAGGAAACUAUCUUUUGUUUCCAUUAUAAUUGUGAUUUAGUUCCUCUUUUUAAGUUAACUUAGGGAAGUGAGUUUACUCUAUUAUAGAAAAGUCUUAUUAUUAUUUUCAGCACUUCAAAUUCAAUUAUUCAGUAAAACUCUCUUUUUAUAAUUUCUUUUGGAAUUAUCUAUCAAAAUCUCUCUUGUAGAGUCGUUUGGAUUAGAGCAUCAUCUAAUCUCGCAUUACGUGUUAUUAAAAAUCUCAUUGAUUCAUUUGGAUUAGAACGAGAUCUAAUCACGCUUCGAUUAGAGCGUGACCUAAUUGCGUUGGCUUGGUCCAAUACUACAAUGAUAUCUAGCAUUUCUAUCCAAUCAAUUCCGCUUCCACUACACUCGCUCCAUUAUGUUAUGAAGAUGUGAGAGCAAGAAGCAUGCAUGUGAGCUACGUGACAUAAAUAAGAUGUCAUGAAUAUAUGUGAACUGAAAGCAUGAGGACAUUACGUAAGCAUGAGGUCAUGAAGCCAAAGUCAUCGCAGUUGCAAAGGAAGAAUCCAGAACCCGCUAUUUAAACCCAAAAGAAAAAUUUAGAAGUUUCAGAAAACCAAUUUAACGAGAAAUAAAUAUAGAUUUCGGAUAAAACUCUAAUUAACUUGUAAAAGUUGAUUAGAACAAGAAGUUAUCAAUGACUUAGGGCACCUAAAAUUAUAUUAUAAAUAAAGAGUUUUUCAUGCAUAUAAGACAGAGGCAAGAGUUAAGUCAGAAAAAAAAAGGAAAAACUUUUUUGUAUUUUUCAUUAAGGGCUAGUUUGGGAAUGUUGUACCUUUUAAAAUAAUUAAUUUUAACUGUGCUGUAGAAAUAAUCAGCUGUGAAGAGAAUCAGUUAAGUGUUUGGUAAAUUUUGUUUUUAUAAGUACUGUGAGUCUUGAAAGUAAUUAUGAAUGUUGAGUUACUUUUACUGUUAAACUGCUGAGAAAAAUAAAUGACUAAAACAUACACGAUGCAUGAUAAAAUUUACUUAUACAUAUAAAAACAUGUACAUAUAAUAUUUUUAAUUGUGUAUUAUAAUAAUUUUUAUUAAAAAUAGAAUUUAUAAUAUAUUGAUUUUAUUUUUUAUUUUUAUCUUAAAAUACUCGAUAAUUAAAUUUAUAAUAUAGUAAAACAAAUUUAAUAAUAAUUCAACCAACAAAUUGAAAUUAAUAAAUUUAUAUUGAUAAAUUAUAAUAAAAUUUUAUUCAAAUAUUGAUUUUGUUUCUAAUUUGAAUAAAGAUAAAAAAUUAUUUUGGGUUUAAGUAAUAAUUUUAAGGAUAUUUAUGGAAUUAAAUCAAGGGAUAAAAUUAAUUCUCAAAAUUAGAAUCUAAAAGCUAAUUCUUCCUUACUUUUCAAAAUUAGUUGUAGGAUGGGUUAAUUUUGAUUUGAUUAAAGUAAUUUUGAUUUUUUUUUAUCAAACACUAAAAUUAGUUUUUAAAUUUUCAAAAUCACUUUUAAGCUUUCUAAAAUUAAUCCUAAACAGACCCUAAAUGGUGAAAGUUGCUCUUUUUAUUCCCAUGAACAUAGGCUAAGCACUGAACUAUGUAAAUUCUCUAUGUUUUAUUUUUUUAUAUCGUCUUGUUUGUGUAAUUUUUCAAUUGACCAAAAAUCAGCGCUGACAUUGUCUAUCUCUAUAACCUGUGAUAAUAUAGUGGUAAAACUAGUAUUAAGUUAAUUUCAAUCAACUAAAGUUAUUAAGUCCUCCUUUUUUCAACUUAAUGAAAAUUUGUAGUUAUUAAUCAUUAAGUUAUUAAGAAAACUUUCUUAAAUUUUUGUUUAAUCUAAAAAGUCUAAAUGAUGUCAUUAAAAGAUAUUUUCUAAAACAUGUGUAACUAAUUAAUUUUUAUCCUUACCUAGUAUUAUUACCCAUCUUAAUAAAUUGUGAUAAUAUAGUGGUAAGACUACUAUUAUUUUCUUCAAAUUUACAUUAUUUUUCUUUAUAACUUUAUAUGAAUAUUUUUUGUCUAAAAACAUCAUAAACUAGAACAAAAUUGAUUAACAUAUAUUGUAUUCAAUUAAACAUGAAUUAUGUUAUGAUAAUAUAUUAUUUUAUUUAUAUUCUUUGAGAUAUUUAUUGUUUGUUUAACAUUUAUAAUUUACAAGGGCACACAUAUACAAAUACUAAUUUUCAUAUUUUUUAAGUUAAAAAAAUUAAUACUUAUUUCUAACGAUUCAAAUAAAAGAAACAUUAUACAUUCAAUUUUUUUUUUAAAUUCAGACUAAUUUAAAUUUUUUAAAAAUAAUUGAUAUCCCCAUCCAAAUUAUAUAUAUAUAUAUAUAUAUAUAUAGAGUCUGUCACCUCUCAACAAAACCAAUCAUGCUCACACGGCACAUGAUGGAGUUGUAAAAUUGUAGCUCUCUUCUCAUCAUACGUUUAAACACUGUCAAUUUUAAUUCAUUCGUACUCCUCUUUUGUUUUCAAAUGAAUGUAUAUCUUGCAAAGAGCUGUAUAUAGCAUCUCUAAUUAUGAAUAACCCCAUGCAAGCUAGCUCACAACAGAAAAUUAGAAACUUAUUAUACAAAUUACUCAUAUAAUUAACAAAAAGAAAAAUGUACUUAUUUACAGGACACUACAACAAAAUCAGUUUUUAUUCCGGAUGUCGUAAUUAAGUCCUAAUUAAAAUUUGAAACAAAAUCUUCGUUCAUAAGUAUAUAUAUAUAUAUAUAUAUAUAUGGUUGGCUUUUAGCAGUUAUUUAUGUCAAGAUCGCUUUAGAUCAAAAUUUUAACAAAAUAUAAGCGUUUGAAUGAGACAACUUUUACACCAUAAGAAAUAAGUCUAAAUAACAUAUGCCAGCAACACAAACUAAUUUACACCAUCCUUGUUGUCCCAAAUACGUUCCUUUCUACUUUAAAAGAUGCUAAUGCUAAAUCUGCAACUUUGCAAGAUUCAUUUUCAUAACAGCAUGAACCAAGAAGUUUAAUAAGACUCCAAAACUGUACAACAAACUUGGUGAUCACAAGCUUCCUUAAUUCUUAUUAACAAACUCAUUAACGAAUGUGACUGAACAAUAAUUUUUUAGCCCUGUGAUCACGCCAACAACUUUAAACCUUAGAAUAUGCAUCUCAUCAUAGUAUCUGCACUACCUAACUUUUGAAACUUGCAUCAGAUAGCCAUCAUUAUAUUAAGCCACCAAAAAAUUUCACAUCACCUAGUUUCUACCACCACCUAUCUUUUAUAAGAAGUUCAUGUAACCAUAUAGUCACCAAAAUAAUCUGCACUACCUAAUUUUUGAAACUUGUAUCAUCAAAACACUUUUUCCAAAAAAUCGGGAGAACCUCCCAUCGGCUAAAUGAAAAACUUAAUUUGAGUUUCAUUCUGCUCUGAAGAACAAAAAGUCCAAAGAAAAACUUUAUUUGACCUUUUUGUUAUUCAAUAAAUAAAAAUGACAAACAAUGUCUUCAACUAACAAACAUAAAAGAAGCUGUCCUGGCACCGUAUUACCCGACUCCUUAUUAAUCAAUCCAAAAUAAAAAUACAAGAGCCAUAGGGGCUAGCCAGACGCAAGGCUAGAGUUCAACACUCCAUGCCAAGCUAGUGUCCAAAUCUGCAAGCCAAUCUAUCUUCUCCCAAAUGUCCUCACCGUUAAAAAUGUACCUUUUGACGUUGUUUACACAAUUAGAUGUAUACUCAACCACAACUUCCUCUAUGCACUGCCGCCAGCAUGAGAUGGGACGGGAUUUGCAGCAUUGAGCAAUCCCUCCUUCAUAUACUGCCUGCUUCUUAUAAGAAAACUCAAACUGAAACAAAAGGACAAGGCACUUAUAAGCAAAGCAGCGUUUGUUACAAGCACACAAAACAAAGGCAUAAACGUAAAAUGGACCAACUUAAGUACCAGCAUUACAUGUGUAUCAUAAUCACAUAAUUCUCACAGUAUAAACCAAGAACUAAUUCAGACCAAUGCAAAAUCUUCAGUACCUUAAAAGAGAACCAGUUCAAGUAAAAUGAUUUGAUUGUAACAGUCCUUAAAUGAGGUGAAAUCCAGAGCAAACCAUCGAUAGUGUUUUUAAUUGCGACUCGCACACGGGUUCCAGUUAUUACAAAGUCCAGGUUGUUGUAACCAUAGAAUGGGGAAGAUUGGAUUUGCCUCAAGUCUUCUGGAAUAUCCGCAUUCUGCACAAAAGAAUUUGAAUAAUAUAUAAGAAAUAAAAAAGUAUGUAAAAUAGUAAACAGCUCGAUAUUUAAAUGUAUACAUAUAGAAUGCAAGAAGUGACAUACCUCACCCUUGUAACUUUCCAAAUUCACCCCUUUGGAAACAUUAUGGAACAUUGCAAGGAGUCCAAUAUACUCAGAAUACCAGUCAAUGUCGCUGUUAUUCUUGUCGAAAUUGAGAUGAGUUUCCAACAAAGUCAUAGCACCUAUAGAGAAGGAUACCACAUCACCUUCAUAUCUGAAAAUACUUAAAUUAGGAGCCUCAAUCUUGACUUCAAUCAACCCUGCACAUUCAAAGAUCUUCAGCGUCUUAAGACUGAGACUUGAAAUCUUAAUACUCUUCAACUUGUCACAACCAACCAAAUUCAAAUUCUCGAGGAAUGGAAAGUUAGGAAUUUGGCUACAAAGCCACUCAUCCUUCAGAGAAAGCAGGCGCAGAGUUAAAAAUUUAAUAUUCUUACAGGAGGCUACAUUGAUCUCGCAUGGUAAGCUUAAUUGAAUGCUAACUGUCUUCACAUUCAGAGCUUGGAUAGAAAGCCAUAGAACUUCCAGACAGUUACGAACCUUGAAUUCAUUGAGUUUGGUAAGACCAGAUAGAUCUAGAGUAUUAAAGCCAAGGCAGUUAACCAGACUUAGAUGUUCAAUCAAAGGACAGCCAUCAACUAGGCUCUCAAGGACUAGAUCGGCAGCAUAAACGCUUGUGAGACAUAAUUUUUUCAAAGAAGAUAACUUCACACUUCUCAGAGACUGCAGCUUACAACAACUUAAGGCUAACACUUGUAUUGAUUUUGAGCAUAAAACCUCUUGAGGCAAAUUGUAGCAGCGCUUGUUACGAGCGUCAACUGAAGGCAUUCCUGGUCUAGUAUCAACAACACGUGCACUAGUAUGAAAUGGAAGUGCGAGUUUCAGCUCUUUGACAUCACUUUCUAAUGCAGAGAAGAUACACCGGUCUACAAAUGGUCCGAGUUCUUUUACCCGUAAUUCAUACAAGUCAAGUGUGAACUUGUCUAACCUUAUCAUCUCCCUGCGGCGGGUGCGCAGAGUUCCCUCUACAUAAUUUAAUGCCCUGCUUAACUUCUCAUCUCCAAGUUGAGCUUCAAUUUUGUUGUUGCAAGAAACCGAAGGAACUUGAUUAAAGAAAGUUUUACCAAAUUCCAAAAUUGGGAAUGUACGCCAGGCUCGUUCCCAUGCUUGCGACAAAACAGUUGUUUGAACUACUUGUUUAAAUGAGAGGAAUGACAAAAUACAAUGCAGUAUUGGUUCCGGCAAAUUAGAUAUCCUGUCCAUGCUGCUAAGCACCUCCUCCAUAAUAACAAUAUCAUCACCAGAUUCCCUGAAUCAGUAGCAACAUCUUCCUUCUAAGUAUGCUAAUUAAAUUGAGACAACUGAGUACUAAUAAUAAUAAGAAUAUUGGCUGGAUUCUAUCAAUUUAAUUCAAUGUAAUAAAGAAAAUAAAUAAUCCUAACAAAAACUCUUUUGAAUUGAACAUGUUUAAUUUCUUUUUUGUACGAGAAGAGACACUGAAACUUUCACUUUCACCGGAAAAAGAAAAAUCAGCCUAAAACAGAACUGAAUUAUUUAUAAAAGAAAAGAAAGGAAAAGAAAAGAAAAAGAGACACGUUAACACAGAACCAAUAUGGAUGAGGAUGAUAAAAUACCUAUUCAUCCGAUCGAUCAAUCGUGACAGUCCAACAGCGACAGCGACGGCAACCGAAACAGCAGAACUGUCAAGAAAGGAUUGAUCUGCUUUAACUAUGUUUUGUAUAGGCUUAAUUUUGAGGAUUCCGAAUCCAAAACAGACAAAGUCACAACAGCAAAAUUAUGUAGGCUCAGUCUGCCCCGUGUAUAUAUAUUUUGAAAAUUCCAAAUCCAAAUCGGACACGUCCUUCUGCUUCUCCUAACGCGAAUCGGACAUGCGGCUAGUCGCUACGCAACAGUAAUUAAGCUUUUUGGAGAUAAGAGUGGUUUCGUUUCCAUCCAUUUUAUGUACUUCCAUCUGUUAGUUGAAGAACUAGUUUGUUACAAAGUACGCAAAUCUAACACCUGACAACUUCGGAUGACGCAAUCUUUUGUCAUCAAAUAGGCUUUUGAGUCUUGACUCUUGACACCCCCUUCAAAAUUCCGAACUGCUUAAAUAAUCGAAGUAAUUUAUGAAUAAUGAUAAAUAUUUUAAAAAUUUUAUCCCAAAGAAAUUCAAGUAAAUAUUUAAAUAUUAUUAUUCCUUGAAAAAAAAUUUAACACUAUCUUAUUUCAUAAUUUGUAUUAUUCUUUAAAUUUUAAUUAAAGAUAUGUUCUUGAGAAGAGUACAAAAAUUUAAAGUAAUGGAGAUAAAAAUUAUAUAUUAAGAAAAAAUAAUUUAAGAUUUUUAUAUUUUAUAAAUAAAAAUUUUAGCAUAUAAUUUUGUAUUACAUAAGUUAAUUUUAAUAUAUACAUUUGUAUUUUAUAAAUGAAAUAAAUAAAAUUUAGGAGAGAUGUUAUAAAAAUUUUAAGGGUGAGGCUAUCAUAAGUGUUGACAUUUAAUUUCGGACAGUUUGACUCAAUAAAAUAUUCAAUUACCCCAAUUUCUCGUGACUCCCAUCAAACAAAGAUUUAAAUUUAUAGUUUUCCCUUUAGGCCACGACUACAAUGGUUCAGGUGCAUUAAUAGAUCAGGUGAAUAAAAAAUUAUAAAAAAAUUUUACACCGUUCGAUGCAAAUUCAAAGUAAAUCAAUGGUUAGAUAAUUGAAAAAGAAGAAGCGGACAACGGGAGAGAAGUUAAGCGUGGGCCCUAUCUAACAAGGGUCGUCAGAUUGUUUUACCAAUUACCACCUUUAUCUCUGUUUGUGACGGCACCACUGUAGCAAACCGUGGCAGAACAGUAACACUAGUGAUGUUAAUUUAUUAUUGUUUUAUAAAAUAUAAAUUUAAUUAGCUUUUAAUAUUAAUGAGUUUAGGAAAUACAAAUAAUUAAAAUUUUACAUAACUUGUUUUCCUAAAUAAGGUAUUCUAAAAAUUUCACAUCACCUAGUUUCUACCACCACCUAUCUUUUAUAAGAAGUUCAUGUAACCAUAUAGUCACCAAAAUAAUCUGCACUACCUAAUUUUUGAAACUUGUAUCAUCAAAACACUUUUUCCAAAAAAUCGGGAGAACCUCCCAUCGGCUAAAUGAAAAACUUAAUUUGAGUUUCAUUCUGCUCUGAAGAACAAAAAGUCCAAAGAAAAACUUUAUUUGACCUUUUUGUUAUUCAAUAAAUAAAAAUGACAAACAAUGUCUUCAACUAACAAACAUAAAAGAAGCUGUCCUGGCACCGUAUUACCCGACUCCUUAUUAAUCAAUCCAAAAUAAAAAUACAAGAGCCAUAGGGGCUAGCCAGACACAAGGCUAGAGUUCAACACUCCAUGCCAAGCUAGUGUCCAAAUCUGCAAGCCAAUCUAUCUUCUCCCAAAUGUCCUCACCGUUAAAAAUGUACCUUUUGACGUUGUUUACACCAUUAGAUGUAUACUCAGCCACAACUUGCUCUAUGCACUGCCGCCAGCAUGAUGUUAGAAAAUUGGUGGGUGAAGCAGGACCGCAGCUAAAAUGAAAUUAUAAGAAAAUAAAGAACAAGCACAAUAGAGGACACCAGAGAUUACGUGGUUCGGCUUUUAGCCUACAUCCACGGGCGAAAACAGAAGGAAAUAUUUUACUAGUGAAAAGGAGUUACAAGUAUUGUAGUAUUUUAACUCACUUCCCAAAACCCCAAUACACCCAAACUCUCAGAACACUAAUAACAAGAGCUUAUAAUUUCAAGCUCUCUAAACUCUCUCAAAAUGCUAAAUUGCUCUCUCUUAAUGGAAUGCAUAAGCUCUUCAUCUGCACUUCUAUUUAUAGCAAACUAGUGGCCAAGAAAAUCAACGAUUUUAGCCCACCAAUUAUGGCUUCAAUUUCGUCAAUCCGCAUGGCUUCCAUUUGUCAAUCUAGCUUUAUGAAUUUUCUUUGAUUUGCUGCAAGAUUCCUCUUCUUUGAAUGUUGACCAUCUAGAUGGAUGGCUGCUUUUGACAUUUCUCCCACUUGGAGAUUAGAUUGAGAAGCAAUCAAUCUCCACACCAUCCUUUCUGCUUCGCCAUAAUCAUGUUGCCUACGUUUCUGCUAGGCCACAAGAGGAUCUACUCCAGAUAAACUUAUCAGUAUUUAUCGGCUUGGUCAAAACAUCUGCUAGGUUCUCUUUGGUAUGGAUUUUCUGCAAAUCCACACUUCCAUCUUCCACUACUUCACGAACGAAGUGAUACUGGACUCCUAUGUGCUUUGUCCUGGAAUGAAAGGCUGGAUUCCUUGCAAUGUGCAAGGCACUCUGACUGUCACAAAACACAGGAAUUUUCUGUUGUUUGUACCCGAGUUCCUCCAAUAAUCUUUGUAUCCAAAUAGCUUCCUUACAAGCUUGUGUAGCUGCCAUGUAUUCUGCUUCUGUUGUAGAUAAAGCCACAACGGUCUGCAGUUUUGAAACCCAGCUUACAGCUGCUCCCACAAGUGUAAACACAUAACCAGUAGUGGAUUUUCUUUUAUCAAGAUCUCCUGCAAAAUCUGAAUCCACAUAGCCCCUGACAGUAAACUCUGAUCCUCCAUAACAUAAUGCAACAUCUGAGGUUCCUCUGAUGUAUCUCAGAAUCCUCUUCACAGCUAUCCAAUGCUCUCCACUAGGAUUCGCCAUGUAUCGACUGACUGCUCCCACUGCUUGUGCAAUGUCCGGUCUUGUGCAUAUCAUAGCGAACAUCAAACUUCAUACUGCUGAUGCAUACGGUACUCGAGACAUCUCCUUCCUCUCCGCUUCAUUGCUAGGACACAUACUUGAGGAUAAUUUGAAAUUAACAGGAAGUGUGGUAGAAAUUGACUUACAAUCUUGCAUGUUGAAGCGUCGCAAGAUUUUCUUCAAGUAAUUCUUCUGCGAAAGCCAAAUCUUCUUGUUAUUUCUGUCUCGGUGAAUUUGCAUCCCUAGAAUCUUGUUUGCUGGUCCCAAGUCCUUCAUUUCAAACUCCCUAGCCAACUGUGCCUUUAAUUCUUGGACUCGAUCUUUGUUGGGACCUGCUACCAACAUGUCAUCCACAUACAACAGCAAAAUGAUGAAAUCAUUAGCUUCAAACCUCUUGUAAUAUGCACAAUGGUCUGAAUUGAGUCUGUUGUACCCAAGGCUCAUAAUAAAGGAAUCAAAUCUCUUAUACCAACACCUCGGCGCCUGUUUGAGACCGUAUAGAGAUUUGUUCAACCUGCAAACCAAGUUCUCCUUUCCUGUUUCUGCAAAACCUUCUGGUUGGAGCAUAUAUAUUUCUUCUUCAAGUUCUCCAUGAAGAAAUGCAGUUUUCACAUCUAACUGCUCUAGAUGUAGGUCAAAUGUAGCAUACAUCGCCAAGACUAUUCUGACUGUUGUGAGUCGAACCACUGGAGAAAAUAUCUCGUUGAAGUCAAUACCUUCUUUCUGAGCAUAUCCUUUCACCACCAGUCUUGCACGAUACCGCUCCACUUGGUCAUUAUCAUCACGUUUGAUCUUGUAGACCCAUUUGUUUCCAAUGGCUUUUCUUCCACGUGGUAGUGGUACAAGUUCCCAUGUCUUGUUCUUGUGUAGAGCUUCAAUUUCUUCCUGCAUUGCUGUCAUCCACAAAGCAACAUCUAAGCUGUUUAAAGCUUCAUGGAAAGUUGAUGGCUCUCCAUCCUCCGUUAGAAGACAGUAUGCAACGUUGAUCUCUGUGACAUACUCCGAGUGCCAUGUUGGUGGUCGUCUCUCACGAGUUGACCGACGAACUUCUGGAACCUCGGACUCGACUGAUUCUUGUUUCUCGUGCUCUGGUGCUGCUUCAGAAGAAUCUAAAUCUUCUAGAUUAUUUUCCACAUAUACUGGCACGAUCUCUGACUUUUCUUUUGUAGUGCCAUCAUCCUUAUCUCUCCUUUGCAGUUGAUCUUCUACAAAAAUAACAUCUCUGCUGAUGACGAUCUUCUGGGCAGUGGGGUCCCACAGACGAUACCCCUUUACUCCAUCAGCAUACCCCAAGAAGAUACAUCUUCUAGAUUUUGCAUCCAGCUUUGUUCUUUCUUGGGCAUUGUACAUCACGUACACAGGACAUCCAAAUGCAUGUAGGUAGGAAUAAUCAGCUGGCUUUCCAGUCCACAUCUCCAUCGCCGUCUUCAACCCAAUUGCUGUAGAUGGCGACCGAUUUACUAUAUAACAGGCAGUUUUGGCUGCUUCUGCCCAGAAUGAAUUGGGUAGACCAGCAGUCUUCAACAUAGCUCUUAUUCUUUCUGUAAGAGUUCUGUUCAUCCGCUCCGCCACUCCAUUUUGUUGAGGAGUGUAUGCCACCGUGAACUGCCUCUGAAUACCUUCUUGCUUACAGAAAGCAAGAAACUCGCCGUCUAUAUAUUCUCCACCAUUAUCUGUCCUCAAGCACUUGAUCUUUUUACCAGAUUCAAGUUCCACCCGCGCUUUGUAUUCUUUAAACACAGGAAAUACAUCUGACUUUUUCUUAAUUGGAUACACCCAACAUCUUCUGGAAUAAUCAUCAAUGAAAGUCACCAUGUAUUUUGCACCUCCCAUGGAUAUAUCCGGUGAUUCCCAAACAUCAGAAUGAAUCAAGUCUAGAAUGCAUUUACUUCUAGCAAUAGAUCUACUGAAUUUUAAUCUAUGCUGCUUACUUGUAACACAAUGCUCGCAAAAUGGUAAACUUACCGAUUUGAGCCCCGGAAGUAAUUUUUGCUCAGAGAGAAUCUUCAAGCCUUGUUCUGACAUGUGGCCAAGUUUGAGAUGCCACAUCAUCGUUGACUCUUCUCCAUUUGAUGCGACACACGCAUCUGCCUCCUGUAGCGUUUCUCCUUUAAGCAUGUAUAGAUUAGCACCGAUCUUUUCUGCCUUCAUCAAUACAAGCGCACCUUUAACGAUCUUCAUAAUUCAAUUCUCCACAUGAGUUUUGUACCCAUGACUAUCCAUUUGUCCCAAAGACAAUAGAUUUUUCUUCAGGCCGUUGACAUGUCGUACCUCCCCAAUUGUGCGAAUUGUACCAUCAAACAUUUUUAUUUUGAUAGUACCAAUACCAGCGAUCUCCAAGGCAUGAUCGUUACCCAUAUAUACAGAUCCUCCUGAGAUAGGUUCAUAUGUGUGGAACCAUUCUCUUCUAGAGGUCAUGUGCCAGGUAGCUCCUGAGUCUAUAAGCCAGACAUCAGAAAGUCGUUUUCUGCCUUCUGAAAUAGUUGUUGCCUCGCUGUAAAGAAUUUCGCCAUCAUCCGAGGUACUUGCUACACACCCCUGAGCAUUUGAUGACUCAGGUUCUUUGCCCUCUCUUCUCUUCUGGUUACUCCAACACUCUUUCUUGACGUGCCAUUUCUUGCCACAGUUGUAGCAUUUAACAUUCUUCUUACUUCUGGAUUUUGAUCUACCCUGAUUUUGACUCCCACUGGGGCCACGUUCCGUUGAUCUCCCUCUCGUCACCUAUAGCGCUUCUGCUUGCUGCGAACUUGCUUGUCUGUUUUCCUUAUUUUUCCGCCUGCUCUCCUCAUUUAAUACGGAGGCUGCAACAUCGUCGAAAACUAGACUCUCCACUGGAUUGUUGUUCGUCAGGUUGAUGAUGAGUUGAUCAUAUGAAUCUGGUAGACUUUGAAGUAGAAGCUCUGCACGUUCAUUUUCCUCUAUAUUAUGACCCAACAUUGUGAGUUGUGAAAAUAGAGUCUUCAAUGUGUUGAUGUGGUCGGUCACCAUUGUAGAUUCCGCCAUUCGAAGAGUAUAGAGUUUUCUCUUCAAGAAAAUUUUGUUGUGUAGUGACUUGGCCUCAUACAAUUUUGUGAGAGUAUCCCAUAUUUCCUUCGCCGUAUUUUUCUCUGCCACACUGGAUAAUACUCCAUCCGCAAGUGCCAAGUGUAGAUCAGAAAUGGCAUUGCCGUCUACCUCGUUCCACUUGUCAUCAGUUAUCUCCAUGGGCCUUUCUCCAAUUGCUGCCAAACAAUUAUUUUUCCUCAAUACAGCUUUCAUCUUCAUUUUCCACAACGAAAAAUUAUUUCCGUUAAAUUUCUCAAUUUCAUACUUUGCCGCCAUUUUGUUGAUAAAUACUGCACACAAGUUAGUGUACCACCUUGAAUAGUUGUGAGUAUGUGUGAGAAUGCAUGAGAAUGCACACCAGGAAAGUUCCCAGGAAAGACUGGAGGGGUCACAAUGGUCUCACUUAAAACCCAGACUCCUUAAGCUCUUAUCGCCUUUGUGACAGAACUUUCCUAGACAUGUACAGAACCACACAGUUACUUUACUCACACCACUAUUCCCUGCUUUGCACCGCAAAAUUCUUAGAUGGCUUCCACCGUUUCACGUGAAUAGUACCGUAUACGUGAAUAGUGCCGUAUACGUGAAUAGUAUCGUACACCGUAUACAUGAAUAGUGUCGUACACCGUAUACGUGAAUAGUGCCGUACGCCGUAUACGUGAAUAGUCCCGUACGCCGUAUACGUGAACAAUUCCCGACUCCAAAAAAUACAACCAAUUGCUCUGAUACCACUGUUAGAAAAUUGGUGGGUGAAGCAGGACCGCAGCUAAAAUGAAAUUAUAAGAAAAUAAAGAACAAGCACAAUAGAUGACACCAGAGAUUACGUGGUUCGGCUUUUAGCCUACAUCCACGGGCGAAAACAGAAGGAAAUAUUUUACUAGUGAAAAGGAGUUACAAGUAUUGUAGUAUUUUAACUCACUUCCCAAAACCCCAAUACACCCAAACUCUCAGAACACUAAUAACAAGAGCUUAUAAUUUCAAGCUCUCUAAACUCUCUCAAAAUGCUAAAUUGCUCUCUCUUAAUGGAAUGCAUAAGCUCUUCAUCUGCACUUCUAUUUAUAGCAAACUAGUGGCCAAGAAAAUCAACGAUUUUAGCCCACCAAUUAUGGCUUCAAUUUCGUCAAUCCGCAUGGCUUCCAUUUGUCAAUCUAGCUUUAUGAAUUUUCUUUGAUUUGCUGUAAAAUUCCUCUUCUUUGAAUGUUGACCAUCUAGAUGGAUGGCUGCUUUUGACACAUGAGAUGGGACGGGAUUUGCAGCAUUGAGCAAUCCCUCCUUCAUAUACUGCCUGCUUCUUAUAAGAAAACUCAAACUAAAACAAAAGGACAAGGCAGUUAUAAGCAAAGCAGCGUUUGUUACAAGGCAGUUAUAAGCAAAUCUCUUUCUUUAUCUUCUUCGCAAACUCCACUCUACUCUCACGUCAACCUCCUCGACCAUUUUCUUUCCUAUUAUGAUACAUUAGACAAUGUAGCCACCCAUGAAAACCUAAUCAAGCUUCUCUUCUUAUCUUGGUGCAAUAGUCUUGAAAUCUCAUUCCUCUUUCUUGGCGAUCUCCACCCUUAUGUCUUCACCAACUUUGUUAGAUCAUUUUUUGAUGAAGAAAGCAAAGAAAAAGAAGAAAAAGAAGACGAUGAUGAUGAAUCUUUUGAUAAUAGGCCGUGGCAAGUGUUCAUGGCAUAGAGGAAUGUGUCCAAGAAUUUAUUGUCAUAGAUUGAGCAAAUUGAAGGUGGGUUGAGGUUGAUGGUGCCGGCGUUGAUUGGUAAAGUCAAGAAGGUGCAAAGUGAGGAUAGCAGAGGAUUUGGUAGCUUUUGAGGGAUAGAGUGAUGAGGAACUCAAAGGGGUUAUUGAGGAGGCAAUGAAAAAGGAGAUGGAUGAUAUGGUGAGUGUGUUUGUGGAUGCUAACAGGUUGAGAAAGAGUGUGAUUGCUGGAAUUGUUGGUGCCUUGAGUGUUCAUUCAAGCGGCUUUGUUUCUUGAAGGCUUAGCCCAAUUUCUUGUUGGCUUAAACGACCGAAAAGUAUUUGGCGAAUUCAAUCAAUGCAAGGUUCUGAUUAGUUGAUGGUUCUUGGGUUAAUUUCAGGUCUAUUUCAUUUGGUUGUCCUGGUAUCUUUGAUUGUUGACUAGGCAUUAUCUUCCAGGCAUGGUACUACCAAGUUCAUUAUCUUGGCGUAAUUAUUUGGAAAGGCUUGUAUGAACUUCUUCUAUGUUCUUAAAGCAGAUUUUCCUCUCAAGUUGUAGAAUCUGAUAUGUUUUAGGAUGUAUUGCAUGGAAUUGGUAUCUUAGUGAAUGAUGAAUCGAUUUCAAUUUCUGAAAUAAAUGAUACAGAGACGAAAAAACAUAGCGAAUGGUGUUGUUUUUAUGCCAAUUAAAACAAAAAAAAAAAUUCAUGAAACGGUGUCGUUUGCAUUAGUUUCGGGGUUUGACCCCGGGCAAACAUCAGCGCUGUUCUUGCUUUCCCUUUUUAAGAGUUUGAUGAAUACCAUUUACCUGUGGUAAAACUAAUUUACAUUAAUUAAAAUAAAUCCAUUAAUUUACAUUGGACUAGUCUUUAUUCUUAAUUAUCUAAAAAAAAUCAAUGAUAUCUUGUUUUGAUGCGCAAAGAAAGAGUUUAAUCCCAAAAAAAGUUACGAAUAAAAAUAAAUAAAGAUGAAAGCAUCUCACGACUUGUUGUAAGCCUUUAGAUGUACUCAAGAGUUUUAAUCUUUUCUUAUUGUGAAUUUUAAGUCUAUGAAAGUUAGACAAUAGACAAUCUACCAUAAAAAUAAUCAACCCCAAAAAGAUAUUAAUCGUUUUCUUUUUUAUAAGAUGCACGAUUAAUAUUAUCAACAAGGGAAACAUAGAAAGUUUUGUUUAGGUACCUAAAGAAAUUAAGAAAAAGAGAGAUCAUAAAUGGGGCUUCUUUAGAGGAAAGAGUGAAGUAGGGAAAAGAGGGCGUUAAUAGAAGUUGUUUGGUGUUUCAAAUUAUUUAAUAGGGUAUAUUUAGUAAAGGGGUUUUUAGAGGAUAACAAGAGAGUGUCUCACUAUUUUUUAAUUAAUAUUGUUAGUCAUUAUUACUAUGAUUAAACUAAACUCAAUUUAGGGGAUAAAUAUUAUUGUGUGACUCCAGAUUGAAAAUCACCAAAGGUUAAGAAGUCCAUUCCAAAUCAUGAACAAACCCACUUUAACAAAGGGAUGUUUGAAAUUUAAAUCAAAUCUUCCCAAAAAAUUAUAAUCUCGAGCAAAAACACCUUGCUAGCUGCAUUUGCAAUUCUUGCACGUACACAAUGUUUCAGAAUCCAAUGAUCCUACGUGCUGGUUCUUCAUUUGCUUCAAUCCUUUUUUAAUUAUCCAACAUUUUUCUUUCCGUACAAAUAUUAAAAUUUAAUAAUAUUCAAUUCAUUUUUCAGUUAACUUUAUUACCACGCGCAUCUUCUUUUUUGUUACUUUUGUUGUUUUGUUUGUGUCUUGUGAUCAACAUUCAAUAUAAUUGGUCAAGGCCUGUUGUCAUCAUAGCUUGGUAGGUGCAUGAAUUUAAUCUGGCUCUGAAUAGGAGAUAGCUCUGACCCCCUCGUACGUUGUGAAAGCUACCUGAGAUUUAUUGGAGUUAUGCAUGUGAAACUAAACUGCAUUAGUGGAGAGCCAUAGGAUGCAUGAAUUUAUCGGGUUGUGCUGUGCGUCGUCUUUGUAUAAAUUAAUGAGCACCUUGUCAUAUUUAUACUAGUAAUUAAUCGGAUCAAGCAGUUAUUAUAACAUCAUCAUCACCUAAGUCACAACUAAAUUAAGUUCUUGUAUUCAUGCAUGCAGCAUGUAUACAUGCAUUUUGUCUUUACUAAUUUAAUUUUAUCAAUUAUUCAGCACAUUUUGAGAAAUUUUUGUCUCUCUCUAAAUGCUUUUUUCAUUUCUCAUUUUCGUCCGAUUAAUUAGCCAUUCUCUAGAUUUUACAAAAACACUUAUACUAGCUAGUUAAAAAUGACAAUAAAUCAGGAAUUCUAAUGCCUUAUAUUUUUAAUUUUUAAUUUUUAAUUUUUUUGGUCGUUAUUAGUUAGGCAUCAGAAUGUUCAGGUGAGCAAAAAUGUGAAAGUGAAAAUUAUUACCCACUUAAUAAAUGAGUGCAAUAAUUUUCCCUUCUUCCCCACCAUUGAGGUUCCUCUUGUCGUUUCCUUCUUCUUGUUAAUUAAAAGUACGGUUGGGGGACCAUGCAUCCUUGACUCUCCAUUUUCAUGACUUGCGAGUACAAUUAUGCGCGAGCAUGCAUGGGCAUAGUGGAGUUGUCAGUAGUCACCUAGCUAGAUUACUUCUAUUACGAAUUUCUACUACAGCUGCAUAACUAUUCAACAAUAGUUUUCAAAAUCGAAUCUGGAUUAUUUCUAGACCGAGUUCAUUCGCCCCCGAGAUAAUUAUAUGGAAAUGAAGAGUAUUCUGUUCGUGAGCAUCUCAAGAAUUAAUUAACCAUUAUAUUACAUGCUUUGGACCAUGAAGCACCGAACUAGAUUUGUUUUACAUUUUUUUGUUAUAAUCUCAAAACAUAAAUUAUUUUGUACAAUGAUUAACGUAAGACGUUAUUAUCUUCAAUACGUUUUACUUUCGUCAAAUUUCAUCCAAAAAAAAAAAAAAAAUUGUCACCACCUUUUAUUUUUGUUUUAACUUUUAAUUUAAAUUGGGUUGUUUCGAGAAAUAAACUUUUAUUAAUUGAAGAUAGAAAAAUUUAUUUAGUGAUAUAUAAUUGGCUCAAGUGGGAAAAAAUUUUGAGUGAUGUAAAGUUUGAAUCUAGCUCACAUAAGAGUGGAUAUAUAUGAGAUAUAAAUUCUAACUGUAGUAAUAUGAUGAGGGGGAAAAAUAAUAAUAUAUCUAAAUUCAAUGUGCCUUGAGCUGCUAACUGUACUCUUUGUCGCUUUCCCUAUUUGUCAUCAAAAGUAAAGCAAAUUAUUGAAGCUUAUCUAGGAAUCACCACAUCCCAUAAGCUUGCUUACUAGAGAUUAAUAAUAACACGUAAAGUAGUUUAUAAUACAUAUACAAAACUAAACACAACAUAUUAACACGAUAAUAUAAAUACAGUCAGUCUCUAGACAAUCAACAUGCUAAGAACACAAAUUAAUUUACUCUCAUUACUGUUCGUGCAUCAUGGCAAUUCAACAAACCCUCCUCUGUACUUUUGAAAGAAGCCAUUGCUAAAUCUGCGAGCCUUGCAAGAUUCAAUUUCACAACAGUGCCCACAAACAACCUGGUGUCAUCGUCAGAAUUUCCCUCUGGUAUAUCUACAAUAUAAGACUCCAAAACAACACAAUAAACUUCACCUGUUUCCUCGCUAAUGAAAUCAUUAACCGAUGUGACUGAACGAUAAUUUUGAAGCCUAUGAUCACCACCAAGAACUCUAAAGCUCAAAAUAUGGUUCUCAUCAUCCAGCAUCUCCAAUCUUUCUGUGCUGGUUGUAGCCGGAGGCCCUGAAAUGAUGUUAACAUCUCUUACACUACCAACUUCUCCGGCGCCUACUUUCAUUGUACAACUUCUGAUGAAGUUCUUGUACUUGUCAGGGUUAGUGAAAUCGCGAACAAAAGGCCAAACAAAGCUGAGGGGAGUGUUUAUUUUUUGUGUUAUCAGGGAAGUGCACGUGUUUGGAGAUGGGGGGAAAGUGUGGUAGGUUUUGAUGGUGGUUUCAAGCUUGGAGAGUUCUUCAAGUGUGAGAGCAUCUGAUGAGGGAGUUUGGUUAGGGUUCAUGGGUGCAAUUGCUGCCAUGAUUAUCAUGGAUUUUAAUUAGCUAGCUUGUUGAAGAAUUUGGUUUAUAGAAGAAGAAUGAGAAGUAUUGGAGGAGGUGACAAAAGGAUUUAUUCUCCUAUUAAUUUGUUGAUGCACUUGUAUGCAUAUGAUAGGAUAAUAUAAAGGUAAGUAAAUUUCUUUUUCUUUUCUUUUUUUCAAUUUCGAAAAGAAUUAUAUUUAUUAUAGUCUAAGGAAGAUGUAUACUGUUCGAAGAAAAAUUGGAAUUGAGUUGACUCAGUACUUUCUUUUUGUCUUUUGAAUCUUACUAGAUUGAUGCUCAAACCAUAUUAGUUAUAAUGUUAAUUCCCUUGAAUUUGUUUAUCAAACACUAGUUUUAAAAAAACUUUUGUUUAUUCAACCAUCAAUAUGAUAUUUCAAAAUUCCAAACUAUCAAGUAAACUGUUUUCAAAUUAAAAUUGAAUCCCUAGGUGUAGGUGGAAGGGAACGUAAUCAUGGAACGUUAUUGCAAGUUGAAAUAAUUAUAUAUAAACAGAAGCCAUGCACCCUUUUGCAAGUUGCAUUUAAGAGAUUAAAGUUUGAAGGUAAUGGGGACUUUUAAACUAUCUUUUAAUUAUGUAUAUUAACUAUUUAUGGUUUAAAUUUAAUGCAAUGGUGGAUUAUGAAUAAUGGAGUAGACUUUCAACACAAUUCCCUUUUAUAAAAGAUGUCUUUGUGGAUGACUGAGGUGACGCACAUCAUAUUUUAGUUGGAUCGAAGAAAAAAUUAUCACUACUUGUGUUAUUAAUUUUUCUUUAAUGUAUAUGCUGAGACAAUCACUUCUUUUCAAACUUCGCCUUUUAGAUAGACUUUAGUGGAUGGCUAAUUUACAGUUAAUCUGUAAUUAGAUGAUAAUUAAUUCGAUUGACAAAAUCUAUUUGCUGUUUGCUGAUUAUUUAGAAACAAAAUCUCUAUUUGGAAGUAUAUGUGAUGACAUCAGGGGCAAAUGCGGAAAACUGCUGAGCCUGAUUUGACGAAGGGAUUCUAAUUGUCUGGCGUCAUGGUCAUGAGUUUUGAAAAUACUGGGUUCAUAGAGCAUAUUGUAAAAGAAUUUGGGGUAGAAAGAAAUUUACCCCAAAACCAAAAUAAGUCUAUUUUAUUCUUUAAAGCUUACUCUGCCUUUGUGUUUCCUGUUCGAGUUUUCCCAUGAGAAGUAGGCAGUAUACGAACGAGGGAUUGCUCAAUGCUGCAAAGCCCGUUCCGUCUCAUCUGUGUUUAAGUAUCCAUACUUCACAAAGGAAACAAUGUCGAAGGGUGUAAGGAUAUUACGGAGAAGAUGGAUUGCCUUGCAGAUUUGGACACUUACUGAAAAGCUCCAUUUGGAUUCUUUUCUUUUUCUUUUCCAACUGAAAGUUCGAAUAACCCCCAGACAUAUAGAGAUUUUUUUUUGUAUGUAACAUAUGAUAGAGCAGUUGCAAUCUUGCCAGGUUACAUUAUCUUUAAUACUAAGGCAAAGUUAACACAUUGUUCUGUUUAUUUCUCAUCCAAACAACUGAUGCGAGAAGCUUAGCUUGUCUCAAAAUCCACUUAUUCCGCCAAUACAUUUAAACCAAUUACCAAAAACACUAGCUGUAAACUUAUCUUGAAAUUUUGUUGGCUUAAUAGCAGAGUGAAAUGAAGUGCUAUGAUACUAUUAGUGGG